rnacentral:lncRNA from 1 species
UAAAAAAAAAAAAAGACUUCCCCUUCCAUUUUCCUUCAAACCACCCAAAAAAACAACAAUGAAGAAGCAGAGUACUGAAUCAUCCAUGCUAGUGAUAAUGGUUCUGGCAUUUGCUUUCUCUUCACUUGCACAAACAGACAUUAAUGGCCCUGCGGCCUCCUCCUCCCAAGUUCGGCACCACGGCAUGUCGUUUUCUCCUUCUCCUUCCACGACUCCACUUCCACCAAUUUUUCACCCUGGGCCCCACCACGCUCGCCGUCCUCGUUCUCAUCCCAACGCUCCCGCCGCUUCCAUGACGUCACCUCCGACGAUGUCUAAUCCCCCUGCGCAUUCCAGAUCCCUUCCUCCUCCCACGGCAGUUACCCCUGCCGCCGCAUCUCCCGCAUUUUCCAUGUCCCCGGAGGCCUCCUCCGCAUCUCCGCCACCCAUCAUGGCUUCUCCGCCUAUGAAGUCGUCGAUGCCCUUUCCUCCCCCGGCCGUCUCCCCGGCAAAACCCCCCGCAUAUAUAACAUCUCCUCCACCAGCGGCGGUCGACGUUCCUUCUCCAACAGGAUCUACUCCUCCGGCUCUGUCCCCAACCGCUCUUUCCCCAAGCAAAUCAGCCCCUGUUGCCUCCCCGCCGACAAUGGUUUCCACGGCUACUCCGUUGCUGUCUCCGACGGCGGCGAUGGCCCCUACUGCUUCUCCCCCGUCGACAGUCGAGGUUCCAAGUGUUUCUCCGGAGGCAUCAGUUCCAGUUGCCUCCCCGCCGACAAUGGUCUCCGGGACUCCGUUAAUUUCUCCGACGGCGUCGAUGGCCCCUACUGCUACGGCACCGUCGACAGUCGAGGGUCCAAGUGCAAGUGCUUCUCCAGAGGCAUCAGUUCCUGCAGGUUCGCCGUCAGAGUCACCGAUGGGUGUCCCUUCGUCCGUCGGCAGUCCACCGGCUCCGUCGAUGAUGAGUCCAGGAGGGGCGCCGGAGACUGCACCGGGACAGGCGGGUUCAGGGUCGGUUCAUGGGGCCCGACUCGUUUUUACUGGGCUUGUAAUUUUACCCUUGAUUUUGCUGUAAUUUCAGUCAUUGCUGCCGACGUCUUGGUAUAGAGAGAGGGAUUGUACUGUAUAAAUAAUUGUCGUCCGUCAAAAUUAGUCCGCUGGUUGGUACCUACCAGUUCCUGUGAUUUUUCAUUUUUUGUUAUGGAGGAGUUUGUGAUCAAUAAAAAUAUCUUUACGUGGUGUGAUUUAGACACAUUUAUUAUGAAUUAUAGAGUUGGACUCUUUCUAUAAAGGUGGUUACUACCUUUAUUAACUUUCACGGUAAAAGUAGGUCCAAAGCAAAAGCAUGAAAUUAUAAGUGAUAAUUAUGUACCCUUUUUAAAACGGUAGAGUUGUUUUAAAGAUAGAGUUGCGUGGUGAUAAUUUGGAAAUAUCAUAUUCGAAUUUGAUACAUUGAAUAAACAAAUAAUAUUUGAGUUAAUUACAAUAAAUAUUAUUAAAUUUUAAUUUACAGUCACACUAACCAUCAAACUAAGUUAGGUUCAUUAAAAUGCUGACAUGACGCAACAUAAUCUACAUUUAGGGAAUGGGACCGCUGUCAACUUAUAGAUUGUCCUAUGUGUACUAACUUUAUGACGUUAUUCGUUUGUUUGUCUAAACUUACAGUCACUCCUCGUAAAGACAGAUUUUAAAAUGAUGAGUUGGCAAUUAACUCAUCCUUUUUUAUCCUCUAAAGAAUGAAUAUGUUGAGUCAAAUUUGUAAUUUUCCCAAAAGAAAAACAGAAUGUGGUAACUAAAAUUAUAAAACUAUAAUUUAGUGGUAUUUAAUAAAUAUAAUUUGAUUCAUUGAUUAAUAUAAUUAGAAAUUAAAGUUUAAUAGUAUAUAACGUAUUUAACUUAAAAACGAAAUGUAAUAUUUAUUUACUUUUGGGCCGAAAGGUAUAAUCUGGAAAAAUAAUUGAGUUUGUGGAGAGAACUAGAUUAAUUCCCUUCCGUUAAAAUAUGAUUUAUUUCCUUCCCUUAAAUUAUGAUCUAUGAUAAACUAACACCGUAAUCACCACUUUUGCCUGGCUCCGAAGCUUCCAGAUGACCCACCCAUACCCCAAAUCCGAACCGACCCGACUUCAGCUAUCGCUGUGAUACGACCAAGGUGAGAACGACGACGAUGGCGGAGGGAUGGCAACAGAGGAAGAAACCUUAAACCUCUUACUCCUCGAUUCCUCCUCUGAGCUAAUAAUACUCUCCGCGAACGAAACCUCAGGACUAUCGAUCCAAUUCCAAUUCUCCACCAUUUGACCCGACAUCCCGUAAUGAUCGCCGCUGCAAUCCGACCCGUCGGAGGAAAAAUCCAUACCCGCCGCCGGCUGCCGGAACCCAACCCACCCAUUACUGCAAUCCGACACACUUGACGUCUCCCACGAGCAACUCCCAGCCGCCUGCUCCACCAAAUAGCUCUGCUCCUCCCCCCCUGAAGACGGCACGAUUAUGCUCGGUUCCACAGAUUUCUCGAUGCUCUUCAUAUCUGCCGCAGUCGCCGCCGCUCCUCCUCCUGCUCCUCCGUGGAAUUGGAAUAUGUUGGCGAAGGUUAAAUGAUCGCUCACUCUGUUCUUCGUCGACUUACUCUCACUAGUCCUUGCCAUUAUGCUCUGCAGAUUCUUGCUCAGCUUCGCCUUCAGAGACGAGAAAGGAUUCGGAUUCGGGGACGCCAGGGACGCAGACGCUGACGCGGACGAUGACGCAAGAGUGUGGAGGGGGAGGGCGCCCGCGGCGGGCGUUGGUUGCGGCGGUCUUGGAAUCGGAAGAGGAAGCGAAAUUGGUGCGAGCAUUAUCGCCGCGGAGGGCGCGGGCAGCUUCGUCAUAAGCUCUGGCGGCUUCUUCAGGGGUGUCGUAGGUUCCAAGCCAUAGCCUGACACGCUGGGAGGAGUCUUUGAUUUCGGCAACCCAUCUCCCGGAAGGCCUCUGCCUAACUCCGACGAACCGGCGGGGUUUCACAGCGGUGGAGGUGCUGAUCUGGCCCUGCACUGGAAUGUUUCCUGCCAUUAAUGUUGUACGUUGGCAGUGUUUUGGAAAAACAGAGUGUUCUUGGGAGAAGUUGUUUGAAUUAAGGUUGGUGAGUGAGGAAACAGAGUAUUGGGCGUUUAUAUAUGGGAAGGGGGAAUGAAAUUUUCAUUCUGUUUGAACUUUUUUGGGUUGAUUCGUUUGUUGCUUUGCUUUCAGUUUGUUUAAUCAAUCAAAAGACUCUCUGUGAGUAAUAUAAUAUUGGUUCAAUCAUUUUGGCUUCUUCCACUCUCAUAAUUUUAUCAGCAAGCUCAGGAAUCCCUGCAGAAGCCACCAUUAAUGGGAGACUUUUGUCACAUACAGUGAUUGGGCUUAGGCCAUCCAUCCAUCUCUCAUUAAUAAGUAAAAAAGGCAGAAGGGAGUGAGGACUAGUGCCCGCCGGUUGAAUUUAUAAAACUAUGCUACUACGCGUAUAUACGAGAUGUGACUUCGCCCCAAAGAUGUCAGCAUUUGGUUUGACUAAGUCCUUCACUAUUUAAUUACCCAGCUCCAUUAGUUUAUAUAUAUAUAUAUAUAUUAUCUGGACAACAUACAGAUACAAAUACAAAGCUCUAAUUAAUACUCUCACUUUACUACUCUUCCUUAUCUGCGUCGCGAAGCCAUGGCAAAAGUCUCGGGUAACUGAAGCACCAAGGUAACCAACCCAGCCGGCUAACCAGGAAUGAAGGGAUUAAACAAGUAAAUAAAAGGCGGCCGUCGGGUAGUCCUUGCGGUAAGCGGAUUUGGAUGGGUUUAUUUAUUCUGUGUUCAAUUUUGUAAGAUUCGGCGGGGAGAUUUUUACUGUAACAUAUGUUGGGGGGCUUGUCAGCGAUGGUGGCUGUGUCUCUGGUACUUGGCAACUGGGUGCAGGAAAUGAUUUGUGGCCUUGUUUUUUCUUCUAUCCUUUUACUUGAUCUUGCCCCCCCCCCCUUCUAAAAACCACUUGCAAUUGUCUCCCUCUCAUUAAUCAUUUUAAUGGCUUCUUGUAUUAUAAAUCUUAAACCGAGUUAAAUUCGAGUUCAGAAUAAAAUUUAUUCAUCCGUAAUUCAAAAUUUAAAAAAUUGAAAAUUUAAGAAUAAGGUUUCGUUCAUGUUCCAAUUUCCACCCUUAAUGAUUUGAUUAUCAACAAAUUGUUAUUGUUGUUAGGUCUUCAUUCCAAGCAAAAAAAUUUAAAUCCAACCUCAUCGAGAUUGGUUUUGAUUUCCUCGAAAAAUUUUACCGUUUCAAUGUUAACAAACGAUCAAGACUCAAAAUCCUUUUACAGUUUGUUUACUCAACUUAAAGGUGAGUAAUUUGAUGUAUUCCUUGUGAAAAUAUGAACCAUAAGUUGAACAUUCUUACCAUAUAUAUAUUCAUUUUGUUAUAGUUAUUCUUUUGUUUUGAACUAAUCUCCGCAAAAUAAUUACACUCGUUACUUUAACGAAAGUUAACUUCACCUCAGCUAGCUAAUUAAUUACAUAGAUUGGUGUUCCAUGCAUGGCUUAAAUAUCAUUAGAUGAUUAAUUAGGACAUUUAUCUUAAGCUACUCCUAUUCUUAAUUAGGACAUAUUUCAAAAAAAUUCGAUCAAAUAUUUCAAAUUUGAAGAGAAAAAUUCACCUAUUGAGCUAACCAAACACAUAAUCUCUAAUUAUCCACGGAAUAAAGAAAGGAAGUUCUUUGCUUUGUAUGAUCCGCUGGUUAGUGGGGAACCCACUUGUUAUGCAUUGUUUUGAAGAGAUUCAAUCUCUACUAUACUUCUUCUUCUUCUUCUUCUUACCAAAUUGUUAAUUCAAGCUAAGGAAGCAAACAAAGGGAGAAAAACAUGUCUACUCUAAGAAUCUAAGGGAAGUAUAUUAAUUUUGUGGGGGAGAACGGCAGACUGUUGUGCCUGCACAUCAAGUUCAAAGAGAUGAUAUCAUAACCAAAGUCAUUUCUUUUUCUCUUUGUUCUUAUACGUUGGUUGUCCUACUCUACUAGCAAGGUAAUGCAUGUCUAUAAUGGAAUGGAAACUUCAAUUCUUUAAUAAUUUGGUCAGACCAAUCAAAUAUUCCCAUCAAUUAUAUAAUAUUCUCAAACAAAAUAUUUAUAAGUUUAGAUGGUUGGGUUAAGGACAUUCAAACGGAAGAUACACAAUGAGACUUGAUCAUGUACUCAGAUGAUAAGGCUGAUUCACAUUAUAGUCAAAUUUGCGAGAUAUUCAAGUGACUUUUGGCUAUAUAAUGGGUAUCUCAAUUGGAAAAUCCUAAAAUAUUAUCGUGGACAAUAACAUUCUCUUGAUCCAAUAUCGUUAGUGUGGAUAUAUAGAAAUAAUUAUUGAAACACACACGAGCCAAUAAUUCAUAAGAACAUUCCUAUUUAGUUGCUUGGUUGUCCACAUUGUCUAUAUGUAUAUGAUGCUUUCUAUUUAGGUGUAUAUGUCAAUAUGUACAAACCUUGAGUGCUGUAAUUUGUUGUUUAUUUAAGGGAGACCGGAGCCAAUACUUUUUACAAACGAAUCAAACUUUUUCUUAAUAUUAUUGGUUAAUACUUACAAAUACCACCGGACCAUGUUCCAUAGCCCCACUUUUAAGAGAAAAAAACACAAACAUUUCCUUUUAACAAUUCAAAAUUUCGGAAGAAGUUCAACAGAGUACCCGAGUUAACCUUGAAUAUAAUCAAGCUCGGUGAUGCUUGCCUCUCACUUUGGCUUGAAAACGAGUCAUAUAGUACUGGAAAUCUCUAGAUCGGACAUGUUCAUAUCGCAUUGCCUUCCGUGCAUAUUGAAGCCCCAUUAUCAAGGUGGAUUCACGGUGUACUCCCUCAGUUAGAUGACUUGGAUAAAAACCAUAAUAUUUUACGUAAAAUUUUGAUAUUUUCGAAUUUUGACUGAAGUAUUCUCAAAUUUGCACAACAUAAGUCUAUAGAAAAUGAAAAUUGAUUUAAACUCAUAUUCACUAUUGAUUUUCAUUUACAAAUUUAAAUUUGUAGAUAAGGAUCCCCGACCAUCCUGAAUCUGCCAGACACUGACAUUGCAGCAUGAUCCUCACCACUGGAACUUCAUGAUUGGAAUAAGAGCAACAAGCAAUGGUUCCAGGCGAUUCCUCCGACGGUGAUGUGGUGCAAAAUCUCCUCCUCCAGUUGUCUUCCAUGAGAAACUGACAGCUUUAGAAGAAACGGAGAAGAAAGACCAUCUCCUGGAUGAUCCCAGCUCUAAGGAAAUCAGAGCUCACAAAUCUCCAGCCCUUUUGAUGAAAUUCAUAACUGAGUACUAGGCUCAACUGUAAAGCUAUGUUGAAAAGGUAAACUGACCAGAGAAGAUAGAUAGAUGUUGAAGUUGAAGCCGCUGGUGUUUCCUAACGGACACUGGAUCCGGGAGCUGAAUGUGCCGUAGAGGAAGCGGUUGGUGCUCCGCCACCGAGCUCCGCUGCGGUGGUCGUAGGUUAGGGUGAUGGAAUUGGAGUCGGGACAGUGUGUGCAGGCCUCCGGCGUGUACUCCACGGCAAUUUGCUUGAUGGGUCGGGUCUUGUGGUGGAGGGCCGGAUCCGCCAUUUCAGGAAGGACAAGGAAAAUAUCAAUAACCGAAAUUAACAACGGUAACAAGUACAGUAGAAAUACCGAAAUAGAUUGAAUGGGUUAGAACGACGUCGUAUUUCCGUUGACUGUGUAAACUUUAUCGCUUCACUGAGCGACUGAGAACUUGACAACGAAGCUUAAGAAAAAAAUGGCGGCAGGACAACUGGGAAUUGCUUCUGCGAGCUGUUGCUACCCGCUUAAGCCCCGCCAACGAUUCUGCUUCAUGAAAAGACGAGCAUUUGCCGGUAAAGUCCAAAUCUUUUCAGCCUCAAUUCGUUGAAUUUGCUUAUAGUUUCGUGCCAUGGAUAUCUGUUCUGUGUGUAUUUGUGUAUGCAGUUGCUGCAAUGAUGAGCGACGAUCCCAUCAGUGACUGGAUUAUGACAGAAGGGAAGGCGACCAAGAUUACAAGGAUCAGCCCAAUCGGAGGCGGCUGCAUAAAUCGUGCAAAUCGCUAUGAAACUGACGCUGGUCCUUUCUUUGUCAAGACGAAUAGGUCUGUUCAAAAUCCAUCGACCUUUAAAUCGGUGGAUUUCGAUUGCGUUUUCUAGCAUAAUUGGAUGUGGUUUGGUUUAGGAGUAUUGGACCAUCCAUGUUUGAAGGAGAAUCUCUGGGGCUAAAUGCUAUGUAUCAGACUGGAACUAUCCGUGUUCCUAGGCCAUUCAAGGUACUGAAAAGAAGUUCCAUCUUAUGGUUUUGAGUCACAUUUCAUUGACUGAGGGUGAAAUUCUUGUUAGCACUGGUUGUAGGUUGGAGCUCUUCCAACAGGUGGAUCGUAUAUAAUCAUGGAAUUCAUUCAAUUCGGUGCAUCUAGGUCGAACCAGGUGAACUCGAGCUCUUCAACUUGUGCUCUUUGGAUUCUGAUAAACCCUCAAAGACUAAGUUUUUCCAUGUGUUAGUCUGAGUUAGGAAGGAAGCUUGCUGAAAUGCAUAAAGCCGGAAAAUCGGAAAAAGGCUUCGGGUUUGAUGUCGACAAUACAAUUGGCAGGUAUGGUGAUACUUACUGGCUUUAUUCUUGUUCAUGCUACAAAGACUUCACUUCAGAUUAAUUGCAGAAAUGGAUGAUAGUGGUUCUGGGUUGUUAAUGUUGAGGCAAUGCAUAUUUGUAGUACUCCACAGAUAAACAAAUGGACAUCAGAUUGGAUCGAAUUCUACGCGGAGCACAGAUUGGGAUACCAACUGAAGUUAGCAUUAGAUCAGUAUGGCGAUUCGACCAUAUACCAGAAAGGUAUUGACUCAUUUGUGAUUCCUUCUGUAUGUCCCCAUGUAUAAAUCGUUUGAGAAACGGUUCUUAAACAGGACAAAAGCUGGUGAAGAACAUGGCUCCACUCUUUGACAACAUCGUCGUAGAGCCAUGCCUGCUUCAUGGAGAUUUGUGGAGUGGGAACAUCAGCUCAGACAACAACGGAGAUCCCGUCAUUCUCGAUCCGGCUUGCUAUUGUAAGUAAUUCUGAGACGAGGUUUUGAACUACGGACGUCGAUGUCAGGAGUAAGUAAUUUGUUGAUUCUUGUGCGGUGCAGAUGGACACAGUGAAGCGGAGUUUGGGAUGUCGUGGUGUGCAGGUUUCAGAGGAGCGUUCUACAACGGCUACUUUGAGGUAUGCAUUAAGUAUUAUGAAGCUUGAUGAUCUAGAAUGGUUAAUCAUUUGCUUGUUGGGGAAAUUGGGUUAUAGGUGAUGCCAAAGCAAGCAGGGUUUGAGAAGAGGAAGGAUCUGUACAUGCUGUAUCAUUACCUGAAUCAUUACAAUCUCUUUGGUUCCGGCUACCGAUCUUCCUCGAUGUCCAUCAUAGAUGACUACCUCCGGUUGCUGAAUGUAUAGCGCAACUGACAAUUGAUAUGUUUGUAGAGUUGCCGAACCUUCGUUUUCUUGUUUGGAUCUUCACUUACUCGUUGAACUUCACGUUUACAAGUAUUUGGAUUCGUCAAAGAUUUGUUAUUCUGAAUUUAAGGAAAGACAAUCAUGUAAUUCACUUUAUAAGCAAAAUUACUUUCUAGUAUUCCUUUCGAAUUCUGAUCCAGUGAUCUACUGAUCUUGCUUAAAAUAUGGUAAAUCCGAAAUUUGGGCUGGCGCGCAAAAGUGAGGCCCAGCUAUUGAAAGGCCCACGAUAACUGUACGGAUUACGCGGCCUGGGAAUCCGUGAAGGCAGAUAGCAGCAACUUGUUGGUGUAAGCGUGUGCUCCCUCACAUAACGGUAAGCUAAAAGACUCUUUACUUCUUCUUUUGAAUUCCCCUUUUCUUCCCGUUCGGAAAACAAUCUGCCGGAGGUAAUCAAUCAGAAAGAUGGGCGUCGGCGGCAAGUUCUGGGACUUGCUCAAACCCUACGCUCGCCACGAGGAUCCUGAUUUCCUCAGAGACAAAAAGGUCGCCGUCGAUCUUUCUUACUGGAUCGUUCAGCACGAGACCGCCAUCAAAACCUCCUCCCCCAAUCCUCACCUCCGCCUCACUUUCUUCCGCACCCUGAACCUCUUCUCCAAGGUAUCUCUCCCUCUCUCUCUCCCUUUUCAAAAUUUGGGGAAGUUUAGUUUCUGAUUCUUGGGGGGUGAUGAAAUUGUGGCGGCAGUUCGGCGCAUUCCCGGUGUUCGUCGCCGACGGAACUCCUUCGCCGUUGAAGUCUCAGGCGGGGUUAGGCAUCCAAGGUAUCUCUCCCUCUCUCUCUCCCUUUUCAAAAUUUGGGGAAGUUUAGUUUCUGAUUCUUGGGGGGUGAUGAAAUUGUGGCGGCAGUUCGGCGCAUUCCCGGUGUUCGUCGCCGACGGAACUCCUUCGCCGUUGAAGUCUCAGGCGAGGAUAGCCAGAUUCUUCAGGAGUUCCGGCAUUGACGCUUCACAAUGGCCGGUGGCUCAAGAAGGUGUGUCCGUUGAGAGAAACGGAGCUUUUUUAAAGUGUGUUAAGGAGUGCAUUGUGAGUCUUCCUCGACGGUUCCUUUUGUUCCUGUUUUUUUUAUAGCUGAUAUGGUCAAGAAACUUGAAUUGGUUUUUUCUUUUCUUUCUCUUCAGGGACUGCUGGAACUCUUGGGGAUGCCUGUUUUGAAAGCGAACGGGGAAGCUGAAGCAUUGUGUGCGCAGCUGAAUCUGGAAGGUCAUGUAGAUGCAUGUAUCACGGCUGACAGUGAUGCUUUCCUCUUUGGUGCUCAGUGCGUGAUCAAAUCCAUCAAACCCAAUGCAAAGGUGAGUUUUUUUUACUUAUUGGGGAUGCAAUGGUUCAUGAUAGUAACUCACAGUGAUUGUAAUGUUCGUUUUUAGCAGCCAAUCAUGACAAGCCUGGCCGUUUUUUUGGUGUGUGCAGGACCCCUUUGAAUGCUAUCUCAUGUCAGAUAUUGAAGUUGGUCUAGGGUUAAAGAGGGAACAUUUAAUUGCCAUUUCUCUCUUGGUUGGCAAUGAUCAUGAUCUUACUGGUGUUCAAGGGAUCGGAAUCGAUAAUGCUCUUCGAUUUAUCCAGCAAUUUGGUGCAGAUGAGAUUUUAGACAAGUAUGAUUCUGCCUGCCUCCACCUGUUUACGUUGUUUUGGUGUUACUUUCAUAACUAAGUCUUAUACUUGCUCAGAUUACGUGAAAUUGGUAGCGGGAGCGAUCCUUCUUCCCAGGGUAGUCCAAAAGUUUUGAACCGUCCAAUGCUCAGUACUCCAGGUGACAAUUCUUCACCUAAGUCAAGAGUUACUCACUGUUCAGUCUGUGGUCAUCCUGGCAGCAAAAGAGCACAUGGAAAGUCAUCUUGUGAAUAUUGUCAACCCAGCUGUGAGGAAGGUUGCGUGAAAAAGCCUGAGGGAUUUAGGUGUAACUGCUCAUGCUGUGAUAUGGUAUGUUAUAACCAUUUUUGUUCAUUUCAUAAUCUGGUGUAUUCGAGGCAUUAGAAUCACUGGUAAAAUCGUUAACUUGGCAGGACAGGAAAGAGAAAGAGCAGAUAAAGCAUGAAAACUGGAUAAUGAAAGUUUGUGAUAAGAUUGCCAGGGAGCCAAAUUUCCCUAAUGACAAGAUAAUUGAGAUGUACUUGUGCAAAGAGAAUGGGAACUUCACUGGUAAUCAAUCAUCUCCAUCAAUUCUCUUUUCUUCUGUGUGAUUCUCUAUUGUUGUAAUCUCGGAUUUCGUGUGAAGCAGGCGACGAUCCUUGCAUUUCAUGGCAAACCCCAGAAACCGACAUGUUGGUCGACUUGUUGGUUUUCCGGCAGCAUUGGGAGCCGUCUUAUGUCAGACAGAGGAUGCUUCCUAUGCUGUCCACCAUAUAUCUUAGAGACACCGCGGAAAGGCCAGCAACGUCCUUGUUAAACGGGCAAUUUGAAUUCGAUUGCAUUCAGCGGAUAAAGAUCAGGGCUGGACACCAAUCUUUUGUUGUCAAAUGGAGGAAAGCCGGUACAAAGCCAACUGAUUCUUCACAUCACCAUCAUGAAGAGCAAGAUGAGAUUAUCGAGAUUGAUGAAACUUCCGACGGCUUGAACGACGAGUUGGAAGAACCACCCUUGAUUCAUGUCGAUCAUGAGGGUCAGUUUGUCUCGACGGACGAAAAUAUGGAGCUCGUCCGUGCUGCUUUCCCAGACGAAGUUGUGAAAUUUUGGUUGGCUAAGGUUCGUAAAUUAGUGCUUGCAUCAAUAAUUUAGUGCUUGGAUGCUUGCAUAUAAACUGAGUUCAUUGGAUCCCUUUGUAUUCAUAUGUGACAGGAACUGAAAGAAUCGAAGAGAAAGCGUUCAAAAUCUGGUGAUAAGUCAGAAAACCUAAAGUCACAAGGUGUCCAACUUACAAUUACUGAGUUUUUUCGGUCAAGCAAAGCUCAAGUCAGUGAUAAACAAGGAGAAGUCUCCAAGAGUUCUCCAAAGGAAGAAGACAGAGAAGAAAUCAAGAAGACUUCAAAUUCACCUGUGUCAAAGUCUGCUAGACGCCGACUUCUGUUCAAGUAGGAUAGUUCUAAGAAGGCUGAGAAUGUAGAUAAAGCUUGCUUUUUGUAAAUUCUCGACUAGUCAUAAGACUCAUAGCUAGAGGUUUGUAGCAGUAGUAAUGCAGAAUUGCAGAUCAAAGCUGAUAUUUCCAUUGUCUCUCUAAUAAGAAUUUAUAGUUUAGACAAACACACAGUGACACAGAAAGGAAACAGCAAAACAAAAAGUCAGCAUCUUUUCCUCUCGUCAGGCAUGGAACUGGUCGAUAAGGUCCAGAGCUCUUAAUCUGGUCCCAAGAGGGUCGAAAGCCCCUUUGAUUAUUCUUCCGUCGACGUAUCCAUCAUCGGCGGCGGAAGAAGGCGAAAGUGGCCGCUUUCGUUGCCGCUUGUUCUUUAUGAAACAAUUCUUCAUCCUCUCCUCUACUUUGUUGAUUGUCGCAGCCAUUGAAUUCUCCUCUUCUUCGUCCUCCCCAACUUGCAUCGGCUCACCGCUGUUGUUGUCUUCUUGUUCUCCGGCUCCGGUGGCGGAGGAGACGGAGUUCUCCGGCGGCGGUGAUUGGAGGAACGAAGCGAGAUGGUGGUGGGCGAGGUGGUGUGCGGAGUAGAUUUGUUGUAUGUGAUUUGGGUCGGAUGAAGGGAGCUGGUUCGCAAGUUGAGUUGCCUGCUCUAAGGAUAGUACGAGGUCCGGCAACGGUACCGGCGGGUUUGCUGCAUCUGAUGCUGUCAUUUCCUCCAUUUGAUAGCCAAUUAGCCACAGACCCACAGUGGCUUCUGUCUCUCUCGUAUAUUUGCAGUGAGGAAGGUCGAGACUUGAAUGAAAACUUUUUGCUACUGUUUCGGAAGCUUCAGUUUUUCCCACUUUCCUUCUACAAAAGUGCCCUUUCGAUCACUGUACUUUUCCAACUCUGCCAUUUGCAUCCCAAAUUUAUUUUAUUUAAUAAGAUACCCAUAUUCAAAAAUAUUGAUUCAAAUAAUUCAUAAUGAUAAAAGUAUUAGAAAUUUUUCAGAUGCUUAUUAUUUUGGGGAGUCGAUCCAUAUUUAUGUGAACCAUGCUCUUAGUUGAAGAACUGAAGAGUCAUGAGCGACGAAGCGGUGGGUUUUGUGAUACGGAAUGCGGGUGGAGAAGUGUUGCAGGGGUAGGGUGGACGUGUCAGGGUUCUUUGAUCUCUAUAUCUUGAAGCUUUUGGAUGUUUUUUACGCCUACGAGUGAUGUUUUCGACAUGACGCGCAUGUGGCAGUGGACAUUGAAGGGACACACUGAAUUUGUCCUUUCAGACUUUCCCGACGAAGCAAGUGAUGCCCUACUAGUCGCGUAAUUAUCACAAAAAAUUAUGGGCUUCUUAGAAGCAUGCCCUCGUUUACAAAUGCAUGUGCUCAGAUGUUAGAUCUGGCAAUUUCAUACCUAACCCAUUAACCCAACCCAAAAUCGCCAAAAGUUUAGGGUUGAGUUUGCUAUUUUAACACCCAAAAUGACCUGAAUCUGAUAACCUAGCGUUUUUAGGUGGGUUAGGGUUGAAUAUAGGGCCGACCUAUUGAUCCGAAAAAUCUUAUAAUAUAUAUUAAAAUUACUAUUUUUAACAUUACUCAUAAGUUUGUUAAUAUUUAAUUUUAUUUAUGAUUGUAAUUUAUAUUUUAUACUGUUUUUAUCGUUUCAUUUUAUUAUAUAUUAUAUAAUUUAAUGAAUAUAACAUAUCACAAAUAUUAUAUUUAACAUAUGUCAUGUUGAAUGUUUCUAAAACAUUGAUUUAUCCCAUCUAUUACUCUACAACAUGAUUAGUUAUGUUGUAAAAUCUUUUCAAAUGUUAAAUUUUUAGUUUGUCCAUAUUAUUAAUGUAAACAUGAUAUAUAUAAGUGACAUUGUUAAUUUACGGUUUCUAUAUGUAUUUUUUUUCUUCACUAUAAAUUAUUUUAUAUCUAUUUCUAUGUCUUAUUACCAUUACUAUCUUCAUUAUUAGUUUAACUUGAAUCAGUCAAAUUAUAAUAUACUUAUCUGAAUAAUUUUGUUAUAAUAAUGAUUACAAUUUUGUUAUAUAACUUAAAGUGCUUGUAAUCCAAAAUGACUCAUAAUUCAACCCAAAAGUUUAGGGUUAGAUUUAAUUUUUUAAAAUAACAACAUGUGACCCAAAUGACCCAAAUGAUCCAACCCAAAACAACUCGUCCCAAUGCAACCAUUCCAAAUUGACCCAACUCAUCCGAAACGGUUUAUACUGAUGUUUAAAUUUAUUGUAUUUUAUGCUAUUUCUAUAUCUGCCAUCAUGACAAAAAGCACUCUCGGACAAAACCUCAUAUAUAUAUAUAUAAUAUGUACUAGUAAGAGUAAACAUGGACGGUCGUUAUGUCCCAGUGGUGAAGGAGACAGACAGGCUCGAACCCUGCUGUCGAUGUUUUUCUUUACAUUUUGCCAAAGUCAUAGGCCAUAGCCAGGUUUGAUUAACCUGUCUGAUCACAGGUUGAACCGAAAAGUAGAGUAGGUUUUUUUUUAUCUGUCAGGUGGAUUAACUUAUCCAAAUCGAUCAUUUUCACAUAAUUUUAAAAAAAUUAGUUAAUAUUUGACAUGCAUGUUAAAAAUGGUUAAAAAUAACAUUUUCCCAAAGUCAUAGGCCAUAGCCAGGUUUGAUUAACCUGUCUAAUCACUGGUUGAACCGAGAAGUAGAGUAGGUUUUUUUAUCUGUUAGGUGGAUUAACCUAUCCAAAUCGACCAUUUUCACAUAAAAAUUUUCAAAUUAGUUAAUAUUUGACAUGCAUGUUAAAAAUGGUUAAAAAUAACAUUUUCCCAAAGUCAUAGGCCAUAGCCAGGUUUGAUUAACCUGUCUAAUCACUGGUUGAACCGAGAAGUAGAGUAGGUUUUUUUAUCUGUUAGGUGGAUUAACCUAUCCAAAUCGACCAUUUUCACAUAAAAAUUUUCAAAUUAGUUAAUAUUUGACAUGCAUGUUAAAAAUGGUUAAAAAUGACUAAAAAAUAAAGUGCCAUUAUGAUCACACCUAUAAACAAUGGCCAAACGAAGUUAAAAAUCAAAUUUACUUGGUGUUAUUUUAACAUGUUGGCAUUUUUUUAAACUUCAUUAGACUAUUAUUUGAAGGUUUUAACAUGGUCAAACUUUAAUUUUUAGUCAUUUCAAACAUCCAUGUCAAAUAUUAGUCAAUUUAAAAAAUUUCAUUUUUAAUGUGAAAAUGGUCAAUUUCUAAAGGGGUUAACUUAUGAAAAUCGACCAUUUUCACAUGAAAAUUUUAAAUCGAAUAAUACUUGAUAUGCAUGUUAGAAAUGACUAAAAAAUAAAGUGCCAUUAUGAUCACACCUAUAAACAAUGGCCAAACGAAGUUAAAAAUCAAAUUUACUUGGUGUUAUUUUAACAUGUUGGCAUUUUUUUAAACUUCAUUAGACUAUUAUUUGAAGGUUUUAACAUGGUCAAACUUUAAUUUUUAGUCAUUUCAAACAUCCAUGUCAAAUAUUAGUCAAUUUAAAAAAUUUCAUUUUUAAUGUGAAAAUGGUCAAUUUCUAAAGGGGUUAACUUAUGAAAAUCGACCAUUUUCACAUGAAAAUUUUAAAAUUUUCAAAUCGACAAAUAUUUUACAUGCAUGUGGGAAAUUACUAAAAAUCAAGUGUCAUUAUGAUAACCUUUGUAAACAAUGAUCAAAUCAAGUCAAGAAGAAAUCCACCGGAAUCGAGUUGUCAGGUGGGAAGCACAGGAUGAAAUACCAUCCUAAACCGCAGCAUCAUAAUGAUGACCAACUGAGCCAAACAAGUAAUGAGUCGAGAACUUCACGGUCGAACUGAGAAGUUGAGUCGGUUUUUUCAUCUGUCAGGCGGGCUUGACUUGGGCCCAACACUGUUAAUGAAUACAAUCCGCAGUAAGAUUGGGCUCACCGCAGCGAGCCUGCACACCGAGUAGGUGCAUCUUAGCAAACUCGGAGAUAUCAUGCGCCUUGUUAGCACCAGAAGAAAACAUUAUGGGAAUGAGCUUCCUCGUAACCUCGCAAUCAACCAAAAGGAAGCAAACUUAACGAUCGGGUAGGGAAUAUUUUUGUUCGCUCCCCCCCAUCCCCUUCUUGAUUAAGAUUGUCUUCUCCCCAAACGGGGACUCAGACUCAAGCAACGCUGAGUCGGUUUCUUUUUCUGAAUCGAAGAUAUGGCUGAGAAUGAAGAUUUGCCGGAAGGGACGCUGCAGAACAUACUGGACCAAGAGACUCUCAAGUGGGUUUUCGUCGGAGGCAAAGGCGGUGUCGGAAAAACCACUUGCAGCUCCAUUCUGUCCAUUCUCUUGGCCAGCGUCAGAUCCUCCGUUUUGAUCAUAUCAACUGAUCCGGCCCACAAUCUCAGCGACGCUUUCCAACAGCGCUUCACCAAGUCCCCCUCAUUGGUCAAUGGCUUCACCAAUCUUUACGCCAUGGUACGUGGGUGAUUCAUACUUUAUGCAGUUGAGAUACCCAAUUUGUUUUGCUUUGGAAUUUUUCGUGAUGUUUUGGAAGACUUGUGGUCUAUGAGAUGCAAUUGUUGGACCCAAACGUUCUAAUUCGGAAAUUUUUUAUCUCUAGAUUGUUUACUGUUUUGACUCGAUGUCUCGUUGUUCUUUCACAGGAGGUGGAUCCCACUGUUGAGAAUGAAGAGGUGGGUGGAAACGAAGAGAUGGAUAGUUUGUUCUCUGAGCUGGCUAAUGCAAUUCCUGGUAUUGAUGAGGCCAUGAGCUUUGCUGAAAUGUUGAAGUAAGUUCGCUCCUGUUUCCAAUUCCCUCCUCUAUGUUGUUUUGAAAUCUCAUUUCUAGCUUUUGAAUGGUGAUAUGUGAACUGCAAAGAGUGUUAAUGGAUAAGUUAUAGGAUGGUGAAGGAAAAGAUCGGGAAGAUUAAUACAAUCCUCUGCCUUUUUCUAUAAUGAAUUUGAUGCAUCAUGCUUAAAUGGAGCACUAUUUUCCCAAGACUCCUACUUAAUUCUAAUGCAUUCUGUACUAUUUGGUUUCCUGUAGGUUGGUUCAAACAAUGGAUUAUAGUGUUAUUGUCUUCGAUACAGCACCAACCGGACAUACUCUUCGGCUAUUACAAUUUCCGUCAACUUUGGAGAAAGGUCUUCAAAAGAUGAUGUCCUUAAAACAUAGAUUUGGUGGAUUGUUGACCCAGGUAUGUCCUUAAUGUAAUCAACGAGUGCCUUUAUCUUUGUUUUAAGCAUAGCCUCACCCUCUUGUAGCAAUACAAUCCUUGGUUCCUUUGGCUUCCACUUUCUGUUCUUCCAUAAAUUGUUUAUUCUUCCAUCUUGCCUGAGCUUUCCUCUGUCGUUCAAAUGUGUCUACGUGAGCUUGUUUUGCUGAUAAGUCGGUACUUUGGCUGUAUUAUUCUAUAGUCUCUCUUGCUUGGAAAUUAAAUUCAAUGUCUCAUGAAACGAUGACCUGUGUUCCUUUCUUCCAUUUGUCUCUUUCUUAAAGGUUGAACCUUUGAUUUGCACUUUCCUUUAUGGCAUUUUCAGAUAGCCGACCCAACUUUCAAUCACACGUAUCAGCAAGUUGUUUGCUUGGAAUAAAUAUGUAGUCAAUUGCUGUUGUACUAGCUGUUGAUAUAUUUAUAUGAUCAGUAUUCAAAUAUGAAUUUCUACUGCAGGUGACUCGUAUGUUUGGUAUCGAUGGUGAUUUCGGGGAAGAUGCAAUUUUGGGGAGACUUGAGGGAAUGAAAGAUGUAAUCGAACAAGUGAACAGGCAGUUCAAAGACCCAGUAAGAUCUCAUUGCCAUAGUAUAAAUAGGUUAAUUGGCUUUUCGAUCUGGUUUGCAUAUUUUGGUUGAUCAUGGUUGUUCAUAUUGCCAGGACAUGACGACCUUUGUGUGCGUGUGCAUUCCGGAGUUCCUCUCUCUCUACGAAACAGAGAGAUUGGUGCAGGAACUUACAAAGUUUGAAAUCGACACACACAACAUUAUCAUCAACCAAGUCCUUUACAACGAAGAUGGUGCAGCAUUCUUCAUCCUUUUCUCAUCUCUCACUUUUGUUUUAUCACAGUAUAGUCCUCAAUUGGCAUCUUUUUUUUUUGGUUUUUUCAUUUUCUUCAUGCAGAUGUUGAAUCGAAACUGCUCCAGGCUAGAAUGCGGAUGCAGCAGAAGUACCUGGACCAGUUCUACAUGCUAUAUGAUGAUUUCCACAUCACCAAACUGCCCUUGCUACCCGAGGAGGUAGUAUUAUAACUAAUUACUAACAAUGCAGCCAUUUAUCAAAACUGGAAACUCAUUCACUUGCUGAUAGUAAAUGCUAUUUUACUUGUAACUGUUAGGUAACUGGAGUUGAAGCUCUGAAGAACUUUUCGAGGCGGUUCCUGACCCCACAUCAGCCGGCAGCAGCGAACUUAACAGCGGAAGAGAUGGAAGAAAGGGUAACCACGCUAAGGAAGAAGUUGGAAGAUGCCGAGGCAGAGCUAGAGAAACUGAGGAAAGGGAAGCAAAAGGCCUAAUAUGCAUCAGAACAAGCCUCUGUUCGUUUCUCUUCCAAAGUUUAUAUUCGAUUUUUUCUUUUGUUUAGAAUAAUUCGGAUUAUGGUUAGCUUCAUCAGGAAAUGGAUAUUGUGGACUACAACAAUCUUUCUUCCCAUAACGACUACUGGAAUUUAUUUGUUAGAAUGUGCUUUGCUGCAUUAUCAACUUUGUUAUGUAGCUUUACCUUUUUUAUUUGUUGAACCUAGGAGACUGAGUUUUUCCUCCCUUCAGUCUUCUAGUGAGAAAAUUGUUCUGGUUAUUUGUGAAGGGCGUUCGGUGUUCGGUAUGAAGAAAGUGGCUCAAUUUUGAAUUAGUUGAGUAACUUGAGUUUGACCCAAGGUAUCCUCGACUAGUUAGGUUCACGAGGUUCACGAGUUGACUCCAUUAGAAGUCAAAUUAUGUGAUCAACAAGCCAAUACAAGUUCUAGCUUGAUUAGGUGGCUCAAGUGUUACCAACAUAAUCUCUCAACUAUAUCACUUGUUCAUAAGUUGGAACUUAUCAUUAGAGAUUCUCAGCACAUAACAUUUGAGUUUAGCUCCAUUGAACUAUUAAGGAGUUGAGAUCAAACUGAACUUGUAAGAGAUCUUAGCAAGUCAACAUAAGCAUAAUAUUCCCGCUUCAACUCAAGCUCGAGCUUGCAACGAACCCAAGGUAAACUUGACUCCACUCUACACUCAAAUUACCUCGAUGGUUGGGUGGUGAAAGUUGGAGCUAUUUCUAAUUUUCAUUUCUCCUUUCCGAAAUCUUGUAAACCAGGAAUAACAUGAUUUAUUGUACUUGACCACUUGGACUACUAUCAAGUUGAGAUGGCCGAGUUGGUCUAAGGCGCCAGAUUAAGGUUCUGGUCCGAAAGGGCGUGGGUUCAAAUCCCACUCUCAACAUUGCUUUUUUCCCAAACUUCCUUGCAUUCUGAUCUUAGUAUUCAAACUACCUUCUUAUUUUGUCACUAUAAUCAGAUGCAGAAAUACGCAAAAAUCUUAUAUCAAGCUGGCAAGAUGAAGAUCAACGAGUGCUUUAUUAAAUCCCACCUUGCUUUCUUUCUUCACCACACAACACUUCAUAUUUUUCACUAGUCGAAAGUUAUACAAGGAUACAAUCCGAUUCGCCCUAUAAAUAACAACGUAUAACAGACCUAAAAGCUUCACUCAGGCUUUAGCCACCAUGCAAGGUGGAAAUGAAAACCACCACGUCUUUCUCUUGCAGAGUCGUGUCAAGCUGCCCACUCAGCUCCCAAUCACAGUCGUUCACCAGAACUAGAACACCAGGCCUCCUGUAUUUAAAACCAAACCCAGUAAUCAGCAAUCUUUUAUGCUUCCAUAUAAUAGCUAAUGCCACGGAAGGGGAGACUCGUAGUCGUAGGUACUUACACGGUAUCUCCUUUCAUGAACAUCUCAGGCCUCUCCUUGAUCAAAUUGGUACGGACCCAAGCCAGCAAAUCUUUCAUCGUUAACUGGGCAGACAUUUGUGUAGAGAGAUUUGUUAGAUGUUAAUCCACGCAGGGGGGAAUGGUUAGGAUCUAGUACAAUCUCUCUUUUGAGUUUUACCUUAUAUGACUCAUUUUCCAGAUCCACGUUGGCUUGAUGUAUCUUUACUGAAUCACAAAGAAGCUCCAGCCCUCCACUGCAACAGGGUCCCAAUCAAGCAUUAGCUAUCUAUAGCCAUACUAGUUAACCAAAUUAUCAGAAGCAGAUACGAAAGGAAGCCGGGAUAAUCAUACAUACUGCAAAACAAGUAUGCACCCAAUUUCAGAACCUCCUAACCUAACUAUUGCAGACAGAGAUCAUCUUGCUGAUAAGCAGCUGGCAAAAGAUUUACUAGGUCAACAAUAGGGAUGAAAUCCAUUAAGGAAGCAAACCAAUAAACAAUAUGAACUGUUCAUCUCUUUUCCGUAGCCUAAUCAGGAAGUGAACACGAAAUCAAACCUCCCCUCUACUAAUACUGAAGUAAAACUGGCAGCUUUCUUCUCUAAUCAGAUACAAAUAACCCAUAAGAGGUUCAAUUUAACACGAUGUCUGAGGUAAACGGGAUAAGGGUGUAUUGAAUGACAGGAAACGUUACCCGAAUUCAAGAGUGAGUUGCAUCUUCCUGGGCUGAGCUAAGAACCCUAGAAUUGAGAGUUCUCUUCUUUCUCCGAGUUUCAGAACGUCGUUAAGGUCCUCGUCGUAUUAUUAUGGGUUGAGCAAAGCGGAGCCAUUUUUUUAUUUUAUUUUUAUGUGUCAAAUGCUUAAAGGUCUCAUGUUAUGUGUCAAAUAAAACACGAUAAGAUUGCAUCAGUUGAACUAAUAAUUUGAUGAAAGCAAAAUUUUAAACACAAUUUCGAUCUUUUUAAUUUUUAUGGGUUGGAUGAUUCAAACUCGGGUUAUUUUACUUAACGUGUCGCAGCAGUAUGUUGAAGGAGAAUGUUCUGUUUUGGGUUGAGUUAUUCGCAUAUGGCUCAGUGGAGCUGGGUUAGCCGCUUGGAGAAUCGUUUAAGAUACAAGGGAGGUCAGGAAUCUGUUUCGACGUUAGGUCAGAGGAGAUAAGAAACCUCAUCACAAGCUUAAAGGCGAAAGGAAACAAUCUGUGUACUCGAUUGGAUUUGGCCAGGGAUGUCGUUGGAUGUGUAUGCAGAUCAGUCGAUCGGAAGCGGAAGCAACAUCAACAUUAUCUUAGUGAAUCUGGGUCGUCGGAUCGUAAGAAGCAGCAAAGAGUAAACUUAUAUAAUUUUCGGGAUUAUGAUAUGUGCGGAGUGGUUCUAGGUUGCGAGGAUAACCGCGUGAUGGUUGGGUUGGUGAAUAUGGAGGCUGAAACAUAUGCAAUAUGGUCUGUCGCCGCUCCAGAAGGGGAGAAGGGCUUUGAUUUCGCUCGCUACUGGGGAUUCGCCGUCGUAGGAUCCAAACUGAUCGUUGCAGGAGGUAAACCUAUGUAUGUUGAUGUCCUGAGCCUUUUUCGCUUGGUGUAUUCUAAAAAGGUAUAUUUCUGUGAUCUCCAAAACGCAUUUAAUACCCCUAAUUCAUCCAAUCUGGAAUUCGAAUUAGCAACCAUUUUGCAGUCGCCAAAGAUAUCACCUCUUCUUGUGCCUUACAAGGACAAGAUUUUCUUCAUCGCAAAUCCUAGCUUGGAACCUAAACAUACCGACAAUCCUUGCAAGAUUAUGUGUCUCGAUGAUUAUACUGUUCAUCCUCUCCAAACCCCCAAAAUUUAAAAAUAUAACACUAGACUAGAUGGUCAUCUCGUUGUAAAGAACAAAUUGUAUGUUCGUGUGACGAUUGAUAAGACAUUUAUCCUCUCUUUGCUCAGUCUUGGAUGAUAAAGUCAGUUUAUGUUAAAAUUAAGAAAUUUGAACAAAAUUAUUAGAUCGUUAUAUUUUGCACUGACAUAAGUUUAUACUCCAAAUCCUUGUGCCCGAUCCAACCAUUAUGCAAUCGGCCAAACAUAAUCAUCUGCCUCGCGGUUGUACUAUAAGGUUACGCCACGAAACAUCUCAGCCGUCACAAAUAUCCACCGGAUGGGUUCCAUUCACGCAUCCCACGGCGCAAUUCAUUAUCCGAAUCCAACAGCUUAGAUAUGAUCUCUAGUUAGUACACCCGUCCCGAAAAUUGGGGAAACUUGAGGAUCUCCAAAUUUCUUUCUCAGUUCGACCUAUCGGCUAAAACAUGGACACUCCCAUUCCAGACCCCAUAUGAUCAAACGGGCAAGUAUUACGUAUCAACCUUCUCUUGUUGGAUCUCUGCUCGAAUACCUGUAAUUUCGACGAUCUGGGGCGGAGAAUUGGUGAGAGCCACUCUGAAUUGGGAGUGAUAUUGAGGUAGGUGAGAGGAAAAAGGCCACUGAGCUAUGGAGUCGUAUAAGAGAUGGGUGCGGAUGAAUAAAGAGUAUGUUCACUCGUUGGAGUCACUCGCCAAUGUAAGAAGUGACUAUACUACUAUUUCCCUUUUGCUGACACUUUUGCUUCUGCACUUGUUCAUGUCCUAGUUUUGUGCCGGGUAUAGUUUAUGAUAUAGAUGAAUUUGAAUUCAAAUUUUUGGGCCAAGGUAGCUAAUUUGAUUGAUUACUUGCACAAUUCUUCUGCGAGAAACCAAAAUGCAGAUAUAGAGAUUGUUAGUAACCAUGUCUGCUAUUCAAUUUGGAGCUAUACCAUUUGCUUAGUCAACGAAAAAUUUGGGAAUUCGAUUCAUGAACAAGGAUUCCUAUGCCCUAGAUAGAAUCACGAGGGUGAAUGAGAGUUUUGAAGUAUGAGAAACGAGUUCUCUCUUCAGAUUAUUUCGAUCAUGAGGGGGAAAAGAGAAUUUGUCUUUGUAGAAUUGCAGCUUAGAUUUUUCACCUGGUAAGACCUUGAAAGUGUUUGAUUUUUCAAUUUUAACUGUUCAAUUUGCAAACUUUGUUGCAGGGAGUAACGUGGCUGCUACCUGAAAGGUUUUCCGAGUCAGAGAUUGGGCCAGAAGCAGGUUUUGUGAAACUUUUGGAUACUUCUUUUGUGGCUUAGAAUCCAUUAGGAGCUCACUUCUUUGAAGUUAUAGCGAGAAUCACUACGGCAAUACAUGUCUCUGAGGAUUCCGAACAGUUAAAUUUAGAUUCUGGAAUCCUUUUUGUUUAAAUAUCUGUAUGCUCAUCUGCAGUCACUGCUGUACUGGGUAUAAUCACUGCACUCAAUGAGCAUAUUAUCGAUACAACUCCAAGUCAGAUACAUGCUGCUGGCUCUGUAGAGCCUCGGUCUUUUCCGUAUCCACUAUGCAUAUCCAUGAUAAAGGAGCUGGAGACGUUGGUUGAAGUUGCCUCACAACAAUAUUUUGGUGAUGAUAAAAAGUGGAACUUCAUUGCUCUUACAGAAGCCACCAAGUGAGCAGCAUUUACCAUUAGCCCUUUUUCUUUUUGAACAAGCUACUCCACAUAUUGUUGAUCAAUGACAUGACAGUUCUAUGCUAUAGGGUGGUAGUUAGGUUGGCAUUGUUCCGGAACAGUGGAUAUAAGAUGCUUUUGCAAGGAGGAGAGACACCAAAUGUUGAAAAUCCUACAGAUCUCUCAAGAACUUCCAAGCCUGGAAACCAUAAUGUGCCUGGCCAGUUUCCGAAUAUGAACGGGAGAAGCCCAGGGACUGGGCAAGGCAAGGCUUUGUCUGCAUUGAGCAGAUUUCGAGAAAAUGCCAAGACUUUAGCUGAGCCAGAUUGGUUACGCCGGGUUCAUAUUCAACAAUCUAUUAUCGAGCCCCCUGGUAAUCUUCUGCUCAGCCACAUUUACUUCUAAUUUGAUGGAAUUCCCUUUAGUGAUUCUUUGGUAUUUUUACAGCUCUAGUGGUUCAGGCGCCAUCACUUUCAAAGAUAUUGUCCGAAAGAGGCGCUUCUGGGGCAUUAUUUGUUCUAGGGGAGGCACUCUUCAUGACAAGACCCCUGAUUUAUGUAUUGUUAAUCAGGAAAUAUGGAGUUCGUUCAUGGGUCCCUUGGUUUGUUUCUCUGGCUGUUGAUGUUAUCGGGGUAUGCUUCGUUACACCGCUAUCUAAACUGCAGUUUAGAGAAAGAGAUCAGCAGAUUCAUCUUAACGAUUCUGAAAAGCACGAGGUUAGAAAUUCUCAAUUCAUUUCAUGCUGGAAAUGUACAUAUGCUGUUGUUGGUCAUUGAUAAGCAUUUACCCUAAAUUAAUAUGAUUGAAUCAGCUAAGAAGAAGGAAAUUGCUAUGGGCAUUUUACCUGAUGAGGGAUCCCUUCUUCAGCAAGUAUACAAGGUAAAACCAUUUUACCUAAAAUGGUCUACACCAGUUUCUUUGUUGUAAUUGGGUUUGUUUAUAAUUUUCCAGGGAGAGACUUGACAAGACUGAGAAGACGCUGGAGCCUGUACCUCUAGUAGGUGUCUUGACAGGUGAGCUCUCAAGCGUUCACUUGUAAGAGGAGAAACCUAUGUAUUAUGAUUUGUGUUCAUGCUGUAACUGGUUUCUCCCUGCGCAGGGAAACUCGUGGAGCUUAUUUGUGGAGCUCAAACCCGAUACACUUACAUGUCUGGUUCUUGAAGUUGGAAGUGGGGAUGGACUUUGAGCUUCUUCUCUCCCUGCAUGUUCAUGAUGGAUAUCAUUCUAGCGAUGAUAGUUUCACGUUCAAAUGAGAAAAUUACACGUCAUAAUCGUUGCAACUACCAUAGAAGGAUGGAUGUAUAUUUUAUAUGCAUAAGCGUAGCUGGUAGAGGAGAGUUUGAAACUGAUGAAGGGUUGGAAUUAUAUAUACAAGUGAUUUUAUUUAUAAUUUUGUCUGAUUCGAAGGUGUUUACACUUUAGGGUUCUUGUUUCAUACCGACUAACUCUCGAACAGUCGAACUCAUUAGAUGUGGUCUUGCACUCAUAAUUAUGAUAAUUCCGUUUUUUUUUUGGAAAAGGUGUUGAAAAUCAUUGAUGCUCAAUGUAGCAAAUGAGAGAUAUAAAAUUACCUAAUCAAUUAGGAGUAGUUAUACUUGAAAAGGGUGAAGUUAAGAAAUUUGGGCGAGGACUUAACUCGUGGACGGUUUGAUUUCUAACUCUACUAACAAAAGCCACCUUACAAAUGAUGUUACAAGAGAGAAAAAGGCUACAAAGAUUUGCAAGAUGACCUUUCUCCGUGAUGUCGCCGUGGCAGUUCUGGAUCGCAGUACGAAUUGCAUGACAGUCAGUUUGAAAGGUAACUUGAAAAAGACCCUUAAGGCGAGAUCAAUUCAUAGCGAAUAAAAGAGCAGAAAGCUCUCUUCAACUGGAGGAAGCCGUCGCGGGAUGGUGCGAGUCUGAUAACCAAGUACCUAUCCUGUGAAGUUGCGAAGUUUGAGGCUCAAGGGUCUUUGCGUUUGGGAAAGUUGAAACAUCUGUAUUGAUUUUCAGGUGCCCAAUCGUUGGAGGAUGCCAUGCUGAACAAUAGGUUUGGGCAUAGGAUUUGAGUGUUGAUGCUGUUGCGCCUGGCUCUAGUCUUCGAACCGAUCAAUUUUGAGUCGAACAAGCGUCGUGGCUGUCCUAAAUGAUGAAUUCCAAACUCAAUCGUUGCGCUCGCGCCAAAUACCUACGAGGAGAACAAAGACUUGGGCUUUGAGGAAGGUAGCGGCCACUUCGAGCAAGGUGUGCAACCAAUCCUCCCAAGUAGUUUGAUUAUAUGGUUAACCACAACAAUACAAUCUGGUUAAUAAUUAAUAUUUUAUAAUUUUCCAUAUUUUAAUAGGUUUAGAGUUUCUUUACUUUUCCUUAUCUUAGUAGGUUUUAGUUAGAAAAUUAAUAUUUAAAGAUAUCAUUGGUUAUUGGUUGUAAUCAUGUAUUUUAUCUUUCAUUCAAUAAUAAACUCAAGAAUUUUUUUUUUGAUGGAUUCUAAAGUUUUAUUUUUCGAAUUUAUUAAUGGCAAAUUUGAAUAUAUUUUAAGACUCAAAACUUGUAAAUCCUUCUUAUUUUCCAAUUGCGUCAGUUUAUCUCACCAUCUCACUCACUAAGCACCUUUGAGAAACCUGAAUAUACAUCGUAGUUGAAUAAAGAACACUUGUGACAUAGUUGAAUAAAGAACACUUAGACAUCUUUUUGGAGACAAAUAAAAGCUUAGUGGACAGCUAGCAUUGUAUAGUUGGUUUCCUACGUGUUAAAUCCUUGUCGUGGCUUUUAAUUUGUUGGUGACAUGCUAGUGUUAGACAAGAACGUAUGCACACUAGUGGCACCCCUUCACGUGUAACUUUCAGAACUGACGUUCGAUUUUCAUUCUCUUGAUAUCGAAAAUAUUUAUUUUUAAAGACAUUUAAUGACCUUGAUAUUAAUAGUAUUGAAGAACUUUUAAAAAUGACUAUUUUUUCGAAAGGGCCACUAGUGCUUUUCAUCGAGUUCGUCUUACCUACAUUUUUCUUUCGUAUAAUCACUAUGUUUCCUGGUGUCAUAAUUACAUUACGAGGUGUGAUAACUACGUCUCCCUAAAAUUUCUAUAUUUCCUUGAAUGAUUAGUGUGUUAUGACAAUAUCUCAUUCCUAUGUUAUUAGUGGUGUCAUUUUUGUAAGGUGUAUGUCUCCUCUUACGUCAUUUCGACUUACGACUUAAAAUAUAAAUCUGUAACUUGAAACAAUCAAUACCUCAAAGUUGUUGAUAAUUAAAUCUAAGUUGCUAACUACGUUUAAAAUACUCUCAAUAACUACGUUUAAGGUAGGAAUAUAUGUGUUCCCUCAUUAUACAUAACUUAGAUUUUCAUCGACCAUACAUGUGCCUAAGUUGCUAAUAAUCACGUCUUAUAAAUGGUAAUAACUACAUAUAUGGUCGAAACUUUUUUACAAUUAUCACGUUCCUCUCGUGAAGAACAUGGCGGGGCCAAGUUUGAAUUGUUCCUUAUAUACAUGGAUUGAUUACUCCAAUUACUCCUUCAUCAUUCAAACACACACAAAUCAGCAACAACCACAGAAAGAAAAAAACACAGAGAGGGCAAAGAGGCCAGAAACAGAGUCCUGAUACGAUGAAGAUCGAUCAGUUGCUACACAUGAAUGGCGGAAAGGGAGAGACGAGCUACGCUGCAAACUCCAUGCUUCAGCAAAAAGCCAUAACAAUGGCUAGUCAAAUUACAAAGGAAGCAAUCACAAGACUUAUAAAGUUAACCAAUCCGACAAACCGGGUAACAAUCGCUGAUUUGGGAUGUGCUUCAGGGCCCAACACUUUCUUAGCCGUGUCAGAAAUUGUUGAAUCCUUUCUCAGGAUUUCCGGAGAGCAAGGGCGAGAAUCUCCUGAAGAGUUUCAGGUUUUUCUGAACGAUCUCCCUGGAAACGAUUUCAACAGCAUCUUCACCUCCCUGCCAAAAUUCAAACAAAAAUUCAAGAAAGAUUUGAUUUUUUUGAAUGGAGUCCCCGGUUCUUUUCACGCAAGGUUGUUCCCGGCAAAGACUCUGCACUUUGUUCACUCUUCCUAUAGCCUGCAAUGGCUUUCUCAGGUUCCUGAAGGACUUGAGGAAAACAAAGGGAAUGUUUGCAUAGGUAGUAGUAGCCCGCCGAGUGUGUUCAAAGCAUACUAUGAUCAGUUUCGGAACGACUUUUCGAGUUUCCUAAAGUGUCGAGCUCUGGAAAUUGUGGAUGGAGGUCAAAUGGUUUUGACGUUACUGGGUAGGAAGAGUGAAGACAGUUGCACAAGAAACACUUACUUCAUCUGGGAGCUCUUGUCCAUUGUCCUCAACCAAAUGGCCGUUGAGGUAACUUAAAGUUUGGAAUUUUGGUCAACAUAGUCGUUUAAGUUCAAGUUCGAUUGAUUCGGUCUAAGUAUAAUUGUUGUCAUGGUGCAGUAACUCCUGCAAUUUACGUCAAAUAUGCCAGGUUAAUAUUGUCAUGAACUGCUGUACCAUCUCAAUAACUGAGUUGUUGAUAAAGGAUUUAAAUUAAUAUUAAUUAUAUUAUUUAUCAAUACAUUCCUUCAAAUGGAAGCUCUUUCGAUUUAAUCAACAAUUUAGAUAUCCGUGUAUGUUUUUAUGCACUUUCAGGGAUUAAUAGACCUGGAGAGACUGAACUCGUUCAAUAUCCCAAAUUACUUCCCAUCAAUAACAGAAAUCGAAGGUGAAACCCAUAAACAAGGCUGCUUCACCAUAGACCGCACAAUGGUUACGGAAGCGAGCUGGAAUCCCUACGAAGGGGAGGAGGAAUCGGACCUCUCAGAAGCCAUGAAAGACGGCGGCUACAACGUGGCCAAGUACAUCAGGGCCGUGGUCGAACCACUCUUGGUUCGGCAGUUUGGUUCCACGAGGGAAGUCAUCGACGAGGUUUUCGACAGAUAUUGCGUCAUUGUGUCCAAAUGGAUGGUUAUGGUAAAAACUGAACACGUUUAUAUCAGCAUCUCGCUCACUAAGUAUAACUGAUGCGCAGAGUAUCAUAUGAGAAACUUGAAUAUCAUUGUCGAAUAGCAAUAUUUGAUCAGCUGUAGGGGACCCAGCGUUAGUGGGCUUUUUUUAGUGCUUGUUCAUUAUACACGUGAUCUUUUUGGACAUAAAUAAAAGCUUAGUGGUUGUGCCAAAAGUUGGCCCACUGAUGAUUUUGUACUGACUCAUAAUUGAGGUGGCACAUGUUAAUACAUAAAAAAAAUACAUAAAAAAUUAGAUAAAGAAGAGAAUGGUGUCCCUCCGCCACUCGGAGGCUAUGGCUCUUUUCAAGGCUAUAGAAUUUGCGAAAGAUAUAGGAUGUAGAAUGCUUAUCAAGUCAGAUUGUUUCACUUUUAUCAGAGUUUUCAUGGGGCGUGAGGAUUUUUAUGACCGUGGCAAUUCUACAUUUUUUUAGGCCGUAUGAAAGUUAUUAUUUCGAGUAACAGUCUUAUUGUUUGUUCUUUCAUUCCGAUGAGGUUGAAUGAUCUGGCAGAUCGUUUAGCUAAAUAUUGUCGAACCGGAUCUUUUCCUCCAAUUGGAUCCAAAAUCUUAAGUAAAUUCCAUUGUAAUGACUCGCCUUGUUGAUAAAUAUAAUUGGGACCUGAUCUCGGUUGCCCUAAACCAAAUGGUUGAUCAAGUACGAUAACUACUCUUAUUUUUGUCCCGCUGACUUAAAUUGUUGAAAAAUUACUAUUUAUUCAUGAAUGCUCUAAUUAAAUUAAUUAAUUAUUAUGGUGCAACCCAAGGGUUCAUAAGCAAAGAGAGACUGGACUCGUUCAAUGUUCCACUCUACAUGCCAUCUCCGGUGGAGAUCGAUGUCGAAGUCAACAAGCAAGGUUCUUUCGCCAUAAAUCAGCUAGAAAUUGCAUAGAUGAGUUGGGAUCCGUACGAAGGGGAAGCGAAUGUUGCCGAAGAAUCCCAUAAGGAUGGUGGCUACAAUGUGGCCAAGUUGAUGAGGGCUGUGGCAGAGCCAUUGUUGGUCAGCCAUUUCGGUUCCGACGAGCAACUCAUCGAUGAGGUCUUCCGGAGGUAUAGAGUGAUUGUAUCAGAGUGGAUGCGGACUGAGGAGUCUAAUUUUGUGAAUGUGACUGUCUCACCCACUAAGCAGUACAACUGAGGUUGGUACUCUUGGUAAAGAAAAAAUAUUAGCCCAACAAAAUAAUUAAUCAAAUGUGGUUUAUUUUGAAAAAUACAAUGUCCAUACUUAGGUGACUACUAAAAUAUUUGAUCUAUUAAUUAUAGGGUCAUAUACUUAAAGAGUCUCGUAAAUAUGAGAACUCAUAACUUCAAAAUGAUACAGAACCAUCCCGUCGGAAAGUUGAGCAGCCACCAUAAGCAGGACUGGAAUAAUAUAGUGACUAAUAUGUAAAGAAUAGAAGUUUGAGUGAUUAAUUUAUCCAUGGACAGUGGUGUCGAAUGUGGAUUUUUAAAUUAUGUUCUACGUUGCCUCAUCUAUAUAGUGUUUUGCUUUGAUUGAGUCUUAGAUCCCAACUUUUUUCUUUUUUAUCGAUGAUGAUGGGAUAUAGCCCCGCCGUAUUCCAUCAGCACGACAUAAAAUGUCAUGAUAGGGUUUGAACCAUUUUAUCUCGUCAACCUCAGGUCUAACUGAAUCCUAACUACUCACUAUUAACAUACAAGAUCUUGCUCAAAGAAAGAUAAUAAUCAACUGUCGCCACCUAGCAACCGACAGACUCAUAUCUCAGGAUGACUAAAGGACAAUAUAGUCACUGUAUUUAUGAGAACUCAUACACUUUGACCCCACACCCCGAGAACUAUACGCAUACCAAGCUAUACACCAAACGAUCGGGCAUACGCCUCCGGACACAUUUCCGAUACUUCCAUAGCCUUAUUCUUCUUGUAUCACCAGUCUCUUACUAUUUCUUCUCUUACACGUCUUAUAAAAAAUCUUCGUCAAAGAUCCCAAAUAAUUAAAAGAAAAAACACAUUAUCCUACUCAAAUUAGCUCGACUACCUAUUGGUAGGUGGAUGGCAAUAAACAUGAGAAAUUAGUUUGAUUGAGGAAGAGGUUGAUGGGCCAACUACUUUUGGCAAAGGACUAAACUAUAUGGGACAUACCUAAAAUAGAUACAGAUAUCAAAAUCAGUCUCUGGUCCAUGGUGAAACACGUAACACUUUGGAUAUCUUUUAUUUUUGACAGUAAAACACUUGGAUAUGAAAUGAUACAGAAGAGAAGAAUAAUAUGAGGCAGCUGAGAGAUGCAAGACGCCAGAUACACAGAGAUAACAAAAAACAUAGAGGAAUUAGGUCAGACUCAGAAGCAGAGAUAUGAAGGUGGAUGAGAUGCUACAUAUGAAUAGCGGAACUGGCGAGCCAAGCUACGAUACUAACUCCUUUCUUCAGGUGCAUUGUUCGCCUUACACUUAUAUAGUGCACCAUGUACCGAUUUGAAGAGGUAGGCAUUACUCAUUUACCAAGUUCAGAUCCGAUCUCGAAAGUUGUUGGCAACCAGGUUUUGAUGUCAUUGUUGACUGUUAUAAGUAGUCAAAACUUGAGCUAUGAUUACAAAAUGCACUGAACCGGUUCUACUUUUGGGGAUGUGGAUGUCUUGGGAUUGACAUCUAAUUAAAUUUUUGUGUCGUUUAACUUGGCAGCAAAAAUCCAUAUCAAUGACUAUGCCAAUAACAGAGGAGGCGAUUACGGGACUAGUACUCCGCACCUCGAGCUUCCCGAAAGGAAGUCUCUCCAUUGCGGAUUUGGGAUGUGCUUCAGGACCCAACACUUUCUUCACUGUGUCAGAGAUUAGCAAGUCCGUCGUCAGGAUUUCGAAACAAGGGAGUUACUGCUCGAUAAGAAUGUGUGAGAUCCUUCGAUAUAUUGCGAGUUUCAUAUUAGCCUUUCGGAUAUACUACCUAUGUAUAUUGUAUUGAGUCUCCCUUUAUUUUUCCGUAUAUACCUACUAAUUUUUAGCAUAUGUAAGUAUCUCUAUUUGUCAAUCCUGACGACGAGAAGUGUACGGAUCAUUUGUUGAUUCCACUUAUCUAAUUUUAUUUGGUCACAUCAACUCAACUGCAUGAUGUUGGAUAGAAAUUUUUGAUGAAUUACGCUUCAUUUCAUUGAAAGUUUAACGCGGUUAAUUAUCGACUUUCUCAGUUGGUUACUCAAACUUCUCUAUCAUCCAAACAAACUAUUGUACCCAGGUGACUGCAAUUGGACUCCGAACAGAGUAUUUCCCCGACGACCAAACAACUGUCCCAAACGAUGACGUACCCGAACCAGAUCCACCAUCACCACCGGCAACGAAUUCCACUUCGUAACUCAAUUUCUCUCCAAAUUUCACAAACUCCAAAACCUUCGGCUCCACCUUCACUGAAACUCCAACGGGCUCCUCCACUUUCACCUCGUACCUACCGCUCUCCCCUACGUUCGUCGCCGUUCUCUUGAACUUCAAACUCUGAUUUCUCGAUCCACCCCUUUUGAAACCCACAGCAAAAGAUGGGUAAUUCAGAUCUCCAGCUGCUCGAUCUGGAUCACUCGAAGAACAGUUGAAACUCUUCCCGGACAUCACCGCGGAUACCUGCGCAGAGGUAUAGUUCAAGCUACAGAGAUGAUUGAGAUAAUCCUCCGUCGAAAUAUCGUAGAUCAGCCCCGGAUCCGCUGCUCUCUCCGGGUCCACAUGACCCGACCCGAACGCAAAAGCGGUUGCCGGCGGGGAAGAAGAAGCUCCGAAAUCAGUAAUGGGAUUGUUCUUGUUGUCCAGAACGUAAGCGGUGGUCAUCAUCGCCGAUUUGAUCGCCGCCGGGGACCAAUCCUUGUGGACGGAUUUCAGCAAAGCGGCGAUUCCGCUUAUGUGUGGACACGACAUUGAGGUUCCCGAGAUUAUGUUGAAGAGGACGGAUCUCUUGUCGGUUUGGAGCAUGGUCGGGCUGACUCCGGGAGGCCAGGCGGCCAAUAUGUUCACCCCUGGUGCGGUAAUGUCUGGCUUGAUUAUUUCCGGGCCGACGGAGCUGGGUCCUCUGGACGAGAAUGCUGCCAUUGCAGGUGCAGUGGAGCCGUAGCUUGUUCCCUUGAAGGUGAUUGAAGCUGUUGGUUUUCUUGAUGUGGUUAUGUACUUUUUUAGGGAUUUUCCGGCUGUGGCUCCUAAUGAACUCGCCGGUAUAAUAUGUGGGUCGGCGAAGCGUUCUUCGCCGGCGUUUUCGCCGUUGACGAGUAUCAUUCCGACUCCUCCUGCUGAUUUCACGAUCUGACCUUUUUGGGCUCUGCCGUUGAUUCCUCUGUCGCAUAUUACUAUCUUGCCCAUUACUAGCUUCUUGUUUAAUGAGCCGUUGAUGCAGUAGUUGGCUCCCUGUUGCUUUCCACCUGCUUGGACAUUCCGUUACGAUUAACCGUUAAAAUUGAUUAACCUGGCGAUUUAUGUCAGUUAAUUGGAAUUCGAAAUUUGAAUUGCAGAAUUAAUAUACCAAAUACCUGCUGUUUCAGCAUAAGCAAUUGGCAAUUGCUUGGUGGGUUUGCCGUAGUACAGAGAAGACCCUUCAUAGAUUUCCCCAUUUCCGAGACGAAUACUGGUUGGAAAUCCUCGAUCUGUGUAGCUAGCAGCCACUGUCAUGAUCCAAGGAGCGUUAUUCGAGACUGUCGAGCUGGACGGUCCUGAAUUCCCGGCCGAGCAAGCCACAAAGACUCCAUUCUGAACCGCACCAAACGAGGCGAUCGCCACAUUGUCGCUGUAAUAGGGCUUUGGCGAGCCUCCUAAUGAGAGCGAUAAAACAUCCACGCCGUCUUUCACGGCCUGCUCCAUGGCAGCAAGAAUGUCUGAAUUAGUACAUCCGAGUGACCAGCACACUUUAUACACUGCAAUCCUGGAAGUGUACUUCAUCCCGGCAGCUGACCCGUUCGCCAGCCCUAGGAAAUUUGCACCGGCCACAAGACCUCCCGCUGCCGUGGAAGCAGUGUGGGUCCCGUGGCCGUUGGAGUCACGAGGAGACCGGAAGUCAACUGUCUCGUUGAUGGCUCCAGCUGCGGAUUCGUAGCCCUUGUAGAAGGACAUAGCGCCGAUGAGCUUGUUGUUGCAAUUUGUGGGAGAGAAUUUUGUACCGGUUUCGCACUGGCCGCCUUUCCAAUUGGACGGCAUUGAUUGUGACGGUACGUCCUUGUCGUGGAAGCUGGGGUGUUCGGGCCAGAUCCCGGUGUCAAGAAUCCCAAUGAUCACAUCCGAGGCUAGGCUCGGAGCACCCCAAAGUCCUCGGCCUUGCUCCAGGCCGAGGAAUUGCGGGGAAUGUGUGGUGUGGAGGGUCAGCAUUUCGUCAGGAAUCGCGGAGAGGAAGCCGCUCGUUUGGCUCAGGGCUUCAAGCUCAGUGGCGGAGAGCUUUGCGGAGAAUCCCGAAACGACCGUAUCAUACGCGUAGAGAAGGGUUGGGGGAGUUGACAUGCCUUGAUGAUGGUGAUGUUGUCCUCCCUUGUCUCGUGUUUGAGUUUCGGUGACAGAAUCGAGCAGUGAUUGAUAGUACCAUUGGGACGAAGGGAUCUUGGUUUUGUCCAUAUGAAUUACAUAUGUUUGUCUCUCAGUUGAUGCAUUUGUGUUGGUGGCAAUGAAGGCUAGAACAGCCAACAUACAAGAUAUCCUGAAGUGGAGCAUCCGGCCUUCAAAUUUUGGAUAAAACCAUAGGAUGGGAAAUAAAUUAAGGAAUGUGGAAGUCUCUUAUAGGAACAAUUCCAACAAAGAGUUGAUCGCUAGGGACUUAGGGUUUACCCACUAGUCACAAUGAUUGAUGUCCAUUAUGGGAAGAGUGGGCAUCUCUCUUUUUUUGCAAGCUUCCCCACCAAACACACAAAGGAUGAUGAUAAGAACGUUUUUUUAAUCAAACAAAAUCCAUGGCAAUAUACUUGAUGAUGUUAAUCCGAAAAUUUGGAGAUGGAAGUGCUCUCUGUUGGUCGAAGUCGCCAUUCAAUUCGUAAAAAUAUUUGUUUUUCUUUGUAGUGAGAACCAUAUAUAUAGGAGUCUGAUGGGUAUCGGCCAACCGAUUUCGAUCUUCAAGCCCAAGGAAAGCCCACCGGCAAGAGAAAAUGUUCAGUCGACGGUUGACCCCUAUACACAUUUGUACACUUUUAGGGGCAGACCACACUAACUUUCAGUCUUAUGUACGAGGUUCAUUAGGAUGGUUUCUGGAGUAGUGCAAAUACAUGAUAAGAUUUGGGUUGUGGGACAGUCUAUAUAUGAGCAUUGAGGAGUGUUGUUUAAGGGAAUUGCAGGACGGACAGCACAUGAAGAAGUGGGGUUUGUUUGGUACAGAACAUGCUAGCCAAUGCUAAUGGAGUAGUGCUGUGUAGAGUGGUGGGGUGGGUGGUUUUUGAUUGAUGGAUAACUCAAUUACUAGUAGUAAGUAGCAAGUAGUGUCUCAUGACUUUGGAUUCCAUUUCACUACUCACCACCCUUGGGUUUGAAGCUACACAUAUUCACUCAUUCUCCAGCCUCAUUACGGAUUUACUUUGUGGAAAUGUAAGAAUGUUUUGUUAGGUUAUGUAUGUGUCUAAAUGUACCAUAUGCUACCAUUGUGUGUUUAACGUAAUACGUUUAUGAAUUGAGUUCUUCACGCGUGACAUCUCAUAUAUGUUGAGGAUCCUCAACGAGGUUAUAGAUACAUGAAUGACAAUACAAGACAUGUAUUCGUUUUCUAACUUUUUCUUCUAUUGAUAAAUAAGAUUUGGUCACAAAAAGAUUUGGUUUUAUACUCUUAUGAGUUUGCUUUAAUUUUAGUGCUAUAGAGCUUAUAUUUGUAGACGUUUGCAAACUUAUACCGUAUCGGAUCGUAAUACGAUUUGAAGUUACGAGAUUAUUGUGAUUCGUAGAGCUAUUGAAAUUUGAGGAACUAAUAUGCAAUGAAAAUAUUGUGAAAUGAUGGGGCUAGGAAGCUAACUUUUGUUCCGCCAUUACUGUGCUGAUUUCCGUUACAGUUCCGGCGAUAAACCGGCGUCCAAUUGACCAACCAUCAUUAAACCCUAAACCACUACCGUAGCCCGAGUAAAUGUACCUCCGGUCACUCGUCGCCAGCCGGAAUAACCCCCCGCCGCAUCUCUCGUUCACCUUGGCGUUCUUGUCGCGCCACCUAUGUUCCUCAUCCGCCGCCUCUUCGAAGCUCCGCGAUUACUACGCCUUCGAUCCUCCGUCUUCGCUCUCCCCCGAAAAUCGGCCGAGCUAUGACAAUCCAGCUCCUCCGGGGAAAAAGCAGAAAGAGCGGUACCGGCCGCCGUCUUCUCUAAACCAGUCCAGAAAGCCGAUGCACUCCGACCUUCCGUUUGAUUUUCGGUACAGCUACUCGGAGAGCAGCCAGUCGGCUAGACCAAUCGGCCUCAGGGAGCCGAAAUAUUCCCCUUUCGGGCCACGACGGCUUGACCGGAAAUGGACCGGAGUUUGCGCCCCUGCGGUUGAUCCGAAAGUGAAAUCGGUCGACGCAGCGGAGGAUCAGAAUUUGGAGGAGGAGAGACGGAGAAGGAGGGAGAGGAUACAGGGGGAGCCACUCACGAACGCUGAGAGGAAGAUUUUGGUGCAGAGUUGUCAGAGGAAUAAGACCAAAAGGCAAAUCAAUCUCGGUAUGGAGUCUUCUUUUGUUGUGAUUGUUGAGCUUUCUGGAAAAUUCAGUAAUCACUUGCCCUAUUGCUUGAUCGAUGAUCCUAAUAUAUGUGCUAGGGAGAGAUGGAUUCACUCACAACAUGCUGAAUGAUGUUCAUAACAAUUGGAGACAUGCUGAAGCAGUUAGGAUCAAGUGUCUAGGUGUUCCCACUGUUGACAUGAAGAAUGUUUGUGCUCAGCUUGAGGUAAUUCGUGCCCUUUGAGCUGAUUCUCUAGAGGUUCUUCUCUGCUUAUGAUGGAUUUGAGCUUUUUGCACUUUGUGUGUGACAUUUUAACUUCAACCAAUGUUUUGUAAAGUGCAGGAUAAAACAUUUGGCAAGAUCAUUCAUAGACAUGGUGGUCAGCUGGUGUUGUAUAGAGGUCGAAAUUAUAAUCCAAAAAAAAGGCUUCGUGUUCCAUUGAUGCUGUGGACGCCCCGGGAGCCUGUAUAUCCGAAGCUUAUCAAAACAACGAUCGAAGGGUUAAGUAUUGAUGAAACAAAGGAAAUGAGAAAGAAGGGUCUGGCUGUUCCUGCACUCACAAGACUUGGUAAGCUCGGCUUUGUCUUAUGCUCUUUAAUUAAAGUUUUAGAGUGAUGAAUUAGAACUCUUCAUUUCUUUCGAAGUCUAGAGGCUCAAUCUUCUUCAUUUUCAGUGCAAGAAGCAAGUAUGCGAUAUAUAUAACCUGAGUUCCUGACUUGCUUAUUGCAACAUGCAGCCAAGAACGGUUACUAUGGCAGUCUUGUACCCAUGGUGAGAGAUGCUUUUAUUGUAAGUGAGCUGGUUCGCAUAGACUGCCAAGGACUUGAGAGGAGCGAUUACAAGAAAAUAGGCUGCAAACUAAGGGUAUGGCUCUCCACCCCAUCUAAUUCUGCAUUUGGAACGUCAAUAUUGAUGCCCUCUCUCGGAUGGUACUUGUUGCAAUGAAAUUUCAAAGCUAAAAACUUUUAUGCUCCAUUGGGUUGAACGUUUUGAGCUGCUAUGUGUGAAUCUAGCCACUGAACUUAUGUAAAGAGCGGAUCUUUGUUUCUUGUUCUUUAGCAAUGCAAUAUUUCUCUGCGAAACUGUUUCUUAAUGCUUUUAUUUGAUUUUAACUUUGUAUCCAUCUAUACAUCUGUAGGACUUGGUUCCUUGCAUACUGGUGACAUUUGAGAAGGAGCAGAUUGUGGCGUGGAGAGGAACAGACUACAAGCCUCCAGAAGAUGGAUAUCUAUAUACCGAUAGGGAAUUCUUCGAUGAUCCCGAGGGAGACGGGGCUUUUGCUGAAGAUGAACAUAGCUGCUCGGACAAGUAGAUAGACAGGCGACUUGCAGAUUAAAGUCGUCUUCUUUGUGCUUCUGACCGAGGAGGGUAUGGCUUAAUUAGAGCAGUCUGCAACUGUACUAGUUUAGCUUAGAGAAGUUGCUCAUACUUCCUAGAUGAGGAUAAUCCAAGUUUAGAAGGUCAUUGAAAUGGCAGAGUUGUCUUCCAUACAUGUGGUCUUUCCAGUAUGUAUAUAUGUGAUUUUGAAGAAUGCAUGUAUUGCCGGUUUAUAAUACAGUUUAUCAGGUCAAAUACCUAAUUUAUGUCAUUAUUUUCUACCGUGUUAGGUACCGGUACCAAAAUCUACACAUGUUAUGCAUUUGUCUCAAAAUUGACAAAUAGGACCGAUUAGUACUAAUAUGCCUAAACAAGAUCGAAGAGAAACAUAGUUAGCUCGGCGAAGAACAUUUGGCAAUACAAGGGAGGAUGCAAAGCUUAUUCGAUUUCUUAGGAGAGAAGUCAGAAAAUGUAUUAUAAAAUGGGUAAUGAAGAUUGAGUUUUGAGCAUAUAUAGUAAAUUAGGAUCCUAGAAUCUAAAACUAAACACCAUUAGUUCUAGGGUUCUAGCUCAAAGCAUUAUUUGGAACAUGAAUGCCAUACAUCCACCCUAGAUUUUCUAUAAAAAAAAACAAUUUUGGUACGAAAAGAUUUUCAAAUUUGAGUUCAGACCACGGAAAAUCCGGCACACGUGACGCACGUGCUGCGAUACAUCAUCUCCCUCGCGCCCCUUUGUCUUCCACUGUCCACCCUGUCAACCCCGAAAAGCGCCAACAAUGGAGUGCCAAUGAGUCAACCCAAAUACAAAGACGCCCCUUUCCCCAUUCAUUUUCAUCAUUGAUUCCAAAUAGUUCUCCCCAUUUUGAAUCAAUGGCCGCCGUCGCCGCCGAUGACCUCUCCUCCCCUCUUCUCGCCUCCCCUCCUCCUCCUCCUCCACACAUAAUCAUCUCCGUUGACGGCGGCGACCACGACAACAACAAAUCCUCCCCCUCCCCUGGUCAACCAUACUCCAAUGGUCAUCACCAUAAUCACCAGAUUCCUCAAUCUAACAACAACAACCCUUUCGAAUUCCUCGGAAUUGACCGCCACGUGGAUUCCUCCUUGUCCGUCCCUCCGCCUUCGACUGUCGAUCCAUUCCGCAACGGAACUCCCCGAAUCGACGGAAUCUACGAGGCACUUAAGAUCCUGCUGCUACUCCCGAUCAUACUCCUCAGGUUGCUGCUCUUCGGACUCUGUUUGGCCGUCGGAUAUCUCGCUACUAAGCUCGCCAUCCACGGAUGGAAAGACAAAGAGAAUCCUAUGCCCCGAUGGCGAUCUCGCCUCAUGUGGAUCACUAGGUUUUCUGCUCGCGGGAUUCUCUUCUCCUUUGGGUAACUUACAUAGUUUUUGCUCUCUCUCUCGGUUUACUAUAAAGUUGAUAACUUGAUAUAGUAGUAGUUGAAGAAGUUGGUUCUGAAUUUGGUUUUGUCCUGCUGCAAUUAAUGCAUAUCCCAGCUACCAGUGGAUUCGAAGAAAAGGGAAGCCUGCCCCAAGGGAGAUCGCCCCUAUCGUUGUAUCUAACCAUGUGUCGUAUAUUGAGCCCAUUUUUUACUUCUAUGAGAUGUGCCCCACCAUUGUUGCAUCCGAAUCACAUGAUGCUUUGCCCUUUGUUGGAACUAUCAUCAGAGCUAUGCAGGUAAGUAAUUAGUCUCUUGGGCAAUCGUUUUCAGCUAAGCCUUGAACUUUUGUAUAUGCUGAAUGCCGUGUGUACCAGGUUAUAUAUGUAAAUAGAUUCUCACAACCAUCAAGGAAGAAUGCUGUCAAUGAGAUAAAGGUACAAACUUCCCUGCUUCUUUUUUGUUUAUCAAUACGUUGCUUACUACAUUGUCAUGUUCCAACCAAUCAUGGAGAAUAUCCCAAGUCCUAGAUAUGUUGUCGAGUAGGAUUCUUUGAAUUUCAUUGUAGAGUCAAAUUUUCAGUUUAUUAGCUAUUUGAUACAGAAGUGUGUUUUCAAGGAUCUGAAUUCAGAGAAAAGGUGCUUGCGAUAGAUUUCCGCGAGUACUGUUGUUUCCUGAGGGAACCACUUCCAAUGGAAGAGUUCUUCUGUCGUUUCAACUUGGUGCGUUCCUCCCUAAUUAUGCGAUCCAACCUGUGGUCGUUCGGUAUCCACAUGUGCAUUUUGACCAAUCUUGGUAAGCUUGAUUUAUUUGGUAGAAAUUUCUUGUUUUUUCUGCUUUUAAUGCUGGUUUUAGUAAAACUUGCUCAUGGUUGUUCUUCAUCAGGGGAAAUAUUUCAUUAGCAUUGCUUAUGUUCAGAAUGUUCAGCCAGUUUCACAAUUACCUCGAGGUACAGUACAAUUAUGAUUCCUGAUGUCAAGGUCAUUCCUUGGUUAACUUGUAUUAAGCUAAAAUAUCUGCUAAAGUUAAUUAUUUAUGAGCAGGUGGAGUAUCUACCGAUUGUUUCCCCCCUUGACAAUUGCAAAGAAAAUCCUGCACAUUUUUCUAAGAGAGUGAGUUACUGAACAUGGAUGACUUCGUAUAUUUUCUUAUUCAGCUUUUAUAUUUUGAGUUUAAUAUAUGCAUUGGUUUGUAUUCAAAUGGGGAUGUAUAUUGGGUGGUGGUUAUCUCAGUUCUUGGACUGCGUUCUGUAUAGAGACUAAUUAUACGCCCAUCUGUACAGACGAGUAAUGCUAUGGCAACUGCACUAAAUGUCUUACAAACGUUCCAUUCCUAUGGAGACGUGAUGCUUCUCAUGAGAGCAGCUGAGGCUGGCCAGGGUCGCCAUUCUUAAUCUGUAUGCCUUUUUAGAUGAUCUUGCUCAUUGUUUUAGAUAAUCACCUACUGCAUUAAAGUCCGCACGAAGAAGAUAAAACACAAUGUUCACCUUAUCAGGCCAGCUUAGUUUCGUCAUUAUGAUUUGUUGCAUAACUUAAGACUUAGCUAGAGUGAUCAAAUGAUAAUUUUAACAUCUGCUUUCUUACUUAUAUACGUUCAUAGCUCAACUCAUUUCUUCCACUUCUUCUUUCCCACUUCGUUGAGCCUUUUCUGUAGUGCUAUGGAAUUUGCAUAAGUAAUAAUAUAUUACCUGCAGUAUCAUUCGAAAAGCUAUAUGUAAUUGAAUAUCAAUAAUUCCAGUAUCUGAUUUCGUAUCUUAAAUUAGCUCUGUUUGAUAUUUCCGCUUAUCGUUCUUUAAUGUAAUUUGCUGCAGGAGAAUCCGCAAAGUUUUAUGGUUGAAAUGGCAAAGGUGGAAUCGGUAAUAAACAAUACACCGGAGUCAUCUGAUUAUUUAGAUUUAUGGUGUUCCUUUAUGAAGCAUGUUCAAUCAUUAUAAUCGGUUGCACGACCAGAGUUGUAUUUUACGAGAUCACAUAUGAUUUCUCUUUGUGUCAUGUAUAUUAAAGGCUUUAGCUUUAAGUAUAUUCAAACUGAGUUUAUGAUCCUUUGUUUGUCAGUUAUUCCACAUUCGCAGUUUGGAAGCUAUGGAUUUUCUUGAAAAGUUUCUUUCUAUGAAUCCAGACUCCAGGUUUGAAGCUCUGCGAUGCUCUUUUGUUUGUUUGUGCAAUAGAGAACCAAAUAAUCCUGUCUAACACUGAUCCUUUCUGCAGCGGUCGUGUUAAGUUCUAUGAUUUUUUGAGGGCUCAUAGACUCAGACCUUGCACACUUUCAGAAGAGGUUAGUAAGUAGAAUUAUUCUUCUUGAUCCUGAAACUUGUUGAUAUAGAUGUAUACUAUUUUUUACAAAUGAUGUUAGUUAGCUGAUAGUUACUCACGACUUAGUACAUGCCGAGUUUUCAACUUGGAGGUCGAAUUGGAGGUCAUGCCGAGUUUUCAAGAUUUUUCAGUAAUUUAUGUGCAUCUGAGUUACAUUCUCUUAUUUUAAGUCCGUUUUAUGGAGUGUAGGUAUUUGCAUUCCUCGAUGUAGAAAAGAGUGGUUCAAUUACAUUCAAGCAGGUACCUUUUUCCUCUCUACUUUUGUUUCCAUAAGUUUGGAAGUACUUUCAUGCUUGACUGGAACUACUGCUAAAAGCAACUGUGUUGUUUGUCUGGUGCAGUUCUUGUAUGGAUCAUUGCAUGUCAUGAAACAACCGCAAUUCCGGCAAACGUGUGAACUAGCUUUUAGUGAAUGUGAUGUUAGGGGAGACCAUGAAAUCUCAGAACACGAGGUAUGUUUCCCCUAAAUAGAACACACACUACCUCCAUUCGCGUUUCAAUUAUUCCACACUGAUGACUUCACCUUGCUCGUCAAUUUGAUUUUUUAAACAGUUCGGAGAUGUCAUCAGACUAACAAUUCCAGAUUUAGACAAAGAUGAGGUACUUUGUGAAGUAGAUACUGUCUUUAGUAAUAUUCCUUCCAGUUUUGUCUAGCUGACUUCUUCAGUACUGCAAACGAAUUCUUCAGCUGAGUGUUGGGUUUUGGUACUCCAGGUUCAUGAAUUGUUCAAGUUGUUUGACGUGGAUGCGAAAGGUACGGUGAGCACGGAUGACUUCAACUCCUUCUUGCGAAGGAACCCGUUGCUCGUAGCUCUAUUUUCGGAGUGUUUGGCUCGUAGAGAUACCACAGAGGAUUCUGAUUCAAUGCUGGAAGAGUUUGUGUGAUUUUGUUUGGGGACUGAAAUCUUGUGUGGGUUUUGAUUUAGAUGUGUUGUAAUAUUUCCUUUAUCCAUCUAUAAAUUAAACCCCUUAGUUUGCUAUUUCGUUUUGUUUUGCUGUGCUUUGAUGAUUCUUUUAAAGGGAAAAGAGAAACUAUAGUUAAAGAAAGAGAGGCAAGCAAAGGGUAAAGUUUUUUUUUUCGAAAUCAAAAUCACUUCAUUUAAUCGAUGGUCUAUCGAGGGACCAAAAGAGUUCACAUAGAUCAAACACCAAUCAGGAGGUGUCUCCCCAUAAAUGGGCGACGCUAAUAAACGAGAUCGACGAACAAACUUGUGAGCAACCACAUUUCUAUUUCUCCUAAUUCAUUCCACCCUGAACAAUGCUUACUACUAAGAAUUCUCCGGCAAUGUCAUUAGUGUGGGAAAGAAUAGAAAAUGCUAGGUGUUGACUUGGAAUAUAAUAUUUUUCUUUUAUUCCGAUAACUCAUAACCGAAUAUAUCAUUCUUCAGACAGUUCGAUCCAGUGAAACUACUAUUUCAGCACCUCCUGACAACCGUAUGCAACCAACGCUCCAUCUCAAACUAGCUCAUCCAAUCGAAGUAGAGGGAAAUAAUGGAAAAUGACAUUUUUUUCUAGUUUGGAUUAAAGGACGGUGGAGGAUGCCAUGAUACUUGAUCAGUCUUCGCUACUUGAUCAACCCAUCAGGACGGUGAAGGAUAUUUCUUAGAAGCCGCCUUCACUUUGUUGGGUCACCCUCAACUCCUGCUAACUCUGUCAUUAGUGAGACCGGACCAGCAACAAAAAGAGGGAUUAGUUGGUUAAAGUUACGCACAUCUAUCAUGAAGACAGCAAAAACUAUAUACUAUCUUGUUAGCCUCGACCAUUCACAACUAUAUUGGUGAUUAUGUUUCUAUUGAUCAUGAUCCUAAGCCAUCUCAUUUAUUAAUGUAUGACUUUCUUAGUUUAUCGGAGUCACGUGAGGUCUCUGAACGAAAAAUAAAAGCGGUUUGCAUUUGGGUUUUUCGAAAAACCAUCCAUUCAACCGAAAGUGUUAGCACUAUUUUAAGGUUUGAACAAACCUUAACCUUAGUAGUCGGGCUUUAAUUAGAGUUUGAAGCUUGUGAGUCUGAGUUUGCAUCUUCAGCCGACAUCUUUUUUUUUUUUUUGCAAAUGUUUUGGAAGAAUUAAUGAAAUUAAACAAGUGAGAGAACAAAAAGAUUGUCCUUUUAAGGAAAAAUAAAAAUAUAUUUAUUGCUUUUUUAUUUUUAUCUAUUUCUGGUGUAUGAAAAGCUGGACCAUAAUAAUAAUAAUAAUAAUAAUAAAGAAAUAAGAGUGGUGGAUCGAAAGAUGAUUGAUUGGCCCCCUAUGCGUUUUCGGUUUCUCAUUGGUUCUUCCUUGUACCCUUUGUACGGACUAAUCCUCCAUCUCUCUCUUCCCCUUUCAUACUUUGCCCCCAAUCUUCUCUCUUAUUUACUGUUUUAACCCCCAUCCCUUUCAUUUUCUUUUUCUUUUAUUUCAGAAAUCAUAAAUAAUGAAUUAUAAAACAGAAUAGGAAUCUUUAUCUGCAUUAUCACAGGUGAAAAAUGNNNNNNNNNNNNNNNNNNNNNNNNNNNNNNNNNNNNNNNNNNNNNNNNNNNNNNNNNNNNNNNNNNNNNNNNNNNNNNNNNNNNNNNNNNNNNNNNNNNNNNNNNNNNNNNNNNNNNNNNNNNNNNNNNNNNNNNNNNNNNNNNNNNNNNNNNNNNNNNNNNNNNNNNNNNNNNNNNNNNNNNNNNNNNNNNNNNNNNNNNNNNNNNNNNNNNNNNNNNNNNNNNNNNNNNNNNNNNNNNNNNNNNNNNNNNNNNNNNNNNNNNNNNNNNNNNNNNNNNNNNNNNNNNNNNNNNNNNNNNNNNNNNNNNNNNNNNNNNNNNNNNNNNNNNNNNNNNNNNNNNNNNNNNNNNNNNNNNNNNNNNNNNNNNNNNNNNNNNNNNNNNNNNNNNNNNNNNNNNNNNNNNNNNNNNNNNNNNNNNNNNNNNNNNNNNNNNNNNNNNNNNNNNNNNNNNNNNNNNNNNNNNNNNNNNNNNNNNNNNNNNNNNNNNNNNNNNNNNNNNNNNNNNNNNNNNNNNNNNNNNNNNNNNNNNNNNNNNNNNNNNNNNNNNNNNNNNNNNNNNNNNNNNNNNNNNNNNNNNNNNNNNNNNNNNNNNNNNNNNNNNNNNNNNNNNNNNNNNNNNNNNNNNNNNNNNNNNNNNNNNNNNCCGAGAUCUACACUCUUUCCCUACACGACGCUCUUCCGAUCUUAGAACAAUUUUAUUUGAAAUUUUAUCAUUUUUACUUGGUUUUUAUAAAACUCAUUUUGAUGUGAUAAAAACCUUUUGAAAUGAAUAAAAGAUAAAUAAAUAAUGCUCACUAGAGCAAUCAUGUUAUUUGGCUCGAUAAACCUUUGAUGUUUUCGAUUGAAAUCGCUAUAUCUGCUUAAUGCAAUUUGUAGAUUUCGGUAUAAGAAAACAUAUUUUUUUCACUCAAAUAAUAGAUAUUAUUAUUUAUAUAUUCAUGAAUUAUUUUCUUCCCCCUUUGUUGUGGGGUUAGUGGAUGAGAUAUGUCAUCAGGUUGUUCUCUUUUAAUAACAAAGAAAAAUCAGUUUAAUAGUCUGUCAUCAUCUCUUUGCAUUUCUCUCUCUCUCUCUGCUAUUUUGUUUCACAUUUCUGGUUCUUUCUGCAACUUCUGCCAUUGAUCCAUCCUUUCCUUUUUAUUUCCAUACCCUGCAGCUCUCUUUGCUUUAUUUGGCAUCUGUUUUCCUUUUCUUUUCCCCUCUUUUACAAAACCCUUUUCUGGGUUUAUUUGCUUAUUUGGUAAAACUUUCCAAAAUCCCCCCUACCCUUUGACCUACACCGCCCCCUCACACACUAUCCUCUCUCUCUCUCUCUCUCUCUCUCUCUCUCUCUCUCUCUCUCUCUCUCUCUCUCUCUCUCUCUCUCUCUCUCUCUCUCUCUCUCUCUCUCUCUCUCUCUCUCUCUCUCUCUCUCUCUCUCUCUCUCUCUCUCUCUCUCUCUCUCUCUCUCUCUCUCUCUCUCUCUCUCUCUCUCUCUCUCUCUCUCUCUCUCUCUCUCUCUCUCUCUCUCUCUCUCUCUCUCUCUCUCUCUCUCUCUCUCUCUCUCUCUCUCUCUCUCUCUCUCUCUCUCUCUCUCUCUCUCUCUCUCUCUCUCUCUCUCUCUCUCUCUCUCUCUCUCUCUCUCUCUCUCUCUCUCUCUCUCUCUCUCUCUCUCUCUCUCUCUCUCUCUCUCUCUCUCUCUCUCUCUCUCUCUCUCUCUCUCUCUCUCUCUCUCUCUCUCUCUCUCUCUCUCUCUCUCUCUCUCUCUCUCUCUCUCUCUCUCUCUCUCUCUCUCUCUCUCUCUCUCUCUCUCUCUCUCUCUCUCUCUCUCUCUCUCUCUCUCUCUCUCUCUCUCUCUCUCUCUCUCUCUCUCUCUCUCUCUCUCUCUCUCUCUCUCUCUCUCUCUCUCUCUUUCCCUCUUUCAUUGAUCUUCUUAACGUUGAAUCCACAAGCUCAAAAUGUUUUUAUCUAAUAAAAAAGUACAAACCUUUUGUUGAUUUUUCUUUCUGGGAAAUUGUUAGUCUGUUCAGUCUUCUGUGUCUCAUGUUUCCUUUUUACUGAUUUGCUUGUUUGUUUCCCAGAUAGGGAGUCUAAAGAUCUAAUUCCAUAAGGAUGUAAUGUUUCUUUCUUCUUUUGAGGGGGUUAUUAACUAAUGGUUUUAAUCUUAUGUUUCUAUAAGAGAAGUACUGAUGAUUUCCUUUGAUCCAAUCUGCUCAGAAGCAAUAACUCCUAGCUAGCCAACUGAUGGGACUGAAGGAGCCCUUGGCUAACAAUCUUAUGUGCUAAUCAAGUUUAAGCUAUGCUUAUAAGAACUGAUUGAUUGUUUUCUUAUUUAUGGACAUAAAAAGGUUGAUUGUUUUUUAUUUAUUUACUUGGAGUUUUCAUGACUGCAACUUGCAAGUUUCAGAAAGGCCAGUACCAAGUACUACUUACUAUAACUACAACUACAUACUAUUUUAAGGUCACAUUCUCGUACAGUUGUGACAACUGGAGGUUGAUUGGUUCAGUUUGUUUUUGCAGUUACUAUCAGAGAGUAGUCAUUCUUUAAGUUCAUAUACAACUAGACUUUAAAGGAUAGGAUUAAUCAAAUGUUAUUCCAAUGACAUUGAGACCCAAUUCGAGUUUUAUUCUUAGCUGAUAUGUUCGUCUUACCUCAAACUACUAUGAAGAAAACUUUGUUGCCUAAUACGUCGUUACUAAUUGGACUUGCAUUUAUUGUGAAGGUUUUUUCUCUCUUUUAUCUUCCAUUUCUAAUGUUGGUUUUUUUAUCUCUUUGAUCUUGUUGCAUAUACUCCAAGUAUCUCUAUAGUUCCAUAGAUUUAUACUCCGAGUUGAUUCUUUAUAAAUCUAUGUUUCUGACAUUUCCUAUUUUAAUGCUUUAGAGUGUGUACUUGUGAAUAGCUAUUGUUAUUUGGUUGUCCUUUAACAAUAUAUUAAUUAGGCCAGGUUGUUUGGUUUUACAUACAUUUAUAUCUCUUCUAACGAGGAUCCAAUUUCCUUGUUGAUUGAUGAAUCCUUUUGNNNNNNNNNNNNNNNNNNNNNNNNNNNNNNNNNNNNNNNNNNNNNNNNNNNNNNNNNNNNNNNNNNNNNNNNNNNNNNNNNNNNNNNNNNNNNNNNNNNNNNNNNNNNNNNNNNNNNNNNNNNNNNNNNNNNNNNNNNNNNNNNNNNNNNNNNNNNNNNNNNNNNNNNNNNNNNNNNNNNNNNNNNNNNNNNNNNNNNNNNNNNNNNNNNNNNNNNNNNNNNNNNNNNNNNNNNNNNNNNNNNNNNNNNNNNNNNNNNNNNNNNNNNNNNNNNNNNNNNNNNNNNNNNNNNNNNNNNNNNNNNNNNNNNNNNNNNNNNNNNNNNNNNNNNNNNNNNNNNNNNNNNNNNNNNNNNNNNNNNNNNNNNNNNNNNNNNNNNNNNNNNNNNNNNNNNNNNNNNNNNNNNNNNNNNNNNNNNNNNNNNNNNNNNNNNNNNNNNNNNNNNNNNNNNNNNNNNNNNNNNNNNNNNNNNNNNNNNNNNNNNNNNNNNNNNNNNNNNNNNNNNNNNNUGAGUAGAUGCAGAAAUGAUGUUGAAAUUUUGUGUACUUUGAAGAAGUUAUGCGUGGAGAUUUUUUACCUCGCAGCUAAAUUUUAAGUGUGAGAUCGUCCAAUAAUAGUUAAUAUUGAUAUCACUAUCUAGUUGAAGCUCUAGAGUGUUCAAAUCAUAAUAAAUGAAAGUUGUUGAUGAUUUUCAUACAGUGCAGUCUUAGUUACAGAUACAAGUGAGACUUCUAAAUUAAACACUUCUCUAUUCCCUAAUAUCCAACCUGUAUUUUCGUUCAAAUUACAUAACAUUUAGGGUUUUGAUGUUUGAGGUUUCUGGUUCCAUUGUGCAUAAAUGCACCAUGAUUCUCUCUAAUAGCGGUUAAGUACGUGUACAUAUUGAAUGUAAUUACUAACAAAGUAAAAGAAGUGUAGCUAAUUUUUAACAUUAUUUGUUAUAUGAUUUACGUCAAUGAGAAGGUGGAACUUUCAUGACAUGCAUUGUGCAUUAUGCAUGGUCCACUAGCUAGCGAGAUUUUAUACUUAUCUUGCUGUGGUCCGUCAACUUGAGUCAUUGACGGACCGGAAAUAUCAUUACGGUCGGGGUAGUCGAGUGCAAUGAAAGCAGAUUAGUGUUUUUUAUAUCUGUUGAUGUUCAUAUUGGACUAAGUUUCUAUAGUGCCAAUGAGAUGAGGUUCUAGUUAGGAGUUUUCACAAUGGCUUAGAUGAAGGUGAGUUCAGAACAGGAAAGGAAAUAACUUUCAUUUAUCAUUUUUGGCAGCUGUGGUUUUAAGAGCUUACUUAUAAUCAACUGAUUCUCUUUUCUGUUCGUUUCGUGUCUAAACUUCUGGUUUUUCUUCUGGAGUUUAGCAUGCAGAGCACAAUUGAACGUUACAGGAAGCAUGUUAAAGACAGUCCAAAACCCAGGCAGCCUUCCGAACAAAACAUGCAGGUUAUUUUCAUGGCUGAGUCUCUGAGUAACGUGCACGGCAAGAUCCAAUGUUGAGCUUUGAACUGGCUGCAGAUAUUGAAGGAGGAAGCAGCAACUAUGAUGAAGAAGAUACAGGUUCUUGAACUCUCGAAAAGGAGGCUAAUGGGAGAAGAUCUUGGAUCAUGCACUUUAGAAGACCUACAGCAGAUUGAGCAACAGUUGGAGAGCAGUGUUUGUGUGGUUCGAGCCAGAAAGGUCUCAUCUUUUCUCAUUCCAUAAUUAAGUUUCUACCUCACCAUGCAAUAUUCAUUCAGUUCUUCUAUGACCCAAUACAAUCAAUUCCAUUGACUAUGAAACCAACCCCAAUCACAACAUUACACACAUCUGCUGCAACCCUAGUUGAUUGUUUUUUUUUUAAUUAGUAGAGCUCUCGAAACAUAACCCACUCAGUCUAGUCUCAGCUCAACUCAACAACAUGUGAUUCUAAUUGACCAAAAGUCAAACACUUGUAACUUUACCCAACUCGAAAAUUGGUGAACUUGCAACACAUGUGAUAUGUUUUAUCGAUUGACUAUCUAAUUGAUCAAACCUGUAAUCCACUCAACCCACCGUAUUGGUUGCUUCCUAAUUUUGAGAAUUUCUUCUAUGUGCUUUAGACUUUAGUGAACAUGUGCACUAAUUCAAAUGACUUGUUUAUAUGUCCAGAAUCAAGUGUUCAGGGAACAAAUUGAGAAGCUGAAAGAAAAGGUGACUGUUAUUCCCCUAGCGAUUAAUGAAAACAUGUCAAGUUUCAUUACUUCCAUUCUAUCUAGCAUUCAAUGAAGAUCCAACAAAAAAUGGGGUUAAUUGUCUAUUCUGCAGGGAAGAGAAUUGGUGGCUGAGAAUGAGAAGCUGUCCAGAAAGGUGAGAAUUGGUGUGUUAUCAUCUGUGAAUGCUGUUCUUAUUUUCAGAAUUUGAUAUAACACUUGCAUGGCUAGAAAAAAAUAAUGUUAAAACUACCAAUUUUGUACUCUCUGUUCAACAACUCAAAUGAUUGAGAAAAUAUGAUUUUUUACAUGUUAUAAUUUUCUUAUUUUUGGGGUUUAUGGAUUUCGGUUAUGAUGUUUUCUCGUUGUCGGUUUCCAUAUUCUUAUUUCCUUUUCCCAUAAUCAUCCCCAAAAAAUUAAUCUUUCAAGAUCGGAGCUAUUAGUGACAAUGUGAUAAAAAAAAAGAAAUAUUUUAAAGGAAUUCGAUAUCUUGCAUGUAUAUUUCUUCUAUAAUAAAGUUCUCAUCAAUCUCAAAAAAAAAUGCUAUCACAUUUAAAUCAUGUUAGCCUCAAUAUGACAUUUUCACUUGCAUAGCCAUGAUGGUCCUUAACAAACUUCAAUCCCCUUACGGUGUUUGAUCGUUUGAGGGAAACGAAUGACUCGAACAUGUUUGGUAAUGCAGUGUGAGAUGGAGCAAAUGUCGGAAGAACGACAGGAGGAGCAGCAGCAGCAGCAGCAGAAGGGCAACGAGGAGGACAAUGAUGACGACGAGCAGCAAUGGCAUCAGAAUGAAAAUUCAGGAGGUGGAGGGUAUGAAGAAGGAAGUCCAGUUUCAGAUGUGGAGACUGAACUCUUCAUUGGACUCCCAAUUACCAAGCGCUUGCUUCCUAGGAAUUGAAUCAUUUACUUGGUUUACCUGAUGCUGCUGCUGGUACUCACUUGGUUCAUAAGAUUUAAGCCUCUGAUUAUGUUAGAUGCAUCACAACUUGUAUGAAAAUCUAAUGAUCACAAUCUUAGGCAUUUGAAUUUUCCCCCUUUUAUUUUGAAAUAUUCUUCCAAUGCUACUGUAGUAGAUCUAAAUAUAUAGAGCUGUGAUAUGAAUAAAUUUGUUAAUCAUGGAAGUUCUUGUAAAACAAGAACACAGUACGUUGUUUCUACCCAAUGAAAUUAAAUAGAGUUCUAAAUCUACAGAACAAACGGAUUUUACUCGAGUUAUAGAUUAUCAGUGGUUCCUUUACAGUCACCCAAAAUAGUAAGUGGUUCCUUUAACAUGACAACUCUAGUAUUUUUUUCAUGUGUAGUUUUUAUUUUAAAAAAUAAGGUGGCCACGAAUAAUUUUAUUAACUACCUAGAAAUUAANNNNNNNNNNNNNNNNNNNNNNNNNNNNNNNNNNNNNNNNNNNNNNNNNNNNNNNNNNNNNNNNNNNNNNNNNNNNNNNNNNNNNNNNNNNNNNNNNNNNNNNNNNNNNNNNNNNNNNNNNNNNNNNNNNNNNNNNNNNNNNNNNNNNNNNNNNNNNNNNNNNNNNNNNNNNNNNNNNNNNNNNNNNNNNNNNNNNNNNNNNNNNNNNNNNNNNNNNNNNNNNNNNNNNNNNNNNNNNNNNNNNNNNNNNNNNNNNNNNNNNNNNNNNNNNNNNNNNNNNNNNNNNNNNNNNNNNNNNNNNNNNNNNNNNNNNNNNNNNNNNNNNNNNNNNNNNNNNNNNNNNNNNNNNNNNNNNNNNNNNNNNNNNNNNNNNNNNNNNNNNNNNNNNNNNNNNNNNNNNNNNNNNNNNNNNNNNNNNNNNNNNNNNNNNNNNNNNNNNNNNNNNNNNNNNNNNNNNNNNNNNNNNNNNNNNNNNNNNNNNNNNNNNNNNNNNNNNNNNNNNNNNNNNNNNNNNNNNNNNNNNNNNNNNNNNNNNNNNNNNNNNNNNNNNNNNNNNNNNNNNNNNNNNNNNNNNNNNNNNNNNNNNNNNNNNNNNNNNNNNNNNNNNNNNNNNNNNNNNNNNNNNNNNNNNNNNNNNNNNNNNNNNNNNNNNNNNNNNNNNNNNNNNNNNNNNNNNNNNNNNNNNNNNNNNNNNNNNNNNNNNNNNNNNNNNNNNNNNNNNNNNNNNNNNNNNNNNNNNNNNAAAGACAGAAACUUAUGAUGUAUCUUGAACAUAAAAUUAAUCACUCUUUUGAUAUAGUACUUAGAUCAAAUAAGAAAAAAAUAUAAACAUUAAAAAAGAUUACACGAAAAAAAGAAAUAUAUACAUUUAUUGAUAUAUUGGAUAUGAAUUUGAUAAAAAUUAAUAAUGAAAAAAUAACUAUUGAAGAACACAUGUAAUGAAUAUUAAAUUUAAUAUAAAAACCACGAUCUCAAUUUUUUUAUUAGAAAAAAUUCAAAAAUAUAUAUCCAAUCAUAUAAUUUUAGUUGGAAAAUAAAUAAAUAAAUAUUUAGCUAUCCCCUAAAAAACAAAACAUACAGUUAUUACAAAUUGGAAAAAAUAGGAGAUAUAAAGAUCAAUUAAUUAAAUAUAAAAAAGAUCAAUUAAUUUAUGACGGAUGUAUCAAAUUAGUUGGAAUGGGCUUGAGGCCCAAUUCAUGUUUGGUUCUUUUUUUUUUUGUAUUAACAAUUAGCGAAAUAUUUUGAAAGAUGGCGGGAAGCCGCCGCUACUGCAACUAUUGGUGGAGAAUUGGGUAGGAGAAGGAGCGUGAGAGAGAGAGAGAGAGGGUGGUGGCUCGUCAGAAGGCUCCGACGACCUUGGACGGUGCCGGAGACAGGAUAAUUGCCGAUGAUGGGGAGCUGCCGAGUGCCGCCGAUGAACAGAGAUUGAGAUGAAUAGGGAUUAUCAAAUAAAGUUUGACUAAUUUUGAUGACGAAGUUGAUGGGCCAAUAUUUUAAUUAAUGAGCCCAAUUAUAAUUCGGCCCAAUGAUGUUUCGUUAUUUUCAUUCCUAAAUUAAAACAUGGGCUGAUGUAUCAAAAUGUAAAAAACAUAUUCUCUUUAUAUAUUGUUUAGAUAUGAUUGGCAUCAACUGGAUUGGUGCUUCUUUGCCCUGCCUUGGGAGGCUGCACUUGAACUUUCCCCUUCUGGUUUCCUAGCCCAUUCCGGUGCCUGGUCAGGUCCGUAACGAUAAUCAUAGAACAGCUCCUCGCUCGCGUUGAUGUUCUCUUUCGCGAAAAUCCCCACUCGGUGAUCUCCAGCCACCAGCAUUACCUGAAACAUUUGCACAGAUGGAUGAAUACAAAGUCGUUUCACAGGUGAUUUUGAUUGGAAGGCUUUUUGUUUUACCUUAGCAUAGCAAUUCGGAUCCAACGAAUGGUUCGCAAACUUCAGCUUAUCUCCUUUGCGGUACGCGUCUAGGACAAACUGAUGAGACACAAUACGGAUGUGAAUGUUAGUUCAGAUGAAGGAAAAAUGCCUAAAGAAACAGGAACGGGGACUUGCCUGAUCGUUCAAGUCGAAAAGGAAUGAAGAGUUGGCACGAUCGUAGAUUUUCCCUCGCUUAUCUGCUUCUCGGUGUGAGAUCAGUUCACCGGUGUAUUCUCCAAGGUAGUCGUUUUUAUUGACGGAAUUCUGGAAUCACAUUUCAUUGGUAGCUAAUUCACAAAAGAAGAACCACUAAACAGGACGAAAGAGCAGUGGAAUAUGCAAAAGAAGUAACCUUUAGGAAGGCUCCCCAUCCAGCCACAUCCGACUUUGCCAAGAUAAUCUGGAACCAGCUUCAGAUUGUUUAUCAAGCUACUCAAUUAGCAUUACCAUUUUACGAAAAAACGCAGAUAGAAAUUGCGUACCCUUUGUUGUUGCCUGAGAAGUAGCCUCAUGUUUCCACACUGACCAUCCCCUCGUUUCGGUGGCUCUCCCAACGAACCAUCUCCACAACUGCGUCAACAAACAAAGCAGAAUCUUUCAACAUGCUGAAGAAAAAUCUAUGCAUUUUCACAUGCUAGUAAGUAGAUCAUACCUAACCCAGCAAUUGCGGCAGACAUCUGGAUCACAUUCACGACCUGCUGCGAAGCAUGGACAUUGUCGACUUCUACACUGGCUUUUUGCACAAUGGCAUCCUCUGAACCGAUUUUUGCAGCUUUUUGAGCACCUUGAAAAUUUUCACAAACAAUUAAUGAUUUCCAAGUGAAUAAGCUAUAUUGCUAACUCUUCUGAAUAGCUGUGAUGUGCAUGAAGUACAGCAUGCUAAUUGAAAAUUUCCACACGAUUAUUAUAACGUGCAGUGGUAAUGUGCACUGGAAACCCUAUGACAUACCCGCAGUAUUUCUCACAGCAAGUCCCAUUUUCUAAACAUGGACAGUGUGUUCCACAGGUCGGUUGGCACCCACAUGGUGUAUACUGCUUACAUGACUGGUCUUUGCUAUCAGCAAUUCUUUUCCGCAUUGAUGAUGGAUGGCCAGAAGACUUCCAUGAAUAUUUUAACCUACGAGUUCUGCCUUUCCGGCGGAAGAUUCGUGUUCUUGCCGGCAUCUCCUGCUCCAAGAACAAAGGAAAGAGGGAUGAAUUAAGGGAAAAAGGAGGUCUAUACUUUAUAUAUUUUCCUCCAAAAGAACACAUCAUUUAGUGAAUAGUACUACUUCUAACAGACCACAGAUGCCAUGAUUUUAAAAUCUGGAAGAUGAACUUUGUUCCUCGACUAUUAAAGUGCAUACCAUAUAAUCUGCGUCAGUUACCCCGUUAUCUUCUGAAGAUGAACUUCGUGCAAGAGAUCUGUUAUUCACUGUAGCACCACUAUCACGCAUGUAUUUGUACACCUCUAUGCAAGUCUUGAAACCAGAGAGCAAGUUUCUUGCUAUAAGGCAACUGCCACAUACAGAAAUGUCAAUAUGAACUUCUGCAAAACAUGACAAAACACUGCAAAUGAAGAAAUAACAAACAGAACAGGACAUAGCAAUUACAGCAAGAUAACAAGUAAGCAAUACUGCCGACUAGACUACAGACAGGGUUAAAUUAGAAACAGUGGAAGUUAUGAAUGAUCAGCGAGACACCGCCUUAAUUCACAUAGAUAAUUCUUUAGAUGGAUGUCAUUGGACAUAGCACGGAUAAAGUUGACGCCUAGAAAAAAUAUGGGUAUGAAGCUCUGUCUCUGGCCAACUGCAGCAAUUACACCUUGAACAUAGAGAAUUGUGGAGCACAAGUGACAGUAAAGAUGCUGAAUCCACAAAUCAAGAAUGGUCUAACCUGUUUUUGCCAAACAUCUCAACUCCUUUCAAGUAUAGAUCUUUUUCAAGAGUUCUCCAUACAGUGCUCUUUCCUGGUGACAUUGCCUGAAUCCUUGGCACGUCGUUGACUUUCUCAUGCUUAAGUCCAACAUCUACCUCAGUCGUACUAGUGCACUUUAAUGGUGAGAUUGAAUGAUCCCUUUCCAGAAUGUUUGUCACUUUUUUAUGCCCAGCUCCAGUAAUUUUCUCAGAACCAGUAGAAAAGCCCUCUUUCAAUGUACAUUCAAAGGGUGAAUUAUCAUUAAUCAUAUCAGUUGCAGUUUUAGUACUAGAACCAAGAUCGACAGUAGGAACACUUUCUCUCCCUGAAAUUACGUCCCCGGAAAAUGAUUCUUUCUGCUUCUUGCAUGAAGAAUCAUGAAAAUCGAAAGCAGCCUGCUUUGAUGUGGCUGCUUCUAUAUAAGUCUGAGGCGUAGCUUUGCGCUUCAGCUUCUGAGUGUCUUCUAUGCCUUCAUCUAUAUCAGAUACAUCUGUAUGCCGAGUUUUGGGAUUGGUUUCUGGAUCACAAGUAGCUUCUGAAGGAACAAGUGUCCCUUUUUCAUACAUAGAACUUUGACUUUCCUCAAGUCCUGCACCGCCAUCGGUAUCACCUGGAAGCCCAUCACCUAAGGUGAUUAGGCUCUUUCCUCUUUCCUCUCUAUUUUUCGUCCCAUGUUCAGGAAAGUCUUCAAGUCUUAGCUGCAAGCCCUUAAGCUUGAGAUUAGUUUGUGAAUUUGCACAAACAGAGACAAACACUUAUAAUACACAACUAGCAGGAUGUUAAAUAGCAGAGCACAUGCGAUUUUCACAACACACAAAACAAACUAACUGCACAGUCAAAAGGGCUUUAGGAUGAUCUCCCCUUUUAGUUAUCAUCAUUGUUGCAUGAAAUUGAAAUCUGCUGAUUCAGAUGCCAUUGAGGAUAGAAAAAUCAUACCUGAAGGUAACAUUGAUCGCCACAAGGUUUUUUGUCAUCUUCAUUCGCCGGAAAAUAUGAUUGCCUUUCAUUCUGACAACAGAAGCCCCCGACUUGUGUUAAUCCUUAUAGGAAAAUAUUAAUCUCAUCUUAGUUAUUCUUACGUCGAUACUUACUGGAGUAAUCAAAGUUUGAGAACAGCCAUGCAGACGGCAAUCAAAUACCUGUUAUAAUGAAUAAAGGAAAUCAAGAAAGGAAAGCAUAUUUAUAGUCCAAUGCAGUGACAUUUUGAGAAGGACAAAGGAAAAAUUACCAGGCAACGACGACAGAAAAGGUUAUCAAAAGAAUCCAGAGCAGCACUAAGGCUCUUCUCCAAGUUGAUGCCCCUAGCAUGUCCAGGAUCCCUAACAUUCUUCAGAUUCUGGUCCCUCGCAAACUUCUCAUUGAGAAAGCUACAUCUGUCCUGCCAAACUCAAAUACUAUGCAUAGUUUAGCCAAAUGAAUACGAAAAGGGGCCUUUACCAAACAUGAGCAGUGUCAAAGGGAAACCAGCUCAUGCCAGUUGGAUUAAAUAAAUGUCAGCACCCUGAUCUCCAUAGCGCCGACUCCAAUAAUCUGGCUAACGAGGCCGACGACACUGUCUAGCAAUCCACCUUCCUGAAAGGCAGUCCUACAAAAAAAUCAGAAGAUAUUCAAAUUCUACAACAAGAGAUCAAACCACAGUAAAGCUAAUUCCAUGACAUAUUAGGAUGGAAUGUGUACCAUGUUAACUUCACAAGAUUGAAUGGACUAGGGAAUAUCUUACUUGAACCUACCAUAUAACACGAUCUUCGCCCUCUGUGAAUUCAUGUUUCUCUUCCUCAGGAUCUGCAGUCUCUUCCUCGCUGUCGCUACAGAUGAGUGCCUCGCCAUCAUUCUGUUCAUAAUAUAUUCGCCUUCUCCCAACGACGGAUUGGUCUUCAGUCAUUUUCUGAUUCCUGGAGCAAUGAAGAACAAAUUAGUGAGUCAUAUUAUUUGCUAAAUAUGCCUAACCAUCGAAGAAGGAAUUUUCUAAAGAGCAACUAGCAUAUACAUAAUCCUUCAUCACUUGAAGCUUAGGAUAUACUCAAAUCAUUACGUUCUUACUAAUUAUUCAUUGUUCUUGUCGAGACUGGCAUACCUGUGUAGAUAUAUCCAACUAGUAUACUUUGGUAUCUUCUCAACAUAAGGAAGCUUCGUGUUUGUCCACUGAAGAUUUUCCUGACCAAUACAGUUCUCUCUAUCUCCUGCUCCUUGAACGAAUCCACUGUGUACAUACAGUGGAUCUUUAAUUCUCGUCGAGAUUGCUCCGGAAACUCCUUGCAUCCCUGCGUAUGAUGACGUUGCUAAUACAAGCUUAGACAUAUCCUUCUCCAGUUUCUUCUGGUUCUUCUCCAUUUUCUCCUGUAAAGUUCAUGCAAGGUAGGUAGGUUAUUAUCCGUGGGUUAAAGAGAGAUAUUCAAACAAAUGAACCAGGCUUUCACACUGAUCAUCCUAAUCGAACUCUUGAAAAUCUCCAGAAAAAUCUCAAUCACGUCCAUACUAGAUUGAAUUGAAAGAUUUACUUUCACAGAGACAACUCUUUCGUCUUGAAUUUCCUUCACCAGCUGAUUCAAAUUAUGCCUGAGGUUGCCAGUACCACCACCAAAUUCCUCUUCCUGUGAAAGUAAAUUCGUACGAUCAUACACUGAAAAAAAAACAACAAACGAAGUAAAUUUGAAAAACAAAAAUCCGCCAUUCCAACGAAAACCCAGCUCGAAAGAAACAAUUUCAGCUCAUUUAGUAAUGAUCAGAUCACCAAGACUUUUCAAACACAUACAUCAUUCAAGCAUUUCAUUAGAUCACAAGCAGAAUCAGGCCAUGUCAAGAGUAAACGAAUACAGAGGAAGUUUUUACUGACUUGAAACGUGGAUGCUGAGUCGCUUGACUUGGACUCCAUAGCUAAAGGAAGACUGAGCUCCAUUGAGGAUUAAGGAUGACAAUUCUGGUAAAGGCUAGUUCGGACCAACAGUAGCUUUUUGUUUGUUGUCCUAAUUUUUCAUCAGGACCCCAUGGCCAUGGCCAUACAACAAAUCAAAGGCUAAUUCAUAUUUUUCGUCACCUAACUAUCAAAAGAUUUCGAAAUGAACAUAUACUUCACGAAGAAACGAGUACGAGUUGGAGUUGACGUAAAUGUACUUGAAUAAUGCUAUCUCGAUCUCUUAUGCUGGAUUAGGCGGCGGCGGAAAAACCACUUGAAUAGUGCUAUCUCGAUCUUUUAUGGUGAAAAAGACAGCGGCGCAGAAAGAAAAAAAAUGGAGGAGAAUACAUAUUAGGUUAGGGUUGAUGGAAAAUUUAUAUAGGUGGAGUGUGGACAGUUUUGAACUAUAUUGAUAAUUACGGCACCAAAAAAAUCUUAAGUAAUCAAUGCAUUACCAUUUAUAUCACGUUCGUAUAGACAUCAUUUACUUAACAUUCUUUAAAAUCCGUUAUAAUUUUCAAUAUUUUAAAGCAAAAAGUCUUAACAUUGUCCAAUUUCAAAAUUAACAUCUACUUCAUGAACAAAUAAUUAUUAAAUAGAGCUGAUACAAAUUCAAUUAAAGAUAAAAUUAUCUUAAUUUUUCGGAAUGGAAUGAACCGUGACAAAAAAGAAGGAAAGAGAUGUUGAAAAGUGUCUCUCCUCUUCUCCUCAUGUGCUUACAACGGACAUACCAAAAGCACAUAAACGUUCCAAAUUAGGGGAAGCUCUCUCAGACUAUUCACAAUCGACCCUCCAAAACCCUCCAGGUCGAACCACACUAUUGAUCUAGUUCAUCGGAAGGAACCAAGUAAACUUUUAUCGAUAAACAAACUAACAAGGGUCAGUAACUCAUCCAAUCAAUACAUUAUACUUCAUACUAUCCACUCAUCUUCAGAAUGAUCAACUCUUCUUGUGUGUUCGCCUUCUCUUCUACCUCGGUAGCAGUCGGCUGCAAUCAUGCUACCAUCAGUCUACUUGCUCGUUUCUUCUUCCCCAAGUCGAAGCCUACUCGACUCAUCCAAGCAACUCUCACAAAUAUAUGGAGUCUUUCAUGUGCUAACGAUUCUGGAGGAUGUAUUAGGCCUUUCACUAUUCUCCUCCAAAGAGACAAUGCAUAUUCCUAUCUCGCCUUCAGUUGUCAAUGGAUGGCGACUUCAUCAAUGUAUGGUCCUAGAACGCUCCAUCUCCCGACAUUUUUCGCUCUUUGCAGUACAUGAAACUUUAGGUUUCCUUGAGCAUAAUCCGGGCGAUCUCAUACGCCUAUCUGAAUUCUAAUGUGAACUAACGGUAUGCGGCCAUCAGUGGGAGACAGAACCAAGUGUCACCAACCAUGAAACGAACAAUAUGGGAAAUUAAAAACACAACCAACAGUGAUUAAGGACGCAUCUUGCUGAACUAUCACCAAAUACAGCACAACUCAAUACACGGUUAUAACGAGAGACAUACUGGGUAAGCAUUUUGGCUGCAACACAAGUGACCAAGAACGAAUACCAACGGAUUGUUUACAGCUUUUUUUAUCUCACAAGGGAAAUAAUCGAACCCUCAAUUCAUAGUGGCUGGGUUUAGGAAGAACUGGAACUUUGAUCCUUUGAUCCGGCCAUCUUUGCUUGUAUCAGUUUGUGUAAAAUAGGCGGUUCCAAUGGAGUUGGGUCGAGGCAACGAUCUGAAGCACCGACGAUCACCUGAUCCACAAUCGACAAGCAAUCAUAAAACAUCAAUUGCUGGAAUUUGGUCCGGUAGCGGGAUACCGAACCAAGUGUUGCAUUAGUCUUGAUCUCAGAAGAGAUGGAACCUUUUAUGGAGUCCAAAGUUGGUAACUAGUUACCUCAUCAAGCAAAAAGUCGAUUGCAGCUUCGUCUUCAGCUAGUUCCUUGAGAGGAGUCCUUAGAAACUGAAUAUCCAACUGAAUCUGCUGAAAUCCACUGCGAUUUAAAGUCUGAAGUCGAACAAAUUCUUGCAAGCUUUUGAGGCCGAGUUUUACGAUGGUAGUCAAAACUGACUCCUGCAAAGUUGCAUUGAAACGCUUGUUUCUCAUGAUAAAACAGGGAGAAGUGUGCACUAAACAGUCGAGAGCAAAUGAAGGGGGUACCUGCGUAAACUCGACUUUGGUAAAAAUUUCUACUUUCUGCUUGAACAAUUUUGCUAGGUGGGUUUCCAAAAGCUGGCUCCUUGCUCUUUGUGUACUUGACCUUUUUAGUUUAUCGUCUCUUAAUGAAUUGCUGAGAGAGGAGGUAGUGCUUCCAUUGCUCUCAGAUCGACGAUGCUUUCGGACUCCUUGAGAGAGAAUUUGUUUAACUUCGGUUCCUACUCCUUCCAACUGCCAAGGGAAACAAAAACCAUAUGCAGGUUCUUCAAGUGACGGGAGGACUCCAGAUUUAUACUAACCAUGAAAAUACUAAGACUAUGCUCAAUGUACACAAACCUCCUGAAGGAAUAGAUCAACGAACAUGUGAACCUCCCGUGGCUCCUUGUGCUGCAAGAAGUCGAGAUAUGUCAAGAAUCAGAAAGCAAUCCCAGUUCUAGUAAAAAAAUCAAUAACAGGGCAGAAGACCAACCUUGAUCCAAUUUGGAGUGGUGAACCUUUUCCUUAAGAGAACUGAUAUUCGAUGCGUCCUCAUAUUUAUAUACUGACACAGAAACGAGAUUCCCAGUAAGUUUGCAAGCAGAAGUGCAGAUACAUAUACAGUGUGAUGUAAGCUGGAACAAGUGGGCUUAACAAGCAGCUUAUAAAUGACAGGAAGAAACAUAUUGUGGCAGUGGAAGUUUUAGGCAUGAUCAAAAAUAAAAACAUGGUUUAAUACACUAGUUACAAAGUAAAGUAAAAAGUCAAGUAAUGGCUGAUAAUAAGAUAAAGCUUAAAGUCAUACAUGGUGCAGAAACUUCUCACUGCUUGACCGAAAGACUCGACUAAAUUCAGGAGGAAGAAACACCGGUCCAUGUUCAUAUCGCCGAGCACCACCACCAGGAAAAGAAGCAGCUAUUUCCUAGAGAUGAUUACAUUGAGGUAAGAUACACAGCAUAUAUCAUUCUUCCACAUAUGAAUUAUCAGAUGCAGCAAGAAUCAACAUGAGCUACAAAAAAAACUCUUGCCUCUGCAAUUCUAGGGAUUGCUGUUUGUUCCAUAAAAACAGAAAGCUGAGCCAAAACCAAGACAAGACCAGAAAGCACUUUUUCAGCUUGUAACCCCUCUCGUGGACUGUAUUCUUGAGGGCUGGAUUUAUUUUUUCCGGAAAGCAAAAGAAACUGACUAUCCAAUGCCUCAAAGAACUGUUGAAAACCUUCUUCAAUCCAGUCAACCAUCAGUUCCCUUUGUUUGACUAGCAGAUCUAAGUUGUCAUCCAGAAGUUGACGGAAGCCCUAUAUCAUAAAUAUUCGAACAAGAAAGUGGAGCUAGAUAAGAAUAAUAGAUCCACACAUGAAAAUUUAUAGGAAGUAAAAAUAUGAACAACUUUGUUUAAAUGUGAGUUAGCGAUGAAUUUAAACAACACCGACAAGGAGGCGCACAUGAAAGCAGACUUCAAGGUACCCCAAACUUAUCAACAAACAUUAGAAGAGAUAACACUACGACAAAAAUUAAAAAAUAUUAACUCUCCUGCAUACAUGGUCAAUGGAGAUCUUCAGAGUUCUCAAGAAUUACCAGUAAAACAUCCAUGCUUCCUUUGAGCAAUGAACUUUUGCCAGCUUCCAUAGCAACCUGCAAUGGAUUUUCUUCUGGCGCCUCCUUUUUAGUGACAUGGACAUUUGUCAGAGCAUCUGCGAAAUUAACAAGAAUCAAGACUUGGAACUAUCUAAGAAAUAGAGGUAGUCAGGAAGAUAAUAUUAUUGUGCGUUUGAGGAUUCCAGAUCUAACAAUCUUGUUAAAUAGCCUUGGCCAUGAAGACAGUAGGUUUUUGCCAUUGUCAAAGCUAAGACUAACAUUUCUGACUUCCACAGGACUUGCAAUAAAACUAGCGGUGGAACUAAGUGUUUGGGCUGUAGCAGGUACCUGAGACAUCAUUUAGAAGAUGAGAAAACAUGCUUGAAACAUACUGUUUGAUAGCGCUCUGGGAUACCUGAACCAUAUGUGAACAUUCAGCAGAAGAGUGGAUUGCCAAAACUCAACUGAUAUACAGGCAAAUUCACUUGGAGAAACUGGAAAAUACUGUUACUUCAAAACAAAAUAUUCAUAACCUUGAAACAGUAAUCAUGUAGCAAAGCCUCCGGCAAUAUUUCAUCAAUCAGGAGGACAUCUCCCCAUAUUAUUCCUGCAGUCGUAGGUAUCUAUGAGAAACUAACCCACCCAAGAAGAGAUGCUAAAAACACUGAGAUCAAGUACCUUUAACAAUAAAGAGGAACAAUUGAUGAGCAAGUUGCCUCGACUAAUAAUAUAAUGGAAGCUCUUUUAAGAAUUUUCAGAAGUAUCCACAAGCAAAUGUUAAAUCAAGAGCAAAAAGAUUUGGAGAGUGAUUAACACUGUUUAUUACAGCAACGCGAGAGCAUUUGAUGAGCAUAAACGUACAUAGCAAGGGCAAGGUAACAUCAAGUUAGAAUUGAGCCUACUUUUUUUGUCUCAUGUCGGUUGAAAGAUAAUUAUAAACAAUUAAUACUCAAAGCACCAGCAGAUUAUAGAAAAGCACGUCUACAAAGUUCAGUUCAAUAUAAUGGCAAUUCUGAUUUCCGAAGAUGAGAAAGAUUCUCUAUAUAAAUGGUACUUACGAAGUACACACAAAAAAGUUGGAAUCGAAACUCUCUUCUUUGUGUAUUCCUCAGUUGAUAGAAAGUGCCUAAAGAAUGAGUUUCAGACGGUAAGUCAACUAACCCUCAAACAAUAACACAGUGGCCUAUAAACCAGCGAACAAAAUGCAAAAUAUAAUAAUAAUUAGCCUUACAUUGUUAUCAACUGCUCAGAAAGUUUAAUCAGUUGAGAUUCCGAGUCAGGAAAUAUUACUCGAUACGCGCUAACAGCUUCCACAAACCCACGAACAGAAGCCUAAUCAUAUCAGAAGAGAUCAGAAACUUUCUAAACCAACAGAAACUAUCUAUUCAAGAAAUUUUGUUUGUUUGUUUCUAAUUAAGAGUAAGAACUAGGAGUUUUCCCGGCUUACGUCAUGUGCUCCUGCAAAAGGCAUCUGAAGAUUGUUUUCAGGUUCAUUAGACUCUUUCAAUGCAGCAGAUAUUUCUCCAUAGUUAAGCUGAAGAUCCUCAAGAGAUUGUUCCAACUUCUCGAAUAGUUUUGCCUUCAAACCAUCCACCUGGACACAAGUGGGCCACUCAUCAUCUGUAAAGACUACAUUUUUACAUACAGUAUCCAGAAAACACAAAUUGGUACAAUAAGCUUGAAAGAUUAGGUGAUAGGGACAAUAAUAGAUACCGCACCUCCCUGAGAAAUAUCAAAUAGAAGAACACUCAUUUGUCUUCCUAAACAGAACAUCAUUGAAAUAUUAGCAAAGAAUACGAACCGGAAAAGCCAACUGUUUCAAAAGAACUGCUGCUUCAGCCCUUGUCUGUAUAGAUUCAGAGUCUGAGAAUAGCUUCCCCUGAAAAUGAGAGCAGAACGGAAUGACGUAGCAAAAGCUAGAAUUGAUUUAGUCCAGCUCUUAUUCAACUAAAGUCCACAAGACAAGAUGUGAUUGCAGCAGUGAUAAUGGUUUCAAGCUUAGUAUACUCAAUCAAUGAGAGUAGACCUGUAAGUUUUUUGUAAUUGUUGCCACAGCUUCUUCAGAUGCUCGCUUACAGUCCAGGAAGGAUGAUUCCCCAUAUGCCUGGCAAGAAAGGAAUGAGCGGCUAAUUUUGAGAGACCAGUACAGACAAUGCAAAUCAUGAUGUUCCAAGUAACACAACUAAGCAAUCAAUGCAAAAUAAUAUUUUAUCAAACUUCAAGUUACCUUAAGAAUAGGCAUGGCCCCAGUAUAGAACCUGACGGCAUCAGCAUAGGCCUCUGUUUUAAUACACUUCCCAAGUCUGGCAGGUAGAUCAUAUAUGAACUGCUCUUUUCCACAGAAGAACAAAUCUGUGUAACUCAUACAUGACCCAAAACCGACUCAUAAAUUAUGUUGAACCAACACUGUGGUUAGAUCUAUGAAGCAAAAAGUAGCUGCAGAAGAAUUCAUUAUAACGUUUUACAACUCUAAGUAAAUCCAGCCAACAAAACACACAUCGUAGACAAGUUUUAACUAACUACUGAUUGGUGCAUCAUAUUUUUUCUAUUACAUUCUAAUACUCAUAGUAAAUAAGCAUGCAUUCAAAUAUAUCAAGAAGUAUGUUAAAGUUGGUUGGCUACCAAUAGAUUUUUUCAAUUGAAAACCCCGACAAUUCAAGUUUUUGUUAUCCAUACCCAGCACAGAACAAUCUGGAAUUUCUCAUAAACAAGACUAACUAUUAACUAAUCUGACAAUAAUUCAAAAGGAAGUUCAUAGAACAGGUUACUCCCUACAACUAAUAUAAUUUAGCAAACGGGGCGCAAGCUACCUUAGGAUAGUAGCAACAUUCCUAGGGCAGGAUAUCAUUGAUUACCUGCACUUUGCGAAGGAGGUUGCGAGUGCGAUGCAAUUUCUCUAUAUGCUCUCUCUUUUCGAAAAGAGAAGUGUUAACUCCAUCACUCCUUGAUUGCACUGACAUGAUCUAGAAUAAUGGGUUUAUGCAACAGUUCGUAAAUCACAGUUACAUAUUAUGGACAUACAGACGUACUUAAUAUAUAGCUUGGCACAUACCUUAUUAAGGAGCUGCUCCAUGUUUACUUCCAUGCCCACAAUGUUGCUCUUCAUCCUGUGACAAAAUUAAUCCACCGAAUACGUAAGGUUUGUAAUAAACUUCACAGUUUCAAAUCACAUGGCAAGAGGGGAAUACACAUUCUCCCUUUGAACCAAGUCAUAGCAGGGUCAAAACUCAAAACUGCCACAAAGGCAGCACUAACUUGAUGGUUAUGUGAAAAUUACCUCUUAAUUGCAUCAGUAGCACUGAUAAACUUGUUGUAAUUUUCAUAGACUAGCAUUUGCAGAUCAGUGUCCAGAUUCUUUAUUUCAGCUGCCAUUUCAACAUGCCUUUGCAGAAGCCCUUCUAAGUUGGACCUUUGCACCUGCGAUCACAUACAAUUGUUUCCAACUUCAAUGAAAAACCUAACUGGUAACUCCAAACCAAGUCAACUGCCCGAGUACACUUCAAAAUCGACAUAAUAACUUUACUUUCAAAGUUCGAAAAAAAAAACUUUACUUUCAGCUAUGUCGUAUUGAAAUUCCCAAUUAUUAUUCGAAAACACUGCUACACUAGACUGGAAAGUACUAGGAGAUUCAUAGAAACGUUCAAACACUAAAUUAAGUUCAUAAGAAUCCGGAACUAGAUCGGGAAGUACCAAGAGAUUCAUGUACUGAUCUGCAUCAAAUGAAGUUGUGUUGAUGGCGUCUAAGGAACCACCUCUGGGGACACUAUCGGUGGACAUUGAAGGAUCCGCUGGAGCGUAGAAACUCGACAAUAGAUCUCUCAUUCGCUUCGCCUUAUCGUCCAAGGGCACGUCCUCCAUCGCCAUUUUAUUUCCACCUGGAACUUCCUCUUCAACUGUCCUUCUUCCCUUCCUUUUUGUUCUGCGUUGAGAAACUCAAAUUCUUAGAGAACCCAAUCCAGAUCGAUCGCAGAGGUUUUCUGCAAACAAAAUGUUAAUGAUGACUGUAUAGUUCAGCUUUCCAAGUAUUUCAUUUGGAGUCAGAUGUGAUGCAAUAGUUUCCUUUUACCCACCCUCGAAGCGUAGAGCGUGGUCAGCAGUCGGCGUCGCGGCUGGUGAAGCGGAUCAGAGACUUCGACGGCGGCGAUCUGCCUGAGAGUUCUUCCGGACGACGCAAGGAGUUCGAUGGCGAUCUGAAGCUAGCGUUCAAGAAGGAUAGAGGUUUAAAAUUGUCAAUUAAUAUUCAAUCUUCUCUUCUUAGUAUUCUUCUGUGGACGUAAAACGCAAGUUAGUUUUGUCGUAUUGGUUCUCACUCGAGUAACCUAACCAGCUCGCAGCCGGUUAACUCCUUAUUUAUGAUAUAGCCAGGCCGUAGGAACUGAAGCGCGAGUCCAGUGUUUGUAGAGGUAAAAGGCGAAGAACGGCAGAAGCUUCUCUUUGAUGGUAAUGGCGGGAAUGGCAGAACCACCGAGGAGACAAGGAGGGAGACCGAUGCCGCCUCCUGGUAAUAGGGGACCUCCGAUUUCCCGAGGCCCGCCUCCUCUUCCUCCCGUCGAUCGCGAGAAGGUAAUCUCGAAGUUAUGUCUUGGAGCCGUUAGGGUUUAUACAGUCUGGUUAAUACUGAAAUAUAUUGUUCUGGUACUGUUGAGCUUUGAAAUGCUAAUAUGUAUAGCUCUUACUUCUUUUUUGUCUGUGUUGCGAAACUGCAGACAUGUCCUCUGCUGCUUCGGGUAUUCACCAAGGUAUUCUAGUUAUCUUUAGGGCAUUCUCCAUGAUUCUUUUCAUUUAGGCUCUGCGGAUAUAGUUUCACUUGUCCUAACAUGGAGUUCCAAUUCGCAGAUUGGAGGUCAUCACGGGAAAGAAGAAUUCCAAGUUAGGGGCAAGGAGCCCAAGGAUGAGGUUCAAAUCUAUACAUGGAAGGAUGCAACUCUCCGUGAAUUGACUGACUUGGUAUGCAUCAAUGGUCUCCGAGAAAUUUAAAUGUUUUUUUUUAUUUUGGCUGUCUGUGUCUGAGUAUGUUAUAGCUUUCACUUCAAUUUGAACAUUUGCUCUUAGAUUCUAUCAGGGUAAGUUAUUCAGAAAAAAAAAGUAGUUUUCAGUGAUCAUGCGGUGAACUAGUGUAUCUGUGUAUGAUGAUCUAUCAUUCAGUGUCAUUGGGGAAAUCCAUGUGCAGUCUCCUUGGAAGAUUUAGUUAGUUUGGCUCAUCUGUUAGGAAACUUUUUACUCUGGAGUAGAUUCAGGGAGCUCUUUUGUUUUCUGUAUGCAACUUAAAUUAUGUACAUGAGCAAUCGGUAUUGGGAGGGUACAUUGGAUUGUGAAACGGUAUGUACUUUAGAAUCUGGAUCGGAGUUCUUUUCUUCAUGUUACCGACUGGACUAGAGUUAUGGCCUCUCCAUAUUUAUGUGCAAGUUCUUUGUCGGCAGGUCAAAGAAGUGGCUCCAGCAGCAAGGAGAAGAGAUGCACUACUGUCAUUUGCUUUUGCCUAUCCAGAUAAGAAUGGCCGUUUUGUGGUGCGAGAGGUUGGUCUCCAUUGUUCUCUCCCUCCAUUUCCAGAUUUCAGCUUCACAAUUUAUUCUCCUAUUCGUCUUUGGAAGCUCUGGACGAAACUUAUAGAUGUUAGACAACUGGUAAUGGUGCUCAAUGAUCAUGAAUGAUUACUGUUUUUCCGCUUAGGUUGGGAAGACUUACUCUAACCGGAUCGGGAAGUUAGAUGAUAACAAGGCGUUGGCUGAAAUUGGCUUCCAGGUAAAGAAAGAUGCUUGCUUCCCACUUCAUGUAGCUUUCUUGUCUUAACCAUUUUCUGAAACUUAGUUUUUAAUACUUUGUUGCAGAUUGGAGAUUAUCUGGAUGUGGCAAUUAUGUAAUGGAGCACUCUUUGUGGUGGUUGUGAUCGUAUCAGAAGCGUACAAUGAUCAGUGUAUUUCUAGCAGUUAUUGAGAAAAUCUUGUUAGAUUGAUCUAGGGCUUCAAGUCUUGUCAUUGAAGAGUAGAUAGAUACUUGCCAAUGCAUGAAAAGCUUUGGAUAUGUGUGUUCGGGUUAUUACUUGUUAGUUUAAGCUUUGUUGUGAAACACCUUCAGAACCUUAUGACAAGCUACUGUCGUGGAUUCGGACUCACAUCUACAAAGAGUUCCUAUAAUUGGAUGAUAUACUCAUUAAAAACUCACAUUUCAGAUCAUAAUUCAUAAUCCUUUUUCAUUUUCACUAAAAGCCUAAGUAUAGGCUUCAUAAUCCUUUCGAACAAUCCCAUUUAUUUCGAGUUUCAAGUACCCUCGUAAGCAAUUAAUACUAUGUUAACUUGGAUUUGUGUCUUUGAAGUUGGAACAAUAUCGGUUUUUAAGUUCGAUUUCCAACCCUAUUUAUAUGGCCUUAGAUCCGUGUUCAAUACUAUUUGUAACGACGUAAAAUUUUAUGGUUCUACGAUUAUAUUUUUGUGAUGCUGACCACUAAUACUUGAGUUAUUAUUAUAUCAUAUACUAUUUCUUUUAUGUUUGGUUUAUUGGUCUAAUAUUUGAUUCCUUGAAAGCGACGUCGGCUUUAUCCGUCGUCAGCACGGCUGUUGGUUCCGUUUUUAGUAUAAAAUUUAAAAAUAAUUUAUUAUAAAAAAAAACGAAAUAAUAUUUUACGGCUCUAAUCUCCAGAAAAGACGGAUAUGUGUUAUUUUAGCGGAAGGUAAAAAGAGAAUAUUGAAAAGAAAAAAAGAAAAAAAGAAAACACUGCCAAUUAACUUUUAAAAAUUAAGAUGAAUGCUUAUCGUAUUCGCAAGCAGCAAAGCGAAAACAGGAGGAAAGAACGACUGUAGCAGCAGAUUAGUAAAGCAUUCACUGAGAGCAGGAAAAAAGGGAGGAGGAAGAUUCAGAAACAGAGAUUCUCCCCGAUUUUCCCUGCGUUUUCUUCCAUAGCGAGAGCAUUUGCAGGUGGACGGAGCAAUUGUUUCAACGAGAUUCAACUUUCAUCGCUCGAAAAGCAUUGCAGCAUUGUGUUGUAAUGGCAAUUGACGACCACACUCUCUAGUCUCUAAGUCUUGUUGUUGGCAGCAGCUGAAUCCAAUUUUUGACCAGAUCGAGGUCUCCCCGUUCUUCCUCUUCUUCUGGCAAUGGCUCUGAGGAAGGUAUUGUCCGGGAGUCGGAACAAUCGAGGCGUCGGUGGUGGCGGAUCUCGAUUGCCGCUCACGCUUAUUUUCUCCUCCUUCAGCUUCUCGCUCUUGCUAGCGUUGGUGUUCUUUGUUGGUCCCCGGCUCCGUAGUGGCGCUCCGUUAGGUUGUCUUCUCAGCUUAUCGUUUUUUGUCGAUUGAUUCGUUUGGUUUUUGCUCCGCUGCCUGACUGAACUCUAACUGAAAGCGGAUGAAUAUAGGCCGAUGAACUGUCUUUGUGUCCUAUCUUUUUAACUUGUAUGGAUGUUUGAGUUACUGCUUUUAUGAUGUCGGUGUUCUUUCACUGCGGUCUGUCUUCUUGUGGUGGCAAUUUGGCUAUAGGCUUUGUUUGAUUUUUGCAAACUAGCAUGACAUUCUUCAUCAGGAGCAAGCAACCGAGUGCACUCAGAACUCAGAAUUUAAUUUUUUUCUUGUUGCAAUGGUCUUUAUCUUCCUUUUCGUUGCUCUCUCUAUUUUCAUCAAUCAUUAUGGUCCUUACUCUGCAUUUCUCAUGCACGCUGAUUAUCUCCUUAGUCCUGUCCUGCCUCAGUGAGUCGUAUAGAUAACAUAUCUUUGAUGUGGCGUUGGAAUUCAUGGUGAUAUUUAUUACUCAUGCAGGUGAAACCAGUCUUGGAAGUGGUUCCACUAUGCAGGUACUGCUUCUCAAAUACUGUCAUCGUUGACUUGAAACUUGUAUGAAGCCUUUACAGCAGUACUCUCUUGGUGGCUUCAUGCUCUCUAUCCCAUAAGCGAGAAAUGUGUUGUCUGUUUCAGGACCUGGAUUGGAGAGAACGGCUCGCAUUACAACACGUUAAAUCCCUUUUCACGAAGGAUGUAAGUAUAACCUGUUGUAAGUGGGGUAAAAGUCAACAAAACGCAAGCCUGCAAUUGGUACCAUUAUAUUUAACUUUCAUCAUGUUCAGUCCUAAGAUUCUGGUCGAAUUCAACUUUUAGGUCAUUGAUGUGAUCACCGCUAAUACGGCUGACUUGGGGCCUUUUAGUCUUGAUGCUUUUAGAAGAAGCAAUUUGUCUGCUUCAUGGACUCUUGUUGGAGCUGAAACUUCAGUUAGCAAUUCAUCUAUUUCGGAGGUUACUAUCUCCAUUAUAAUUUAUAGCUUGUUUUGGUUUAUAUACUGCUCUGUUUUCCCUUCCAUGUACAGAGUGCUUCAUUAUUACCACUGAUUUUCCCAUUCUGCUUGCAUUGUUUAUAUUUUAGGUAAAGCAGAAACACUCAGCAACUAUUAUCAAGUCAGAAACUUCGAAGAGUAAACAUAGCAAGCUGUCUGGUGAUAUAUUCAAAAUUUUGUAACCUAUUAUUUGCACAUUGGUCAACUUUUAUGUGCUAAUCAAUUCUUCUGUUGUUUAUUUCCUGUAGAUGAUGAGGCUCAAUUCAUUGUCUCGCCUGAAAAACUUAGUCGGAGGGUAAUUACUGUUGUUUCAUAGCUUCAUGUCCUUAUCUAUAUGUUGAUUGUUGCUAUCAUGAGCAAUAAAUGAAGGGUGAUGUUGCAGUUCUAAUGUGGUAUUUCUAGUUGUAAAUUCACUUCCUCAGACUAGAUAUUUGUUUUCGUUCAGCAACUAAGAGAAAAAAGACGUGAGAGGCGUGCAGCUGACUUGGUCCGGCAUGGAGAUGAAGCAACUAUAAAACUCGAAAAUGCAGCUAUUGAACGAUCUAAAUCAGUUGACUCUGCAGUUCUGGGUAAAUACAAUAUAUGGCGCAAAGAGAUUGACAAUGAGAAUGCUGAUUCAACCGUACGCUUAAUUCGAGAUCAGAUGAUAAUGGCCAGGGUAUAUAUGAGUAUUGCAAAGAUGAAGAACAAGCUUGAUUUGCAACAGGAGCUACAAACUCGACUAAAGGAGAGCCAGCGCGCCAUAGGUGAUGCAACAGCUGACUUUGAACUACAACAGAGGUAACUACCGGGAUGAAUGUAACCAUUUUUUUCGGUUCACAUGUCCAGUUUGUUAGAUAUUUAACUUGUGAUGAGGCUGAUGCAUAAGUCUUGGUGGACUAAUACCUUACUAUCUGUUGCAGUGCUGCGGAGAAAAUUAAGAUCAUGGGUCAAGUUCUGUCGAAAGCUAGGGAAAAAUUAUACGACUGUAAGAUGGUCACUGCCAAUCUCAGAGCAAUGCUCCAGACAGCUGACGAGCAAGUUAGGAGCUUGAAAAAGCAGAGCACAUUUCUGAGUCAAUUGGCUGCUAAAACGAUUCCUAAUGGAAUUCAUUGCUUGUCUAUGCGCCUAACAAUAGACUACUAUCUCCUUCCUCCAGAGAAGAGAAAGUUCCCGCAAAGUGAGAAUCUGGAAAAUCCAAAUUUGCAUCACUACGCCCUCUUCUCCGACAAUGUGUUGGCAGCUUCAGUUGUUGUCAAUUCAACUAUUAUGAAUGCAAAGGUGAUAUGUUGUCUGUUGCUGCUUUCUAUUCGUGUUCAUAUCUCAAGAACUUGAGUCAUCAUACUACUUGCCUGCUUGCUAAAAAAAUUCUGGUUGCCAAUAUUGCAGGAUCCUUCCAAACAUGUAUUUCACCUUGUUGCUGAUAAAUUAAAUUUUGGAGCAAUGAAUAUGUGGUUUUUAUUGAACCCUCCUGGAAACGCGACUAUCCAUGUUGAAAAUGUAGAUGAGUUUAAGUGGCUUAACUCAUCUUACUGCCCUGUACUCCGUCAGCUGGAAUCAUCUGCAAUGAAAGAGUAUUACUUCAAGGCAAAUCAUCCUACAUCUCUUUCAGCUGGUGCAUCGAAUCUGAAGUACCGAAAUCCCAAGUAUCUUUCAAUGCUCAAUCACCUAAGGUUUUAUCUGCCAGAGGUUUACCCGAAAUUGGACAAGAUCCUUUUUCUCGACGAUGACAUUGUUGUCCAGAAGGAUCUGACUGGACUGUGGUCUGUAGAUCUGCAUGGAAAAGUGAAUGGCGCGGUCGAAACUUGUGGCGAAAGCUUUCACCGGUUCGAUAAGUACCUUAACUUUUCGAAUCCUCAUAUUGCUAGAAACUUUGAUCCAAAUGCUUGUGGUUGGGCAUAUGGUAUGAACAUGUUUGAUCUUCAAGAAUGGAAAAGGAAGGAUAUCACAGGCAUAUAUCAUAAGUGGCAAACCAUGGUAAGUUUUUGUAACAGCUGAAUAGAUCUAUAGCUUCUGUUUCUCAUUCCAUGCAAUUUAAUAACAAUCUCUUAUCUUGUAUUGUAACAGAAUGAAGAUAGGGUACUUUGGAAGCUUGGGACACUGCCUCCGGGGUUGAUAACAUUUUACGGCCUGACACAUCCUCUCGAGAAGUCGUGGCAUGUGCUCGGUCUAGGUUACAAUCCCAGCGUCGAUAAAGGGGAGAUUGAGCGAGCUGCGGUUGUUCACUAUAAUGGCAACAUGAAACCAUGGCUCGAGUUGGCAAUGACAAAGUACAGACCGUAUUGGACAAAGUAUAUCAAAUAUGAUCAUCCUUAUCUCCGCAAUUGCCGUCUCACUAAUUGAGCCUGCCUGCCUGCCUAGAAACUGAUACUGGUAAGGUAAAAUCGAUUAGUCGCAAUCGAGAAGGGAAUGCGACUGAAUUUAUUAAAUUCAGUGCAGCACAUUUUCCGUCUACUGUUCCGCAUUGUUAAUUCUUCUAUGAUUCGUUGAUUUCGUUUGCCACCAUUGUUUCAUCAGUGGGAAGCAGUUGAUAGAUAAAUUCCUACUGUGCUCAUGUUGAUCUGUCUGUCAAAUACGCAGAGCCUUAUAAUUGUACCAAUAGUACUGUUUUUGUCCUCAAGGUUUGAGGAGCUGAGUUCAUUUAGAGGUAACUAACUAUGUAUCUGUAUUCUUUCGUCACUGCUACUCAAGUUGUUAAAGGAUUCACUAUGAGAUUGUGAGUGCUCCCCAUCAUAAUAUAAACAGUCGAUACCCCUAGUCUUACAGAGUCCCUGGACGUAUUCUCCACCCAAAGGAGAACUGCGUUAACAAAAUCUGUGUCAGUAGACACUAUUUGUAGUAACAAACUCGUGAAACGUUUUUGUCUCGAACUCGGUCAUCCGAAUCUUGGUGGCUUGUUUGGUCCGCAGAAAUGCUGCUGCUCGUCCUUGGCUGGCCGUUAGGAUUUCGCCUCGAACCUUUAGGGCAUCCGUUCCAUCCACAGAACUCUAAACCCUCGUAUCCCAAGUAUUGGGUGUAGCAUCCGAGUGUGGAUUCAAACCGAACAGGUUGUCCUUUGCUUGACAUCCAUGGAUCGAUCCCAUCGUCAAGUUGCUGAAAAAGUAUCAUCUGCAUAUAUUUUGCUCGUGGGUGGUUGUUGUUUUCAUGCAUGUAUCGUCAACUUCCUUGCUUGCCAUUGGCCUGGAAAAGUUUUCUGGAACUAUAACGAACGAAUAUGGGGGACUUUAAGUAUCCCUUCUAUAGCAUAAUAAUAGGUCUUUCUUGUAACUUAAACCAGACGCCACCACAUCCGUACUACUGGCUUUCUUACGGAUGGAACAGCAUCACCAGUAGUGAGAUGACAAAGCAAUCUAAAUCCACAGUUUCAUUGGUCUGAUCUCUCUAAACACAAAGACAGUAGUGGUAAGGAACCAGAUUUUGAUAUGCUCCUUUCCUCGUAUAGUCCAAUCCAAAUGACAAAAUAUGUUAACAUUGGCGUGCAAUGCUAUGCCAUGUAUGUGGGUUGAAACAUAGCAUAAAGGGUGGAGGGGGUUGAGGGAAUCAUGUGCUUUGGCGACAAUCUAUGACUAGACCAAACCCCAACUCCCAUCUUCCUUUGUUUCUUUUGUCUCAAAUCUCUCUCUAACACGAUAUCGGAAUUAAGAUGUUUUUUAUAGCGACAUUUGAUGGAAUGGGGUUAAAUGAUUAAAACAAAAAUGAAUGUUAUAUUCUAUCUAUCUUAAUAUCAAAUCCUACUAGCUUUUUCUCCUUCGGGGUUAAAUGAUUGAAACCAAAAACUAUCUUAAAAUGCGGAAUGUUAUAUUCUAUCUAUUUCCUACAAACUCGGAUGUUUUAACACUAUUUAUAUGUCCAAAUCGGUAUGACAUAGACCUAUCUAAAUUGCGAAACUCAGCUUAAGUUCAUUAUUCACUUCCUCAUCCAUCAUAUGAUUUUUUCAUAUUAUCUUGACAUUAUAAAAUAUAAUGUUUGAUAUUUAAGGUUGUAUUAUGUUACACCAAAACUACAAAUUUCACCCAAAUUCUUCUCCUUCAUAAAUUAUGUGACUUGCAUUUGAGUGAAGAUAAAAUUAUAAAAANNNNNNNNNNNNNNNNNNNNNNNNNNNNNNNNNNNNNNNNNNNNNNNNNNNNNNNNNNNNNNNNNNNNNNNNNNNNNNNNNNNNNNNNNNNNNNNNNNNNNNNNNNNNNNNNNNNNNNNNNNNNNNNNNNNNNNNNNNNNNNNNNNNNNNNNNNNNNNCUUUUUUUUUGUCAUAAAUAUAAUUUUAUGAUGAAUUAAUAUUUUCAAAUUAAACCUCACAUGUGAGACCUACUUAACCUAAAACAAAUUAUCACUACUUCCCAAAAAUGGUCCUGCAAUUCUGGACCCCCUAACUAUUUUCUCGUACCUCCAACAGUACAAAAGAAACAGUUGUGUUACAAUUUGGUACUGUACAAAGGAUACAAAUUAAGAAAGAACUGUAUCUUCCAUGUUUUUUUUAAAUGUCACAACGGCAUAUUUUUAGUUAAAUGGUUUGAGUCGAAAUUUUCUUAACUCGUCGUCAAUAUUUUCCAUCACAUUUUAUCCACUUUAUCAUGCAGAACGCAAACAAGCCACGUCAUCAUUAAUUCUUAUCAUUAACCAAACAAAAUAUAAAAAAACUCAUCUCUCCCUCUCUUCCCUUCCUGCAAAUCAGAGUUGCAGAUGCUAAACGACGAGCCGGUUCGAGCGAUUGGAUCUGAGAGUUGGAGAUCGGAUGGCUCAUUGCCGACUGAGAUGUCGCGGUCGUCUUCGCUGAAUUCAGAAUCUGCGUCGCCGACGGCGGCGUGGUGGAAAGAGGAGGAGGAUGAGCCAGGGUUGUCGGUAGUAAGAGCGUCUUCCUCGAUCGGGGAAGUAUGGCCGAGUAAGAUGUUGAACUCGUCUUCCAGACGAGCCAUGGCGAUCUGGAUGGCGGAGUUGAAUUUAUCUUGAAGUUGGUCUUGAACUCCUCCACCGCUUCCUCCGUCGCGAAGGACACUGACUUCUGGAUUUCGUCAACUGCCUGCAGAUAGAGAUCCACUUCUUGACGGUCGCCAGCAAACACCAUCUUCUCCCUCGCUUCCUCCGAUGCUGAUGUGUCCCAUCUCAGUAUUAUCUUCUGUGCUUCUUUGAAAUCAAAGCCAUCGUUGUUGUUGCUGCUACCCCCAACCGCUGUUCAUCUCCUCCGGCGACUCUAUGAACUUCAAUUGGCCAAAAAAAAGUAAUAUUUCCCCCUGAACUGAAUCGGUCCGAUUCUCUGAUGAAAAAAGAUCAUCAAAAGAAUCAAACCAUUUUUUCUAUCGUAGGAAUCCAGAAAAGGGUUACUGCGCAAAUCAAUGAAAGCUUCCGGAAUUCCGGUUAGGUGGCUGACGCCUGGGUAUGGGAUGAAUACUUCAAUCUUUCCACUGGUUUUUUUUUAUUUUUUUAUUUAUUUUGUUGAUUAAUGUUUAGAACUAAUGAUGAUGUGACGUGAUUGCGCGGUAGAUCCGCGUGGCAAAGUGGCGAUAUGAGGUGAAAAUGCUCACGAUGAGUUAGGAAAAUUCCCACUAGACCAUUUUGACUAAAAACACAACGUCAAGAUAUUUAAAAAAAUAUUAAACAUAAAGGAUUCUUAAUAUCGAUUUCUCCGAACAAAAUAAAAAAUAACUUUCAAAAAGCUUAACACAUUUCUUUUAGGAAAAAAGAAAGAAAGGUUUGAAAAGAACUAUAUAGGGUUGUUUUUAUGUGAACCUUAGGCUACAACUUUUGCACCCAGUCGAGGAAUAGUCCUUUUAAGUUAGUGCUGUUAGUUAGCACGGUCUUCAUAGCUGUUUCGUCACAUUGAAUUGAUGCGUAAUUAAAAUAGGUUAGACUGUUAUAGAUCAUAUAGUUGAACAGUAAUUAAAUUGUAAUUAUUUCAGAAUUGUGUCGGCCGUUUUGAUAAAUACUAGUUCACGGUUUGACCGCUUUGAUAAAUCUCAAACUACAACUUAUCCUCGUUAGUGCUAGUAGGGUCUAGUUCAACCCAUACAACAUAAACCAACUCGCGUAUAUACAUCUUAAAGCAUGCAUUCUACUACGCAAUCUAAUCCAAUCAAUAAUAAUCGAGUAACAAACUGAAUGUGAUUAUAACUAAUAACCAAACAGUGAACUGAAAUAUAAGAGCAAUGAAAUGUGAAGGCUGGAAAAAAGAGUUCAAAACAAUGCAGUUGCACCUCCAAAUUCAAAUACCAAACAUUUACAACUAGAAUGUAAUUGGAUUGGCACCAGUACGUAAAUUUCAUAUACUCGGGAGAGAAAACAGCACAGAAGAAAUAUUUCAGUGACCAAAAUAGGAUACAUCACCAUUAAUAACAACAAUAGUUUGAACUAGCUAGUUAGCUAGCUCCUCUGUCUGUCUGUGUUUUCCACACGGGCCCAAAAAUAAUGCAAAACUUUUUGUCACUUUCCUUCAGCUGGACGCAUCCUUUGAUUAUGUAAUCAGUUUUGUUGUUUGUUGUGUUUGGAGCCAUGUCGUGAAUGCGUCGAGGGUUUUCAUGUCGGCCCUGUAAUUCCUCUGAGUGAACUCCAGCAACGUUGGCCAGGUGAAAUCUGGGUAUGCUCUUGUCAUUCUUGGAUUAUUGAGCAGCGACUGUGGAGGCUUGACCACCUUUUCUGAGUUUGGACACAAGAAGAAUGCUAAGGAUUUCCUCACUUGGUCCCGGUUCAACACCGCCCGGUGCAGGCAACUCCUGUAAACCCCGUUCGAUAGUGCCUGCCGCAUAACAAAAGCACCCAACAGUACUGGUGUUAGAGUCGAGCUUGAUAUGAGUUAUAUAUUACGUUGUUGGUGUUCAAGAGUGAUAGAUGUAUAUUGACAAGAAAACCCCUCAAGGAUAGCCCAUUUUACGAUAAUGUCAAGAUUGAGUCAUUUACCAUGAAAGUGUCGCCGAUGUUGACAACGAAAGCGCCCGGGUGAGGCGAAACGGAGUGCCAUCGACCAUCGACGAAGACUUCGAGGCCACCAACUUGAUCCUGAUGGAGUAUAGUUAAGGAAGUAGGGUCGCAAUGAGGGCCAGUGCCAAGUGCUAGGUCUGGCUUUUGGCAAGGUGGGUAGUAAUUCAAUCUCAUUAUCGAAUCAUUCCCUUUGUAAAACUCCCUGAAAUGCUCUCCUCCAACUCCUAGACUCACUCCCAAUAGCUCCAUUAUCCCCAACGACAAAUUGCUCAUCGCUUCGCAAUACCCUUCGUACACCUCCCUGUAAAUUAACAACAUAACAUUUUAGUCCCUUAACUCUCUGUUCAUAUAGCAAAUUAGCCCAGUUGACUAUAUUCAAAUUGACGUAGGUAAACCGUCCUACAAAUCAAAUAACUUAAAAUGAGCUUAUCCUUCUAUCAGAUUCUUCAUUGAAAUCUCCGGCAUACAUUUGAUUCAACAUAGCUUUACUCUGAAUUCCUAACCGACUACUUAUUUCUACAUUUUAAUCAUAUACCACAAAAAAUUAUCAUUUAACGGUGAUUAUUAUUUAUUAAAAAUGAGUGAAUAAUAAUGACUCUUUAUCUCUUAACAGCUAAGGGGCCAUCAUAUCAAGCAUUAGAGUUAGUAAAGUAACUGAUGUUUUGAAGACUCGCCUAACAACGAUCCAUCAUUUUCUAAUCGUCGCUAUCUCAUCAAAUUAAUGUAUAGAUAAAAUGAGAAAAAAAUGCCGGUACGCUAUUAGUUUAUUGUAGUGAGACGUGUCUAUGGUAGAGUGUUUAAUGUUGAUGGUAAAAAUUGUUACUAUUGUGUCUAAUUGAACAUAAAUUGAGUGAAAAUAUUGUUUGGAGUCAAUGUAGCUAACGAAAUUUGAUGGCAAAGGUGACAAAAUAUUAUUAACAAAUCAAUUAUACGAGGACUUAAUUUUAGCAUAACAUAGAAGAAGCGCUUAUUUGUUAUCUUUUCAUAGUAAAGUGACUAAAAUGCAUACUAUUCCUUUACAGUCCAUGGUAACAAAAAAACUUGAUCUUUACUCACCCAAAGUGUGCGAAGUCUUCUCCCAGUUUAUUCAAGAGGUAAUCACGAACAAUGUUAGUAUCAUCGGCGGCGGCGCCCGAGUUCCGAUCGUUGCAGUAACGAAACGACAGCGUCUCCUUCCAGGGGAGUUUGGACGAGAAUCUCCCCGUGAAACUACUAGCGUAGCCACAGAGCUCCCCUGUUUUCCUCUGCGCUCUCUGCUUCUCCGACAUCUUCAUUCCGAAGAACUGGUCCAUGCACCGGUGAGCUUCCGACACCAGCUCGGCGUCCACUCCGUGGUUAACAACCAGGAAGAACCCGUGCUUCCUGCACGCCUCGUCCACCGCCUUGGACGCGGCCGACACGGCGGUGGGAUCGCCGGACAUGAAGCUGCGCAGGUCGAUCGGCGGGAUGGCCAGCACCGGCGGGGAUUCGGUUCCGGGCCUCUCGUCGUGGGGCCAGACGAACUGCGGCGGAAUGCUGGACAGGUUCUGGAGAAGAGAAGCGUCGAAAACUAAUGGCUCGGCUGAAUCAGCCAUAGAAGGAGGAGGAGACAUGGUUGUUUUUUUGCAGGAGAUUAAUGCAGAGAAGGUGUUUGAUGAUUGACUGAGAGAGGAGGAAGAUGUGAGGAAUUUAAAGGAGAAGGAAAUGCCAAAAGCGAUGGACGUUUAAAUUCGGUCGCUGUGGGAAAUGGUAAUGAAACCAAAUUAGGGAAUCUAACGUAACAUUAACACACCACACUAUAGCUAAGUACUGUCGUUUCUUAGGGUGGCUAUUCUAGUUCGGGGAACCUAGACCACCGUUGAGGGUCCCUGAUUCGAAAACGAUGAAGUUUUCAUAUAAAUUUUUUUAAAUUGUAGUUUGUGUUGCGUUUUCAUAUGCGUUAGACCUUCAUAUCUGAAAUCUCGCACAAGAGUUUCAAACCAUCCUGAAUCCGCUAUUGGGGUUGAGGAGGUUUUUAUGAUUUCAAGUCUCAAAGUGCUUUGGAUUUAGUUGGUAUCUUUAUUACUAGGUUGUCCCCGCAUUGUUUGAAAGAUGAUAUUUGGCCACAAAUCACUCUCGAUCAUGUAUCCGCCUCUCUUUACAGGUCACGUUCGAUAUUCGGAUUAUGAGCUUAGCGAGAUCUAAUUCGAUCGAAUUAUAAGCGAAUUAAAUCAUAGUUGGAUUGAAAAUAGAAAUUGCGAGUUGUUAAAUGGUAGGUUAAUGAUAACGAAGAGUGUCCCGCGUCAACCGCAUACUUGCAACUCUUUGAUGCAGCUAGCACUGUUAGCUAAGCAGGUGUUUUGUUUGAUGCAUUGUCGUUAUCACUUAAGUUAUGAUUUUGACAGUUAAUACCGACUAUUUUUAUGCUUUACCUUUAAUUAGUUUACACUUAAAUUUCCAACUCUUAUGCACUAUUAACUGCUAACUAAACUCCAUCGUCGUCUUCAUUCCAACGGUUAAAAUAUAUAGUUUGCUCGUCUUUCAUACCUCCAUCUACUGCAAUUUGUGACUGCUAUGUUUCAGACUAUAAGUCUAUUCCUAGUUAUUUGGCAUGAAAGAUCGAGAAUUAGAAAAUGUACCACGAUAGAAUAAAUAUAUAUAAAUAUAUUUUCAAAGAUUGGAAAAUAUAUCUUUUUUUUUGUCGGAAAUAAACCGUACAAAGAAAAAUGAAUAAAUAUAACAUAAAUGUUCAAUCUAAAAUGUGGAUGGACUCAAACCGACUAAUAUCAAUAGGGUGGCAAAUGGGCCAACCAAUUGGAUUUGGAUCUCUACUUGUAUGUGUUUUUCCUACGUUGUAUACCAAAAUUAUAGUAUUUGUAUAAUACAUACAUUCAUGUCCAGAUAUUACAAGAGUUAAGGAGGAACAUGUGGGGGCUAAUAGCACAUCUCCAUAUCUUAUAUUCCCUCUCCACUUCUUUAUCAACAAUUCUGUACUUAGUCACCAUAUUAGCUCAACAUGAAAAAACCUAUAAAUGAUACAUGGCCCUUUGUGGGUUUCGGCGCAACCCACUUUCAAAUCUAGAACUUGGAUAAUAUACGAUGGUCAAAAUUAAGAAACGUAAGUAAAAUAACUCAGUUGGUAGUAUUGGAUUUAAAAUUAAUUACCCUCAUCUUUAUAAUAUUUAUUCUUUUUGUUUUGAUUAUUUUAAAAGAAAAGUGGACCAAUAGCUGUCUGAAAUAUUGGCACAGUGAAGCGAUUAGUCCUAGUCCCACUCAAUUCAUUUCAUUUGAUCUAAUUUCAGUUAUGUCCAAAUUGAUUGCCUCGAAAGGUUAAGAUACUUUUGAUGAACCAAGCGGAGGAAUAUUAAGAACUGUAUACAAUUUGAUGCAAUAAAUCGUAUAUGAAAAAUAUAUUAACUGCUCAUAAAUUUAUAAAAAUUAACGUAAUAUCGAAAAUCUAGAUUUGCCAUGAACAUACAUAAGAAUAUUCCAAAAUAUGCUAGCCAUCUCAAAUGAAUCCAACAUACACAGGGUGGCCUGAGAAACAAAAUUAAAAGUUGUGAAAAAAUAAACAUACAAAAUUGCAAAUAUACGCAUGCUGAUUAUUUAUGUCCACUAGGUUUAGUUUUAUAAUUCGUACAUGCUACAACAAUAUAGAAUACAAUAAUGCAUAAAAGAAAUAGGGUAUAAAUGAUUGCGUAUCUAAUUGUGCCAACUCUCGUAUUUCGAGUAUAUGUAUUCUUACGUGACUGUCAUCUAAACGUCAAUGAAACUCUACAUUAUUCAUACAAACAACCUUAAGUAUCGAAGUACAAAUAUACCCCUACAUUAGGAACACGUUGGAAGUACAUAGAUGAAGCACAAUAGCCACAAAAGAAAUUCCCUCCUAUUUAUUCAUCAACUUCAUCUAUUCAUGAUAGGAAGGAGAACUAAUGGGUCGUUAGCUAGGAAAGCCCUCAUAAUUAAGGACAUGGGUUUAACAAAUAAUUGGUAUUUGGUGGGCCGGACAGAAUUAUAGGAGACGAGUUCAAAUGCAGUUGUUCCGUUGGUAAAAUGAAAUAUUGUUGAUUUGAAGAUAUUAAAUUCAAAUUCGGAUACCUCAUUGCUCGAAUAGUCGGUAUGUGUACGCCGAAAACUUCCAUAAAAGAAGAAACUAUGUAUGGAAAAAUGCAUCAAUGAACACAACUCUGGUAUCCCUGAAGGCUGGAAUUCACAAUUAUUAAUUCCAAAUUGUUUGCUGAAAUUAAAUUAUUACGGCAAAGAAGCAAAACAACACCAAACAGCUCCGAAAACCAAUCAAUCGCCCAAGUAUUCAGACAACAACGGCCGGCCGGAAAAGAAAGCCUCAAGAAUCCCGACAACAAGGCGGCUCAAGUCCACCAUUGCCUCCACCCUGGCAAUCCCACAAUGAGGGCUCAGAACAACCUUGUCCGCCAGCUCCUUCAGCUGCUCAGGAACAUCAGGCUCAUUCUCAAACACGUCCAAUCCGGCGCCGGCGAUCUCUCCCCGGACCAAACGCCUCACCAGCUCCGCCUUGUCAACCAUCGCGCCUCGAGCCACGUUGAUGAUCACUCCUUCCUUUCCCAGCACCUCCAUCACCCGGGCGUUGACCACAUGUCUGGUUGGGUCGGUCAAUGCACACCAGAGGAUUAGAACGUCGGAUUCAACCGUCAUUUCGAGGAUGUCUUUGUAGUGUUUUAUUGAAUUGGUCCAACUACAUAUGAUGAUUGGAUUAAUCGGUUUUUAAAAAAUAGUGAUAAUUAUUUUGAUUGGGUUAUUUUGAACAUAUUAGGAAGUUCAAAAAUGGUAUUCUAAAAAACACUAUUAGUAUAUAAAGGGGUUAAUUAUUUUUAGAAUUACAGAGAAGAAAGAGAAGUGAGUGGGAGAGUAAAUGAAGAGAGGAAAUUGCUGGAAGUUUUCGGUUUUUCAAUAAGUCAGCCUGUUCAAAAGAGCAUUUUGAAGAAACGCACCGUUGAAUCGUUUUGAAAUUUGGUAUGCAUGUUCAAGACUCUUUGGGCUUCAAUUUGGCUAGAGGGAUCAUUGUCUUACCUCUGGAAUUUUCUCUUAAUCUUGUCGAUUUGCUCUUGUUAUCCACCGUGUUGGUGAGUAUCCAUUGUGAUGUAUUGGUGAUCCAAGAAGGUUGUUUUUGAGGUAUUUUGUAAUCCUCUAACUAGUCUAGAGAGGACUUGAGUAUAGUGGAGUUGUUGCUCAGACUACGAUCUCGUAGUUUUUCCCGGUUUGGGUUUUCCAUGUAAAAAUCGUUGUGUCUCGUUCAUUUCGUUCUUGCUCGAUAUUGCUGCCCCAUUUCUCAACAUGUUCGUAUGGAAGGGUUGAUGAUUUCGGGGUUCUCGAAUUGUACGAGAUGGUGCAGCCGAAGGAUUCGAGCCGUUUGGCGACUUGGUGACCGAUUCUGCCUAACCCCACUAUUCCUAUCCGCUUACUACUCACCUGACUGGAAAAUAAAAUAAGAUUUUCGGUUAUUUGAGUGAAACAUGCAUCGGGCGUAGGAACGAGAAUAGAACUAGGAUGGCCAAAAUUCUGACAAAAUUUCAAAUUUAGAGCUAAGUUUGAAAGUUACAAAAGUUGAAUGAUCAGACCAAACCCAACAGUUUGAGUAAUGAUUUGCUUGCCUCGAUUAAUACUUUAUUGGCUGGCUCCGAAUCCAUUCAAAAUCAAUUUAAACGAUACCGAUUAAGUACGAUUCGUUCAUAUUUUAUACGAAAUAUAAUCAAACUAAACUAAAUAAAAAGUCAUAACAUGUAACUCAAUAAUCAUGUCAAUCGAAUCGAUUCGUAACCUGAAUGAGUAUUAGGCUCACACACCUCAAUAACUACAACCAAAGGUAUGAUAAAUUUGUGACAAUCUAUAGUCCUAUGUGAUCCAACUCAAUUUUCUAGUUGUAAGAUUGCAAGCAUAUCAAGAACAGAGUAAGUAAAGUGUGGAAAUGACCAACGUACCCUGGAGCCAAGACAACCCAUCCUUCACAUACCGAUCGCCGGCGGAGAUCUUCCUCAAGACAUCGAUGAGCAGCCCAACAGCGUAAUCGGCGCCGUCGGCAGAGAAGACGUCCCCUGCAUCCGCAAUCUUGAUUCCGCGGCGACGGCACUCGGGCAAGUCGAGGUUGUUAACUCCGGCGCCGGUGGUCACAAUUGCUUCGACGUUGGGAAGGAGUUGAAGGGCGUCGGCAGGAACAGGAAAUUUUCCGGUGGAAAGGAUAGCUCGUACGGAUUGGGCGUGAGUGGUUAAGAAAUCGUCUAAAGGAACUUGUCGGAAGUGAAGUGUUCUUCUCCGAUUCGUUGGAAGGAAGGUGGACAUUUCAGGAGUAGAACCGGCGGUCGGUGUCAUCCUCCGUCGGUGAUGAUGACAUGUUUUCUUUGUGUGAUUGUUGAUUUUGAAAGUAACUCUGUUUCCAACGGCGAGUUAUCUUCUAUUUCCUCUUUUCAUAAUUGUCGGUGGAUUUUAUUACACUUAUAUAUAUAAAGAAACUAAGUUAUUGACCGAAUAGCUGGAAUAGCUCAGUUGGUUAGAGCGUGUGGCUGUUAACCACAAGGUCGGAGGUUCGAACCCUCCUUCUAGCGCUUAUUUUUUUAUUUUUGUACACAUAAACCGUUUGAUGAAGGGACAUGAUGUUUUUGUAGAUACCCACAUCAUCAACAAGUAUACGAUCACCGAAACGAAUGUCUCACAUUUCUUUAGUGCAAACGCAUACACAUGAAUCGUUGUAUUGCAAACCAAACAAUGGUUUAAUUUCUUUUAUUCAAUAAAUCUUUAUUAGCUAACAACUGCAAAUAAUCAAGAGUGCACACGCCAACCUUGGAUGAAGCUGCAUCAACUAUCGUAGAUAUAAAAGAUGCUGCUUCCUCUGUGAUUCUUCAUGCAUUUUUUAUAUCAUCAAUCAUCCAUUUUGUACUCUGACAGCAAUGGCUUGUUGGAGAAGAAAGCUUCCAGGUUCCCCACCACAAGUCUAGCAAUGUCCAUCAAAGAUUCCGUGGUGAAAGCAGAACAAUGCGGACUCAACACAACGUUGUCCAACUCCAUUAGCAUUUUCGGAACUUCGGGCUCGUGCUCCAAUACAUCCAGUCCAGCACCCGCAAUCUCACCUUCCACAAGACACCUCACCAUUUCCUGCUCGUCGACAACUGCCCCCCUCGCAAUGUUGAUGAUCACCCCUUCCUUACCUAGCGCCGCCAUCACUUGCUUGUCGAUGAUGUGUCGUGUUUGAUCGGUCAACCCACAGCAGAUGAUCAGAGCAUCUGAGUUUGCAGCAAGGUCCGGGACUUGUGCGUAGAAAGGGUAAGUUGCAUUAGUCUUUUGCUUCCUGGAGUUGUACGAGAUGCGGCAACCGAAUGCCUCGAGCCUUUUCGCAAUUUGGUUGCCGAUUCGACCGAGUCCUACUAUUCCGAUCCGCUUGCCUCCCACCUGAACAAAUCAUCAAUCUUGAAUCAAUCGCACAAUUCUUAAUUCAGUGCCUGAUUCUCUAAGUUACAAACCCGGAAUCAAUGUUCUGACUAAUUAAGAAACCCUAAGCCCCAAAUUACUUUGCAAUUGGAAAUGAAGAAUAUUUCACGCUCUGACCUUGGAACCGAGGGGAUAGUCUCCUUUAGAGGCCCAGAGCCCGCUCUUGACGAACCGAUUGCCGGCGGAGAUCUUCCGCAAAACAUCGAUCAACAAUCCGACGGCGCAAUCAGCAACGUCAGCCGAAUAUGUAUCCCCUGCGUUGGCGAUCUUGAUGCCUCGGCGUCGGCACUCGAGUAAGUCGAGCUGGUUAAGACCGGCGCUGGUGGUGACGAUGACACGCAGCUCCGUGAGAAGAUCGAGGACGUCAGCGUUUACGAUUGCCCCUCCGGGGGAGACCAGUGCUUGUACUGACCGGGCGUUGGCUGUCAGAAACUCGUGAAGCGGGAGGGUUGAAUCAAAGGCGUUCAAGUAGAGGAACUUGGUGGAAAUUAAGUGAUGGCCUUCUGUUGCGGAGAAGUACGGCGGCUUCUUCAGAACCAGGACCUGGGGGAGAUCGUCCUCUUGCGCCGCCGGAGAAUCCAUCCGGCGGUGGAUGUGCUGGCGCUGCGAGGGAGGACGGUACCGCACGCGAUUCGUCCCGGCAGACUAAAGUCUAAAACAAUCGCCGGACCGCAAAAACGGAGUAAUUCGUGAUAAUGCAUUUAACUUGCAAACUCGAUUAUCGAUUAACCGGUAAUUUUACUAACCCAAAUCGAAUAAUCUGAUUUAGCCAAUUGUAUAUGCAUUUUUUUUACGGAAACUUAAAAUUUCAUUUAUCGGUGUUCAAUCGAACAACAAGUGUCAAGUAUAUCGGUGAACCAACCGAGAGAUGUUUGCCCCACAAAUAAAGAAACAAGCUUCACAAUAAUGUGUGCAACCGUGUUCCUUUCUCUUCUCACAAAAUCGAAUGAAAAAAUAUCCCUAGAGAAAAGAAUAUAAUGACAUACACGAACAAUGUCACCAUACUCAGAGUUGCCGUCUGUAGAUCCUUCAAGACCAUAACAACAGGGCAAUGUGAAGCAGCAAAGAGCGCGACAUCGACUUCACAUUUGAAGAACUGCGAUGGAGGUGGAUGUCAUUUCGUACAAUAGAGAUUAGAUCGUCGUGGUGGAGAACUUGGUGAGAUAUUCCACUUACGCCAGCCUGUGAGCUCUUGUAAGCUAUCGCCCAAUACCAUAACAACAGGUCGAGUACGGUUUGCCCAGACCCGAGCAUUGUGUUCCCACCAAAUUCCCCAAAGACACGUGAUCCAUCUCUCCCGUUGAUUGUCAUCCAUUCCUUUCCAUACCAUAGCAGCUCGAUUAAUUCAAUGUGGAUCGCAGCUUCAGCUUCAACGGUACUGUACCAUUCAGGUUGUUGCCAAAGAUUUUGUGUCCAGCGACAUGAGAUAAACAAACGCCAGUCUGCCUCGCAUUGUUGUCCACAGAUACCGCAUUUACCAAUCACCAUUGCUCCUUUUCUCCGUAGGCGACCUCGAGUUGGAAUGACCUCUCGCAGCAGUCGCGAAAAGAAGUUAAGAAUUUUUUGCGGCAAUCUCGAGUUCCAAACUGCUCUCCACUCGCCCAGAACCUGGUGCAUGGAGAGGUCUUUGAUCUUGUCGAUGUGUAACCGGUAUGCUGACUUCACUGUGUAUUGGCCGUGGGGAUCGAAAUUCAAAAUUCGUCUAUCCAUUCCAGUUGCCAUGAACGUUGGCAGUGCAAGGAUUAGAUCCGCAUCCCGCUUUGAGAAACACGAGUUAAUCAAUUACUUUUCAGUGUCGAGUUUUCUCGCCGGAUCGCUUGUCUCCCUCCUCCCGACGCGCUCAUCAUGGUCUUUCUAAGUUGGAAUCAACAAUCAGGGGAGGACCUUGUCGAAGGGGGCACCGUUAGAAAGCCAGUGAAAUCACCAAGGCAAGGCAGCAUUCCUCCAAGCUCUGACUUACAGGCGGGUCAGCUAGCGGCAACCAGCCUAGGUCAGUAAUUGCACGGAUAGAGGAGUUUCCAACCGCUCCCGUAAGCUACAUUAAGGCUGGCUACCUCCACUCCCUCUCGUGUCAAAUUGCUUUUCGGUUUGGAGUCUGUUAGUUUGAUUUACUAUAGUCGGUACUUUUUGUUGAUUUUUUUAUAUCGUUUUUUAUAUUCGGCGAGUAUUUGUGUCGGCCGCGAAAUACGAUAACUGUUAGAGUUAAUUGUUUUUUCCUUAUAAUCCGUACGUAUAUGAGAAACGUCUUCUCAAUAACCAACUCAUACUCUAUACGGAAUAUUUUCUAUCACUGAUAUGACUUCUGCUGCUAUCAAAACAAAAAGUUACAUAUGUCUUCUUAAAUCUCUGAAGGAUAGAAGCAAGGAAAUUAUAAAAGUAAAAGAACACCCUAAUGUUAUGUAUGAUGAACAGUUUUUUUGAUGGGAACAAAGGGCAAUGGAAGUGGGAGAGUGUUUUGGGUGCGAUAAGAAAAAUUGUGUUUGCAAAAAUUUAUGUCGCAUGAGGUUCAAGGACCUUCACGACUUCAACCUUAUAAUGCUCGGAGAGCAAGGAUGAGAACUAUUCACAACAAUUUACAGCCUUAGCAUGUCGAAUCUACAAAGCUAGAUACUUUUCGUUAGGCUCAUAUCAAAGUUAUGCCUCGUGAAGUGUUUUGGAAUCCGAAAUUGUUAUCCAACAUGAUUUUAGAUGUGCAUAUUUAGUAUGGGAAGAUUCGUGACUUUAGCGUAAUUGUCAAAUUUACAAGUUUACACAGAAGGUUACAGACACCUAAAAACCUUUUUUUCGAAAGAGUUACCGUAAUAGAGUGGAGGGAAAAGUGGAUAAAAAGAGUGGCUGACCUUGGAACCGAGGGGAUAGUCUCCUUUAGAGCCCCAGAGGUGGUUCUUGACGUAGCGAUUGCUGGCGGAGAUUCUCCUCAAAACGUCGAUCAACAACCCGACGGCGCAAUCAACGGCGUUGGCCGAAUAUACAUCUCCUGCGUUAGCGAUCUUGAUCCCUCGGCGACGGCACUCGAGUAAGUCGACCUUGUUAAGCCCGGCGCUGACAGUGACGAUGACACACAACUCCGGAAGUAGAUCGAGGACGCCGGCGUUUGCCUAUUCAACGCACCGCUUUCCAGUACGCUAGGCGCUUCUCGCAUACGGGUUGUAAAGGAGAAGAAGCUAACUCUACUCGUUAUCAUACUUCGCAAUUUUAGUCUCCGCAAACCAUAAUUUUAAACUCCACUAUCCGUGCCAUUACUGAGCUGGGCAGGUCGCCCUUUGAAUCGGAGCUUGGAGAGAUGCUGCGCUUUGGUACCGGAAUGCCACUUAGGAAGGUGAUGCAUGCUCAUGUCAUGGCGAAUGAUAGCAAUGGCCAAUUCUAAGAUAGACUCGAGAUAAGAUUUUAUGUACAGUUGAAUAGCAAAUAUGAAAUUUACGAUUUUGUCCCUCUAACAUUAGAAGAUCUGGACCGUUGGUGUCUUGAGUUGGUCCACCCGAUUCAUUAAUGGGUUAGGUGGUCGACUUUUGGGUGACAUACAAAAUAAUUAGUAUGUCUACCUUACUAGGGCUGGCUUGUUGGUUUGGUUAAUUGGUUCAAAUCGGUUGAAAAUGGUUUAACCAAAAUUAGAUCAGUCGGUGAAACGGUCGACAUAUUUGGUGGAAUCAGGUAAUUGGUUAAAACGGUCUAAUCGUCGGUUAACAAAAGUGACAUUAUCCCCAAAUCCUAAGUAAAUUACCUCAAAUUCAAUAGAAACUACUCUAAUUGUGACAUUAAUCAAUCGGUUAAAUUAGUCGGUCAACUAUCCACGAUUAUUUAACCGUGGCGGUAAGUUAACGGUCGGUUCUCCGACCAGAUCCGAUCAGUUAAGGUAAUUAACUAGUCAAUCAUGAAAUUUUAAUUUUAACCGACUUACAUCAACAAUUAAUAACCAAAUUAACCAAUUCCCCGUCUACCUGGAAAGAUCCGCCUGCCAAUACCGAGAAUAUACACAAAAGAAAACGACACACGGCUAAAUAUUUUCUCACCAAGCAAGAACGCAGUAGAAUGGGGGAGAAAUGUAACAACUUGCAAGGUUUUUUCAAGUAAUUAUGAUUUGGAUAUAAGCUUGUCGUAUAUUUCAGGCAGCAAGUCUCUGUCUUUUCAACAAAUCAAUCCGAAACCAGAAGCUAGAGAACACGUUCAUGAACACAAAGAUAAGCUUAUUAGUGUCCGAUCUUCAUUUCAUUACAAGUUUCGUAGAAAUGAAGCAUUCUCAGCAAUCAUUUAAGCAAACACAUCAAUGCAAAAGGAAAGGAAAAGGAACCAACCAUAAUCUGCAAUUUGAGGUAGCUUUGAUUUUGAUUGAUGAUGGCUUUUAUUGCCUCCAUAAUCAGUGCUAAGAGCAUCCAUGGAUGGGACCCAGGAGGCACAAACAUUAGUGACAAAUGGAAAAAAACAUCAUUUACAAUGUGACUGCAGAUUUGUCAAAAACAAAAUGUGACUGCGGAAUCAUUUUCCCAGCCAGCCAGCCAGCCAUGAUGAUUUUGCAGCUUGCUGUACUGAAUUUGAUGCAACUUUAGAGCACCAUUAAAGUCAGUGCUAAAGCUGACUGUCACUAGCUUUAAGCACUUGAGCAAAGAUAUGAGCUUUAAGCACUUUGUCAGUAAAAGGUUUUACUCUCUACGUCUACUGUUAGUCAUUGGAUUCGAGUAGCAGAGGUCAAAACUGAGUUGAGAUGAGAAAGUAAUGGUGGAAGAAUCCUGAUUUCCUGUAUUGAAUUCAAUAAUGACAACUAACUUGUACAAAAGAUAAGGUACACCCAGACUACAGUAAGCAACUUCACUACUCACCGGUAGGCCUUCUUCCUUGACUUGAACGGGAAAUUGGCCGGCGGAGAUGGCGAAAACUCGAAAGGCAAAUGCGGUGGAUCAGCCUCGCCGGAGAGCAUCUCCACGAUCUCCUUAAUGGACGGCCGCUUGCUAGGCGAUCUCUGCAGGCAAAGCAAUGCGAUAGUAAUAACAAGCAAUGCUUGGUGUUUAUCCAACGAAUGUAUCAAAGGAUCAACGAGAUCCAAUAGCUUGCCGUUGUGAGCUAGCUGCCUAGCCCACGAGAUGAGAUUUGCUCUCUCGAAUUCGGACAUCGGGGAUGCCGUAACUUGGAGCGGCCUACGCCCUGAAACGACCACGAGUAGUAACACGCCGAAGCUGUAAACGUCACACUUCUCCGACAGCUGGCAUCCAGCUCCUCCGCCGCCGUACUCCGGCGCGAUGUAGCACACCGUUCCUCGCAUGCUAGGGGUGCUGCUUAUCCCGCCGCUCUUUGGGAAUUCGCCGCUUGCCCAAUCGUGGCUGCUACUGUUCCUCCUUCUGAAUUCGCCGCUUAAUCCGUCCAUCCACCAGUCAAUGCUUCCUCUGCUUUUCCUCUUCUUCUUCAUCGCCGUCGUCGAAGUAGUCCGAUCUGAAUCUUCAUCCUUCUGCCACCAUGACUCUCCUCCGCCGUUGCUUUUCUUCUUCUUCUUCCCGUUCUUCUUUGUUAGCUCGUCGCAGAACUCUUCCUUCCACCAUUCUCUAGGUUUCCGAUUCUUUUCCUUCUUCUUCAUCCUCCUCUCUUCGUCUAGAGACGCCCACCAUUCCAAUCGCUUGCUUAUCUUCUUCUUCUUCUUCUCGAUCUUUAAGCUCGUCGCCGUCAAAAGACUGUUGUCGACGGAGCUUGGUGAUUCGAGAUUAUUCCAUUCAGGUUUCGAUCUGUUCUCUUUACUGAUCUCACUCCCAAUCCAUUCCAUCACGUAAUCCUUCACUCUUCCGGACUCCGAUUCGACUCCAUUGUCCUGUUUCCACCACCAAUCCCUUCUCGAUCCACCUUUCUUUCCUCCUCCAUUCCCCAAAUCUCUCCCACUCUCCAUACUCACCCGAUCCGCCUCCGACACGCUCCUCGCUGUCGCCUCCGGCGAAGCAUCCGAAUCCAAGACCUUACUGGAGAAACUCACCGGCGACAGAACUACACCUGCUGCUGCCGCGGCGGAGCUGUCUUCGUAUCCAGUCGUCGCUGCGACACUCUCCGCCGCCUCUUCCAGAAUAGAUCCGUUGUCUUCUCCCGCAGCACACUCGGCGAUUUCCUCCGUCUUCAAUCUAGCGAGGCCGAAUUCGCCGAUCUUGGCGUUGAAAUCCGAAUCCAACAAAAUAUUGCUGGGCUUAACGUCGCCGUGAAUCACGGGAGGGUUACAGAAAUGGUGGAGGUACUCUAAGCCUCUAGCAACAUCAGUCAUCACACUAUACCUUUUGCUCCAGUCCAUGAGCUCCUCGCACUUGCGAUCCAUCAGAGCCUCCUGUAGGCUCCGGUUCUCCAUCAGCUCGUACACGAGCACCAGCUUCCGCUUCCGGCGGUCGGUGGAGUAGCCGAGGAGGCUGACAAUGUAGGGCGAGUCGAGAGAUGAUGCGAUGGAGAGCUCGUUGUGGAACUCUCGCUCGCCUUGCAGUGAUCCGUUUGGGUCCAUGACCUUGACGGCGAGCGAGGAGGAGGAGGACAGGACGGCUUUGUAGACGCAUCCGAAGCCUCCGUGACCGAGGCGGUUGGAGGUGGAGAAAGAAGCAGUGGCGCGGCGGAGGAGAGAGUACGAGAAGUGACGGCAUUGGUUGGUGGUUUGGAGAUGAGUGGGGGAUUUGAGGUCUGAAGAAGAAGAAGUCGGGGCGGUGCGGUGGCGGGACAGCUUACGGUAUAGGAAGACGAAUAGAAAAAGGAGGGAGAUGAGAGCGAAAGCCAAUGAUCCGGCAAGGAUUGCAGGGAGGUGGGUGUUGUGGUGUGUGCGGUGGUGAUGCUCCGGCGGAGGAAGAGAGAGGAGACGGCGGGAUGGCAUGGUGUGUAAAUAUUGGGGAAGAUGGAGGUGAGAGUUUCAGGUCUUCAUGAAGAAGUGAAAAAAAACUCUUUCUGUCUCCAGCUGCUGGUUUCUGUUGGGGAGUGAGCGAGUGAGUGAAGGAUAAGGACUGAAGGUGAAGGAGGAGGAAAGGAUGAAAGGAAUGUGGUGGGUGACAGAGGCACGUGAGCGAUGGAGGGGAGGAGAUUGUUACGUGGCAAUUUUUGGUUGGGUGGUGAGGGUUUCAUCUCUUAACUGCAUGUGAAGGUAUUCUUUUGGCUAUUUUCGCCUAUUCUUUAAUUCUUUAGUAAUUUUGACUGUGGAAACUAGGAGUUUGUUAUUGUUACAUCCUUUUUUACAUUUAUCUCUUUGACUUUUACAGAGAGAAAAAAUGACUUUUGACCUGGGAAGAACUGGUAGCAAUAUUUAAUAAUAUUUUUAUGUAGGGCGACAGGGAGUACAGAGACAGAGAAAUGGGUCACGUGGCUCAAUGAGCAUGAUGAUGAUAUUAGGGUUGACAAAGCUAAUCAAUACCACGUAUCAAGGUUUGGUUGGCCAAUGAGUUCUAAAUCGGUUCACGGGUCGAAACAGCUUUUCACGCUACCUUAUGGCUUUGACCUACGUGCCUAGUUGGCCUAUGUAUGUCCUUUUGGCGCCAUUUCAACUUGUGGUUUCUUAACCAUAAAGGGUCACUAAUGUCUUCUCAAAUCACAUGUAGAUCACUAACAUUAACAAAAGAGUAUCUUAGUUAUAACAAAGCAGUUGUGAUGGUUUUUUUACAAGAAAAGGUAUCUACUAAUUACCACCACUACCUCAUUAUUCAAAGAAAACAAAAUCAAAAGAAAACGAAUUAAAUAACCUCUACGAGCCAAAUAAUUUUUGUUUCCGAAACACAUAGAAAAUGUUAAUGUGAAUUGGAUGACGAGUGGAGAGAGUCAAAUCAAACUAAACCGAGCCGGCCUUUCACGGCAUCGUCUAUAUUAUAUACAUUAGGAUAGUGUUUGAAAUUCAUGAGAAGUACGCUACACCAGUAGCCGGUCCACAUCAACAAAUGGAGAAGAUUGUUGAGUCAACUGCUGCCACCAUCUGGGAGGUUUGACCUCAAUAUUGAACGAUUAAAGGGACGUUCUUUUUACAAAAUUCCAAGUCUGUAAUUUGACUUGUUAUUUGGCAGUCGUCUCGUGGGAGGAAUCCAGAAUCCUAAACGACUCUUUUCUUUUACAGACGCUGUGGGAUGGCCCCCAAGGUAACUAAAAAUGGCGAUAACAGAAAGCCAAGGAGGACCAUCACGUGACUCUCUGCUCACGCCUUGUCGGCCUGCCCUGUCUGUGUGUGUAUUGAUUAAUCUAUCUUACAUGCUCCAAUUAGUUUUUUAAUUAACCUUACUAAAAAAGACAAGUUGACGGACAGAGUACAGAAAGCAAUCCAAUCAACCAACUAUACCAAAGCAAAAGGUUAAAAGCCCAGAAGUUGACAGAGAAAAGGUGGAAAAUAUUUUAGGGCAAAUCAAAUUAUUAACUUUUCUUUUCUACAGAAUGUUGGCUAAAACAUUCAUCCAUAUCCACUAACAUUUGGCACAAAAGAAUCCAGACCCAGAUUUCCUAAGGAAACAGAAAGCAAACAAACGUACACACAUUUGAGCAGAGGGGCGAAAGAGUACGUACACUGCAAAAUACUUAUCUACAGAUGCUUUCCGGCGCCGUUUUCCUGGCCGGUGGGAGUGGAAGAAUUAGAGCUACUCCUCUUGCUGCUCUGCCCAGUAAUCGUCCUUCCCAUGAACUUGCCAGCUUUGCUAAGCCCACUCCCUACUGCACCAAGCCCACUCCCAACCAUGCCAACCCCACCGGACACCCCGCUUCCUACUAGGUUAGCUCCGGCGCCAAUGCCGCUCCCCACGAGGCCAGCCCCGCCGGCUAGACCGGUGCCAACUAACGAAGCUGCACCGUCGAGGGCGUCCAUGGUGCUCCCUAUUACUCCUGCUUCUUUCAGUUUCUUCCUUUCUUCUAGGACCCUCUUCUCCUCCUCCAAAGCAGCCAUCUGCUCCUCUUUGCUGAAUUCGUGGUACAGUACCUUUGCGAGGGGAAAGAAUACCAAGUGGAUUGUGAUGUCAGAUGUUAUAUAGGAGAAAUGUGCGAUAUAGGCAGGAAUGUAGGCUAAAUAAGAGGGAUAAUGAAUAGAAAAAAUAAUACCGUAAAAUAAAAAGUACAUUGACAUCGUAGCUAAUAGAGGUCAUUCUUCGUCUCUAAGAUUCUAUUGUAUUGAGCUUAAUGAUCCAUCCCUCACUUAUUAGUUAUUGCAAUACUUGUUUGGUGUUUCUGAGACUCAUUAGAUUAUGAAUGAAGGAUAAGGUGCAUCAACAACUCGAAUUUCACCCCCAAAAAAUCUCACAACCGCUACUAAAAAAUCAUUUAAACAUUCAAAAUUAUGUUCGGGCACUAAAUUUGUUAAAACUUUUUGGAUUCAUGUAUGUAUAAUUUGGUUAAAAUUGUAGUAAAUUCUCGGUUAUCAACUAAUGCAAAUUUUGAAUUGAUUCACUCAUUCACCUAAAAUUAUAUUAUUUCAGCGUCAUCACUAGAUCGAACUACCAAUAGCUAUCAAUUUAUACUUAAAUCUCGUACUGGGAAAAGGCUGGUUUUGGGCCCAGGGCAACUUCCUUAAGGUGUAAGGACCCCCUACGAAUAAAAGGCAGGUUGGUUGUCUGAUGUCAGCUCUAUAGACAAGAAGACAGGGAGGAUUCAAAAGAGUCUGACCUUCAGCGUAAGAGUUCCUCUAUCCUUCUUAUCUUUAAUUUUCAUCAUAUCAAGCGCCGGCAAAAGUCUCAACUCCAUAUCUUUCCAAGACUCUGCUUCGAGAUCAACGAGCGGUAACUUCACGAUUCCCAAUCGCUUGUCUUGGCCGAUGUCUUUAUCAAACACCUGCCGAAAGGGUAUCAUGAGAUCUUUCAGUUAGAGAGGCAGGACUUCAAUUCUGAAGUGAAGGAGCAUUGUAUGCCAAGGGUGCACCAUAAAGCAGUGAAAGUAGGAAUGUAAAGAGCAUGGCACCUCGAGAAUAAGUGAUUGAGUCUCUUUGUCUUCAGCGAUCAACUCAAACGUCUGAUUAAAGACAGGAUUGAGAUUGUUUUCCACUGUAUGUGUCUUGACCUUGAACACUGGUCGGAUAUGUAGAGUAACAUAUGGAUCAGACUUUCCAAUCAUUUCCAUGUUCUUCAAAUCAUUUGCUUUAACUACUGUCACCGUCAGCUUCCCUUGGGGUUUAAGCUCCAAAUCACUGCAACACAUGGAAUCAAAGUCAACUCAGCUGAUAAUCUAAAGAAAAGCUGAAGACAGCUACGAGGGCAUUAUUACCUGGUAUCAACAGGUAUGCCACCAAUUGGAACAACAAUUCUGUGAGGCCACUGAAGCAUAUCGGUAACAAUUGAUUGGACUGUAUCCUGUCGCAGAUAUAAGCAACAGCACGAUGACCCAAAUAUAUUCGAUGGAAUAAGACAGAAAUGGGAGUGAAGACAUGCAUGUAAGCAAAUAUUUACUUACAUCGAUCAUAUCUGACAAACCGGGUAUGGCAGAUAUGCUUCCACCAACAGCUUUUAGAACGUACUCAAUUUUAGGCUUUGGCUGGUUAAUAGAAAUGAAUGAGUCAGUUGCAUCCCAAACAAAAAAUAAUGGUUGAAGAGCCUAUGCCCUGCGGCAAACAUCAUCGUACUAAGCUAGAAAUGUCAAUAUAGUAUUCACUGUGUUUGACAAUUCUGUCAAAUGCUGAGAAUAAAUCUUAAAAGAUAACAUUUCCUAGAUAUUAUUUCUACUUUUUCAACUUCAACAGGUAGUAAGUACAAUAGAUGUCAAAAAAUGGUAGCACCCUUCAAUUGAAAUCAUAGGUGACUCGGAUCAAAUAACCACCCAGGAAACUUAGACAUACCUCAGAAAGCAAAGCAACGACAACAGCAGAAAUGCAUGGUAUCUCCUCAGCAAGUUGGAAGAUAACCCGAAUAACAGAGUACAUCUCAAGAUCCUUCAGCUGCACCAAGUUGUGUCACGAAAUCAUUCAUUACUCUUCCGUUAUAAAACUAAAUGAUGGAAACGACAAAAACAAGUAAAACUGUAAAGUCUUGCAUUAUCUGAAGUCGUUGUACAAUUAACAAACCUGAAUUGGUAUAGAGGCAACCAUCGCAGCUUCAACACCUAGGAUGAUGCUUGGAUCACCACACCAUCGGAAAUCUAUAUCCAUAAUAACUUGACCUUUCUUCAGACUUUGAACACGUAUACCUUCAUUUUUUGUACAAUUGAUAUGGAGGAGAUUGUUAGAAAGGAUGCACAAUGCAUACAUCAAAAUAUAGAGCCUGCAAAUAGAAAUCUAACUUAUGACGCCUUUUUAUAGUUCAGAAUAAGAUAGAUAUCCUAUUAGAAGAAGAUAAGUCUUUGUAAAGCCAUUUUCAUAUAGCUUCUUGCAUAACUUAAAGCGAAGAAAUCCAAUAAACUCUACACAGUUUCAGAAAUUUCUAAAGUGACAAAGGUGUGAAGACAACACCAAUAAAGCUGACGAAUAGGUGAAAGAUGGACCAUCUAGCAUGUACCUUCAAUUUUAGGUGGCACGGUUCCCAUGGAAAACUUAUUGAACUUCAAUGAAGUGAUACCAGGAGGCCUGUACUCUUCUAGCAGUGGUUCAACAGAUUCUUUAACCACCAUAGUCGCAGCCUUUCAACAAACAUACCUACCAAAGUUUAGCUUCUUCCACUGGCAGUUGAUAAAAUGUAAAAGGCACACAAAUUCUUUGUGGAAGAUGAAUUUAUCAUUUUACCUAGACUUCAAAUUAGACAUAGUCUGACUAUUCUGUCCAGAUGUAAGCACAAUACCAAAGAAUACCAUGUAACCAUAACUGAGAGCAUCUGAGAGGAAAAGUUAGAACUUACAUCAGCAACAUAGGGCCAUAGCUUGCCUAGUUUCUUGUUCAUCCAUUUCACCUGCAAGAUCAGCAAGAACACGAUGUCAUAAAACCAAGCUUUCAUCAAGGGAAAUAGAAUGCUAUCUGAACACUUUUCACAGUGCAAAGUACACUGUCCAAAGUGUCCGGUGAGAGACAAAACAAGGUUACCAUGACCUUGCAUAGUUAGUUCAUACACAGACCAACAAUACAAUACACACUGGGAGCUAGUUUGAAUUUUUUGUUUUCCGGCAUAUAUUUUUAACACAUUAAUUAACAAAACAGAACGUGUUAGAAGCUGUUGUUGGUGGCAAUUCGCAAAUAACAUUAUCCCUUCUGUUGCUUUUAGCAAAGUUUGAAGUGUAGAACAUUAAUUUUGAGAAAGCAUCAACAGGAAAUAGAAGAAAAACAACACUUAAGGAAAGAAAAGUCACGAAUCACUCAGCUCUAGCAGGUUGAUUGAGUAGAGAAGUUAACCUGUUCAAACACUGGGAAAGAUAUCCACUCGGGAAAAUUAUCACCACAUAAUUUCUUCAAAUCAUCUCUGUUCAGAGUUCCAAGGAGUUUAAUAUCAGCAGCCUGCAGGACAAGGAACAAUAACAAAAAAUGGUGAACACUGAUUCAUACGAAAUCCUCCAUCUCACCAGCUCCAACUUCAUACGAUCAACAGCAUAAAAGAAAACUCCAAAAUCUCAAACAAGACACUCGAACAGCUAACAUGCAUUCAGUAUCCUAGCAAGAAAGAUAGUUGCUCAAGGCAUCAUCAACAGAAUUAGAGAAAUUCCAGCCAUCUAUCACAAGUUCCAGCACAAUCAAACAAUCGGUUUUUCAAACGAGAGCUUCAAAACACUCCACCAGCUACAAGCGAACCGCAAACUCGAAAACGAAAUUAGAAAGAAACAAGAGCGGACGGGGGCGCGUGCCUUUGAAAUUCGUUUGUUGCUACGGUACUUCAUCAUGUGGUUCCAACCAGCCAUGAGUGCGAUCCCGAACGCCACUCCCAAGAACAUUCCAGAUAGCAGCCCCAUUUUGGCAGCAGAUUUCCCCCCUGGGAACAAGACGACAAACAUUGAAGAAACUGAGGCACCGAGGAAACCGAUCGGUCGAGAGAGAGAGAGAGAGAGCUUACAGUAUGAAUUGGAGGACAAGGUCACGGGAAGAGGAAAGACGGAGGCGUGAAUAGAGAGAGUGUGAGCGUUGAGAGAUCAGAAAUGGAAGCGAUAAGAAACUAUCGGUUAUCGGUUUUGCAGUUAAUGAUGGUGUUGUUCUCUCUUCUCUUCUCUUCUCCCGUCCCGAUCUGUAAAAAUUUGCUGUACUUUGAUUUAUUGCUUUUUCAUUAGCCAAUCAGAGACCGUAGAGCAUCACAUUCACAAUGUCUAUUACUCCUUCAGCCUUAGCUGUUAAAGCAAAACAUGUCGAAUCAGAUGGUUUGACUUUUUGAUGAUAUUACCUGUUUGGGCUUAUGGGUUAACGGCCUGUUUAAAGUAGGCUUCCCAGGCCCAACCCAUUACUCGUGUACCAAUCUAAUAUUCCUUACCACACCAAAACAACUUGUAAUGGGCUUAAAAGUCCUGGUCAAAGGAGUCUGUUAAUGGGUUUCACGCGGGUGGUAGCAGAGACGGUAGGCAUGCGAGUCGGUUGAUUCGGUUAUUAACUGUCGGUUAACGAUCGAGGAAAGCGAUUCGAUGACUGAAGUCGGUUAAUCGAAUUAAUCAACCGUUCACGGUUAAUCUGAUAGGUCGAUAACCAACCAGUCGGUUAAAUGACUGAAUUCAACCGACCGACACAUCGGUUAACCGAAUAAAUCAUAGGUUAACCGACCGCCUUGAGCAAAAAAUUUGAUUUUUUUUAUUAUCGGUUAACUCGAGUUAACCGAUAAUUUUAACUGAUUAACUGUUUACCCGACUCCAACAAUGACUUUUAACCGUUCCCCAACCGC